rnacentral:lncRNA from 1 species
CUCUCAGCACUCCUAGCCCUAAACCCUGGUCGUGCUAGUAGCAGUGCAAAUCCUUGUCCACUACCGGGCCAAGUUUCCACUGCCCUCACUUUGUGUGAUCCAACUUGGAAUUACAACACAAACCAGAGAAAAGCAGAGGAAUUCGACCCUGCUCCUCUCAGAUUUUCCGCAUUCCCUCCUAAUCUGAAACACAAGAAAAUAACGAAUAAUAUGAACAAGGAAUUAAAGAAGAAGAAAAGAAACCCAGUAGUGCCGGAAACUACGCUGAGUCCACAGCCUCAGGAUCACGGGCCUUGGAAAAUCAGGAAGAAGCUGACAGUAAGCGACCUUGGAAGCUGCUCAAGGCUACUAAUGCCGAAAAAACCGGUCAUCGACCAUGUUUUGCAUUACUUGGAUGACACGUUUGCCAAAAGGGUUAAGAGUGGAGAGGGCAUAGAAGUUAUAGUUGAAGACUGCGAUACAAACACCAGGCAUCACAUGACUUUCAAGCUUUGGGGGUCGGCCGAGAGCUACAUUCUCAAUGGAGAUUGGAGACUAGAGUUUGUGCAUAGGAGAGGCUUGGAGGAGAAUGAUAAAAUUGGGCUUUAUUGGGAUACCUCCAAAUCCAUGUUCAUGUUUUCUGUUCUUGAAAGGGCAAGGCAAUCCCAGUUACCUGCUUGAUCAAUUUAGUGGGUCUAGAUUGUUGAAUUUGAUUGAGAUUUCAUGAUUAAUUUCCUGAAUUUGCAAUUGUGAUCAGAAUUGUAACUAGCUAGAUAGUUUAGUUACCUUAUUAUUCCUCAAUUUGACACAUUAGUUGUAACAGACUUUUUUAAAUACAAACGAUUGUCUAAGCUACUGUAUAAGGGCGCAAGCAGACUACCUCGUGCAACUUGUUUAAACCAAGUAUGCUUAUUGUAAUAGAUUUGGUUUCACAAUGUUUAAGUUGUUUUAUUUUGGUUAUUCUAUGAAUCAAGAGCAGUAAUGUUCUUCCUCACUCACUCUAUUUACAUUUUUCCAUCUCUGUUUUUAUUUAUUCAUACUUUUACUUCCUGUUAUGAGUUUUCGUUACACGUAUAACAUUACUUCAUUCAGAUAAUACUUUCACCCAGUUUAUGAUAAUUCCCUAGGUGUUUUUUUUUUCCCUAUCGGAUGGCUUCCACAUUCAGAUACGGGUUCAAACCACUAUUAUGAAAUGUAUCAUGCAAUUUAAUAAAAACAAAAAAUAAAUAAAUGUGGGCAUACAAAGUUUCAUGCUCAAUCCUUAAUUAUCUCCAUGUAAAGGUGGAAGCUGAAAAAAGAGUACAUGUUAAGGGAAUGCAUAAAAUAUCCAACAUGUUGAACAAUAUAAAGUCCCACAUCAGAAACUUGACAAAAAUAUAUACAAUAUAUAAUGAGUGAUUCCACUACUUAUAUAAUUGAGGCUUUUUGUGAUAAAAGCCCCACACCUAUUGGGCUUAAAAUUUUGUGUGAAAAUGUUUCAGCAUCAUCUUUCUUUCUUUUUUUUUCUUUUUUUAAAAUGUUGCAAGCUAAGUAUUCCACUAACAUCAAAGAAAUGGAAAGAUCUUUACAUUCAGAAUGUGUUGUAAAUGAGAGCAACGUUUCUUAGAAGAGAUUGGAGGAUAUGGCAGAAUAGUUUUCUCCUUAUUAUGGAUGGCAACGGGUCGGAUAUGGGUCAGGUAUGACAAUACCAUCCCUGUCUCCGCUCUCCAUCUCCGCUCCCAUCCCCGUUUAAUAGGUUUCAAAGAAUCCCCGUACCCGUCCCCGUCGGGGGACUAUCCCCCAUACCCGCCCAGAAUCCCCGAUUUUUUUUUGCAAAUAAAAAAAUAAAAAAAUAAAAAUCAUACAUUUUAACAUUAAGUUUCAUAUUAAAUUAUCAAUCAACACAUCCAAAUUAACUAUAAAGUUCAAUUCAACUAUUCAAAAUCACAUCAAUUCAAUUUGACAAAACACACACACACACAUAUAUAUAUAUAUAUAUGUAUAUGUAUAUAUAUAUAUAAUCCAAAUCUUCAUCAUGAUCAUCUUACAAAUUUUGGAAUCUCACAAAAAUAAAUAAGUAUGAAAUUUAAUAAAAAGUAAGCACAAAUAUUAUAAUUACUAGCCACUUGGUAUAUGCUCACGCAUGUGCCAAUUAGUUUUAUUUUUUAUUUUUUAUUUUAUUUUUAGAAUUAAGAAAAGAUAACAUGGGUAGUUAGAGCAUCCACAGCAGAGGAUGUAUAAUGGGGUGUAUGUUAAAUAUACACCUUUUGUGAUCGGAAUCACCCACAAUGGGAAGGUGUAAACCAGUGUAAAUUUGCAUCACCACCCUGAUAUGCAAAUUUAGAUGUACAUGUACAUCAUUUUUUUACAUCUUUUGCAUGUGGGACCCAACUGAAAAAAGGUGAGAUAAAGUGGAGAAAAGUCAGCAAAAAAGUUGCUGAACCAAAAUUCAUAUGUGGGCCCAUUUUUUGGUUGCCAUCCCCCCCACCCUACAACGGUUACAUUGCUGGACCAACAGCUUUAAUUUUAAAAAACAGCUAGCUUUAAUUUAUUUUUGAUGAAAUCAUAUCUUCUCUGAGUUUAUAUAUUUUUAGGUCUAUUUGUUUGAAAAAAUAAAAUAAACCAAAUGCACAAAAAAUUAAUUUUAUAAAGUUAACACAAUAACGAAUUAAGCCAAAAAAAAAUCAAUUAUACAUCUUUCCCAUUGGAGCAAAAACUACAUUUACAACCUCCGGAGGUGUAAAAGGGAUGUAAAAGUGGCUUUACACCCUCGAAAAUACACCCCCGCAAUGUGGAUGCUCUUAUGUUCUAUAAAAGUAGGACCUAUUAUCUGAUUUUGUUUUAAUUUUUAAUUUUUAAAUAUGAAAAAUGUGAAUUUACCAUAUUAUCCUCAUUUAAUUAUCAUUUCAAUUCUUAAUAUUUGAAUUAACUAAUGGCAUUUUCUGGUAUUUUGAAUGUUUCACCAUUCUCUGCCUUUUGCUUUUUAUAUAAAGAUAAACAUAUAUUAUGAAGAAUUAGGAGAGGGAGGUUAACUUAGGGUUAAACAUAAAUAUUAUAAUUAUAUAUUUAUUUAUAAACAUUUAUAUUUUCGGGUCGGGUUCGAGGACUGGGAUGCCAAUACCAUCCCUGCCGUAAGGGAUUUUUCAAGUUUGGGGAUUCCCUUACCCGAUACUUGUUUUGCCUCGAAAUCUUCCCCCCAUUAAGAUCGGGGACCUGACAAGUACCUGUACCGGCAGAGAUUUGUGCCAUCCCUAAUCCUUACUUGGGUAAAAAAGUGAACUAUACUAAUUACAAUUAACAAACAGCUAAUUAAGGAAUUAGCGUAUUCUAGUUUUCACACCGACAUAGGUAAAUAGGAUCUAGAUCAAAAGAAGUUCAAUUAUCCCUCAAACUGGCUAAAGCAUUCGAAGUUCCCCUUUCCUUUUUCACCAACAGUGUGAAGUUUCUUUGGAUACACGUAAAAGAAUAUUAUAAUAUAUGCUUAAUUGCUUGUGAAAGAAAAUGUCUGAAUCAAACCGUUCACGAGUGGGUUGGUUUGGCUCGCCUAUGCACUAGUUUGAGUCACAAGCCAAACUAAUUUGAGCCAUGAUGUGACAUUAGUUUGGUCUGACCUGUCUAUUUAACCUCUUCUCGUCUUGUAAGUGUAAUAUAAUCUUCAGUAAAAGAUCUCCUCUGAACUUGGACUGAUACUUUGGCAAAAAUGUGGGCUCUGUGCAUGGCAGCAUUAGCUAUUAUAAGCAUCACACAUUGGGUUUACAGGUGGAGAAAUCCCAAAUGCCAUGGCAAGCUUCCACCGGGAUCAAUGGGAUUGCCACUGCUAGGCGAGACCUUACAGUUCUUCACUGCCAACACCUCUUCUGAUAUUCCUCCUUUCAUAAAAAAAAGGAUGGAAAAGUGAAGUUUCUGAUACCAUAUAUAACAGCUACUACUUUGUCAAUUUUUCAAGCAUAGUUGUUUUUAAUAUUCCUUACUAGUAUCUUGCAUUUUUGGACUUUGCAGAUAUGGACCAAUAUUCAGGACUAAUUUGGUGGGAAGACCGAUUAUUAUUUCGACAGACCCGGAUCUGAAUUACUUUGUGUUCCAACAAGAGGGAAAUUUGUUUCAAAGUUGGUACCCAGAUACCUUCACAGAGAUUUUUGGGAAGCAAAAUGUUAGUUCCUUGCAUGGGGUUAUGUACAAAUAUCUCAAGAACAUGGUGCUGCAUCUCUUUGGACCCGAAAGCCUUAAAAAGAUGAUCCCUGAUGUUGAACAAGCGGCUCUCAGCAGAUUACAACAAUGGUCAUGUCAGGACAUUACAGAACUAAAAGAUGCAACUGCAAGUGUAAUUUUCAGCCUAACCUUUCUUCUCUUUGAUAAAAUUUCACUAAAAGUUAAUAUCUUGUUUGAAGUCAGAUUAAUUUGGUCUUUGCAGAUGAUAUUUGAUCUCACUGCAAAGAAACUUAUCAGCUAUGAUUCGAGUAAGUCCUCGGAGAAUUUAAGGGACAACUUUGUUGCAUUCAUACAAGGAUUGAUCUCCUUUCCUUUGGACAUCCCUGGAACAGCUUAUCACAAAUGUUUGCAGGUAAACGUAAAUCAACGCUUGUCUCUUUCUUUCACAAGGUCAUAUUUCUCCAUGGAUAGGCAAAAGCUCAUAGAGGCAUUGAAUUAGAUCCUCAAAGCUGACUUUAAAACUAAAAAGUUCUGAGAAUGUAGUCUCUCCUCUUGGUCUCAAUCACUUUCAAAUUUUUAUGCAGGGAAGGAAUAGGGCGAUAGGAAUGCUGAAAGACAUGCUACGGGAAAGACGAGGAAAGUCCCAAGAUCAGCCAAACGACUUUUUCGAUUACGUGAUUGAAGAACUUGAGAAAGAGGGAACAAUCUUGACAGAGGAGAUUUCUCUGGACUUGAUGUUUGUGCUGCUUUUUGCGAGCUUUGAAACAACUUCAAUUGCUAUGACUUUAGCCAUCAAGUUUCUAUCAGACCAUCCUCUGGUGCUAAAGCAAUUAACGGUCUGAACUCUCAAAGUGUUACCAAACAGUUUAUAAUAUAUAUAUAUAUAUAUAUAUAUAUAUAUAACCUUAUAAACAUUUUCUAUCUUAUGCCAGGAAGAGCACGAAAUGAUUCUAAAACAAAGGAAAAAUGCUGAUUCGGGACUUACAUGGAAAGAAUAUAAAUCAAUGACUUUCACAUUUCAGGUGAAUCUUGACAUUUUCACUUUCAGUUCUUGAAGGGAAAUCCACUCUAUUCAGACCUCUGUUUUACAAACUGAAAUUUUCAACUUGCAGUUCAUCAACGAAACGGUUAGACUGGGAAACAUAGCUCCAUGCAUCUUUCGAAAAGCGCUGAAGGAAAUCAAUUUCAAGGGUAUGUAGGAAUGACAUAGAGUAUUGUUUUCCUGCUAUAGGAAAUCAUUCUAAUUUGACAUAUUAUUACCAUUUGGCGUGGGUGUAGGAUAUACAAUUCCAGCAGGUUGGGGAGUUAUGGUUAGUAACACAACGGUACACUUAAACCCAGAAAUAUAUGACGAUCCUGUGGCCUUCAAUCCAUGGAGAUGGGAGGUAGGUUGAAUAUCUGAGAAUGUAUUGUUCUAGCUAAUCUACCAUUUAUUCUCAGUCCUAAACUGCAAUGAAGUUGGUUUGAUUAAUUUAAAGGGAACGGAAACAAAUAGCGCAUCCAAAGAUUUCAUGGCUUUUGGCGGCGGACAGAGACUCUGCGUAGGAGCAGACUUUGCUAAAGUGGAGAUGGCUGUGUUUCUCCAUUGCUUAGUCACAAAGUACAGGUAAGAAAGAACUAAUGUCCUGUAAUGAGUGAGAGAGAGAGUGAGAGAAAGAGAGAGAGUAACAUGUUCUCAUCCAAAAUUUUCAGGUGGGAAGCAAUCAGAGGAGGAAAUAUAGUCCGAACUCCUGGGCUACAAUUUCCGGAAGGUUUCCACAUUCGUAUCCUGGAGAAAGAUAACAGGAAACAGCCUAUAAUUCCUGAUCCUUGAAGCAGAAAUGUCCGAGAGGGUAGAGCCACCAUAUGUUCUUUUAGAUUGUGAAGCAUGGACCAUUGAGCUUGCCAUUUCCUCAGUUUAAAUAUUUUCUAAAAUAAGAUUGGUUAGGAUUCGGAAUUUCUCUGAAUGUCCCGGGUUCAGACCACUAUUAUGAAAUGUACUCUGUAAUACAAUAAAGGCAAAGAAAAAAGAUUGGCAUGCUUCUACCUAGAUCUUUCUCAAUGUUUAAUGAUCUCCAUGUAACAGCCAUUCACUGAAGUUGUAGACAAAAAUACUUCAUGUGCAAUAAUAACAAUCAAAUUUAAGCAUUAACCCUGUCUCUAAGUUCAUUUGCAGCUUCAAUAACAAUCCAAACUGUCACAACAUCUAUAGUGAAUGGACCAACAGUUUUCCAUUUUAUAAAAAGAGCAUGUUAACUCUAGCAUCUUAAGUUGGACCAAAUCGACUGCUCUGCCCCUUCUCCAAACCUGUGCAUAAAGACACCCAGCUUAGUUGACAUGCACCUUAACAAGAACCAUCAAAGAACUAGUACCUAUCAAGAUAGUAACGUGAUAGCCCCCUUUGCCAAAGAUCUGAUAAAAACCAUAGCCAACACUAUGUAACUUACUUAAUUCAGCAAUUCAUAUCCCAAAAACCACCCAAAAAAACAAAAUCAUUUAUCAAGAACUACAACUAGACUUACAUGCCUGUUGGCGAGGAUCCAACUCAAUUGCCUUAUCAAAUUCUGCUACACACCCUGAAACAUCACCCUUAACAAAUAACAAAGUUGUAAACUUUUAAUGCCAAACUAUAAGAACAUGUCAAAUGUGCAGAGAAAUUUAGAAACCAGUAUUGAAUGAACAAGGAGCAGAUUUUACCCCCUAAAGAGUACCAUUCCACGUCGAAUUGCGGCAAUGGCUUCGCAAGCAUUGUUACCGCUAGCUAAGGCAUCCCAGAUGCCAGAAACUCAAGGGAGCGGUGGCUAGGUUCUGUAGUUGUGAAUUGUUGAAGUAAUUGUGCCAAAGAAGACGGAGCUGUUCUGGGUUUUGAAUAAAACUGAAGGCGAGGUUAGGAAUGGUGUCAUAUACGGUUUUUCUAUUUAAUUUUUUUCAAUAAAUAGGAUCGGCUAUACUAUUUUAAAUAUAAAAUAAAAUAAAAAGAGUCUAGCCACAUGGUUAUAUUAUUUAUCGAAAAAAAGGGACACACCUAGUGUCUAGAUGCCCACGUGUCAAAACAGGUAUAGCCGAGCUAUACUAUUUUUUUUUCUAAAUAAAUUACCGACGUCAAGCCGAGCGGCUAUACUAUUUUAAAUAAAAAAUAAAAAACCCCAUAUAGCCACGCGGCCAUACUAUUUAUAAAUAAAAAAAGGGAGACCCGCCUAGUGCCAAGUGCCCACGUGUCAAAACAAGUAUACAAUUUUUACAAUAAAUUACCGUAGUAAAGCCAGACGGCUAUACGAUUUUUUUAAAAAUUAAAAAAAAAAAUUGUCCUAUUAUAGCUGGGCGGCUAUACUAUUUUUAAUAAUAAAAAAUAUCCGUGUAUAGCAAGACGGCUAUACUAUUUAUAGAAAAAAAAAAAAAGGACCUACCUAGUGCCUAUAUGUGUCAAAAUCUGUAUAGCCGCGCAGCUACACUAUUUUUUAAAAAUAAAACAUCGGAGUAUUACCGCGCGGCUAUACUAUUUUAAAUAAAAAAUAAAAACCCCGAGUAUAGCCUCGCGGCUAUACGAUUUAUAGAAAAAAAAAAAGGGUACGUAUAACUGUGCGGCUAUACUAUUUACUAGGGCUUUUUAAAAAAAAAUAAUAAUUUUUUUCCCGGAUUUUCGUUUAUCAAUAAGAGUACUUUAGAGCAUUAUCCAUUACUACAAAGCCAUUACUCAAGUAUCUAUUGUCCCUUUUUUAUUUUUUACUUUAAUGAGUUAUUAUCCGUUUAAAAAUUUUAGCAUUUUCUAAUUUAAUAUUCAUAUUAUAUACAUACAUAUAUAUAUAUUUCAAUAGUUCUUCUUUUUUCCUUACACGUCUUUGUUUAAAAAGUGAAGAUUACGGUGGAUAAAUCCCAUUCAAGUUGGUGGUUCCCCAAGGAUGACACAUUGGGUUUACAGGUGGAUGAUUCCCAAAUGCCAUGGCAGACCUUACAGUUCAAUGGGAUUGCCACUGCUAGGGGAGACCUUACAGUUCUUCACUCCCAACACCUCUUCUGAUAUUCUUCCUUUCAUAAAUUUUUUAUAAAAAUUAAAAAAAAAAAAAAAAGGAUGGAAAAGUGAAGUUUCUGAUCCUGUGGUCUUCAAUCCGUGGAGAUGGGAGGUAGGAUGAAUAUGUGAGAAUGUAUUGUUCUAGCUAAUCUACCAUUUAUUCUCAGUCUUAAGCUGCACUGAAAGAUGGUUGAUUAAUUUACUGGAAACGAAAACAAAUAGUGCAUCCAAAGAUUUCAUGGCUUUUGGCGGCGGAUAGAGACUCCGUGUAGGAGCAGACUUUGCUAAAGUGGAGAUGGUUGUGUUUCUCCAUUGCUGAGUCACAAAGUACAGGUAAGAACUAAUGUCCUGUAAUCAGAGAGAGAGAGAGAGAGAGUAACAUGUUCACAUCCAAAAUUUUCAGGUGGGAAGCAAUCAGAGGAGGAAAUAUAGUCCUAACUCCUGGGCUACAAUUUCCGGAUGGUUACCACAUUUGUAUCCUGGAGAAAGACACAGGAAACAGGAAACAGCCAAUAACUCUGAUACUUGAACCAGAAAUGUCAUGUGCUUUUAUAUUGUGAAACAAGAAGCAUUGAGCUUGACAUUCCCUCAGUUUGAAUAUUUUCUAAAAUAAGAAGCAAUUUUCAUAUGGUUAGAUUGGUCAGGAUUCGGAAUUCCUCUGAAUGUCCCGGGUUCAAACCACUAUUAUGAAAUGAAUUAUGUAAUACAAUAAAGCCAAAGAAAAAAGAUUGGCAUGCUUCUACCUAGAUCCUUCUCAAUGUUAAAUUAUCGCCAUGUAAAGGUGGAAGCAGAGAAAAGAACCGGUUAAAGGAAUGCCAAGAUAUCCAACAUUUUAAAAAAAUUAUCUAACAAAGGCACUAGUAACAUUCUGUGUGAAAAAAGAUCUUUACAUUUGCAUUCUUCCACGACCCAAAGAAAAUAGAUAUAAACAGGAAAAUCAAUUCACUGAAAGAGUAUAAAACUGUAAGUGCCACUACUCUCUCUGUUUAGCAUGCAGAUUAAACUGAUUGUUAUCCAAAAGCCUUUUGUACAUACCAAAUUCACUCUUGCGUUCACUUGAUUGCGUCUGGUCUGGUCUGGUCACUAUGAAUAAUCUUUGGUUAGUCUCCUUUCAUUUUUAUGGCUGUGGUAUCCGGUAUUUUCAUCAACUUUCUGCAUAAUACUUGAAUGCUUUCUUCUCCCAUGCUUGGGCUUGUCUUUGUGGACGUGGUGGAGAUGGUAGUAAUAAUCGCUGCCUCUUUCAAACUGGUUACGCCUGUGAUCAUUGUGAAUGUUUCUUCGCUUAUGAUGAGAACCAUGCUUGUGGUUCCUUGCUUCAUGCCCAUGAUGUUUAUGAACAUGAGUGUGCAAGUGUUCUACGUCACUUCUGUGCUUCCGAAUAUCCUUGGUGUGCUGAUUAUUAUCCCAAAAAUGAUCUUCCCACCAAUCAUAUAAAGGAUCAAAAAGUCCCUUUUGAUGUAGAAGCCACAGUAGCACAACCACUGCACAUCCAUGCAUAAUAUUUUAUGUAUUCGUUGCAUCUCUGAAAUCAUCUGCUUAAAUGUAAAUUUUCUGGAAAAAGUAGGUUUACCUGUUGGAAAAAUUGCCAAAAGUAGACCAAACAUCACAAUCCAACUCAUACAUAUAUACUGUAUGUGGCACCGGAAGUCAAAGAACCUGGGGCAUUUCCUUCUGCCCACAAAAAGAUGCAAAGAGAAAUGGACCGGGUUUCAUACAAAUCAAAAGAGAUUUAAAAUGUGCAAAUUCAACUACAAUCCAACAUCAGAUGCAUCCACAAGAAGAAAAAGAAUAUAUAUGAUAGCUGAGCAUAAUAUCUGAUCGUGUGUGCAAGGCGUGGCGUGAUUAAGAAUUGUUAGAAUGCAACCAGCAUUUUGAACAGACAAAUCCACGUUAGAAUGGUUACCAAAGGACCACUGCCAUCAAAACCAUUACUAGAAAUGAAAAUUUAGAGCAUAAAAAAGUUUAAAGAAUAAAAAACUGAACCAGGCAAGUACCUGCAAGUUUUUCCAGUGACGAAAUCUACCAAAAUAUUCCACAGAUUGUUCCAAAUGCUUUCAACAGAGUCAAAGAAACCGGUUGUGCCUGUCUUUGGUGGAUUAAAAGGAUUACCCUGCAGCAAUUAAUGACUUCAGUAGUUCAUUCAUCACAUAAAUCAAUUUCCACAAGGUUAAUUUCAUUUCAAAGUAUCAUUUCUCAGUUGUUGUCUUUAAAACGGACUUAAAGAAAUCAUGCUGAUCUAAAGUGCCUCAUACAUUGGACUUCAAAGAACUUCUUAACUUUCUUCUGAAAGGAAUGAAGAUUUACAGGGUAAAACAUCGUUAUGACUAAACCUGUGAUCCAUUAUCAAGGACAGUAGAUGUUGUAGAAAAUUGGCACUCGGCUCUAUCUACUUCUUUAUAAUCAGAGUCCUUUAGUAUAGCUGCAUUCAAACUAAAAAAGUUAGUACUACCAAAAAUACUUUGGGCUACUUUAUCAUCUGUCUGAACCAUGUCUCAUCUUACCUGCACAAACAUAUUUUGCAGCUUGAUCAGUUGCUGGGUAAAGUUUGAAGGCUCGCGUUGUUGUUUCUUUUGGCUUCAUAAUAAGGAAUUGUUCCUGAAACACAGUAUCAUUUGUGUGAAUAUAAUCAUCAUGUUCAAAACUGAAUACAUGGGCAGUAGGGAAAAAGUACCUCCAUGAGGGUGACAUCACUAGAGCAAUCAAACUGCAAGAUGGGAAAAUUCAUCACAUCUGAAACUACAUAUUGCAACAGCCAUUCACUGAAGUUGUAGACAAAAAUGCUUCAUGUGCAAUAAUCACAAUCAAAUUUAAGCAUUAAAACCCUGUCUCCAAGUUCAUUUGCAGCUUCACUAACAAUCCCAACUGUCACAACAUCUAUAGUGAAUAGACCAGUUUUCCAUUUUAUAAAAAGAGCAUGUUAACUCUAGCAUCUUAAGUUGGACAAAUCCAAAAAUAAAAGGGAAAAAGAAAAGAGGAUAAUCCAUUUAAGUCUAUAUUAAAAUUUAAGAAUAGUCAAUAAGGUACCGUUAAACUAUAUGAUGCUUCCACUUCACCAGUAUUCGUUGUUGUGAUUGUCGCAGUUCCAAAUUGAGUAAGGGCCUCAAACAUUGGGACAUUGAUACUUAAGAUUUUCCCAGGACUCCUACAAAUGCAUAAAAAAAACCUUCGGCAAUAAGUGAAACUUAAUGAGGAUCAAAAAGUUAUAUGAAGCUUAAAAAUCUUGGUUAUUUGGAUUCUAGAUGUCCCAAGUGAAGACACAUUUUAAUUAUUAGAAAACUACUAAAUUCAAAAAGUUAAAGUUGUUAGAGAAUGGACCAACAAUACAUAUCAAUUGAAUACCCUCCCUCACAUCCAGCCCCAUCAUGUACGUGCGGAGGCAGCAAAGAGAUGGGGAUAAUAGAGACACAUAAAGGUGCCUCCCUCAGAACCUCUGGCAAACAGAGAUAAGAUACAAUGUUUAAAACUACUUAUUUCCAUCAAUUACAUGAGUGACUUGGCUUAACCGAAAAGAAAAGAACCUACACAGUUUUCAGCAUAUCAGUCAGGAGGACUUUAGCUAAUAAAAGUACAAAAAGGAGCAAUGGCAUCUUUGUUUUCCAAGUUCAUCUCAUCUUAACAAAUAAAUUCUUGAAAAUAAAAUUAGUAAGAGUGCUUAAGGAAAUAAUAAAAACCUUGAAAAUGAAUAGCCCAUACAUGAAACAAUUAUUUCAAAUACAAGCCAAUCAAGCAUACUCAUUAUAGGGAGUUGAUGUUCAUGCCUUUUAAUAAAUACAAAAUCCUUCUAAAAUAAGUCAAAUACAGUAGCCUGAAAAUACUAACCUUUGGUAGACAUAUUCUACGUCAUCAGCACUUAGUUCUAUCAAGAGAUUAGUAUUAAUAACUUCAGUGACUCCUAUGGAAAACGAAUGAGUUCCUGCAUUCUGCAUCCAAUCAGAAAUGAUAAAUAAAUCCCGAUGAUAGAAAUUGUUGUGAAUGUACUUCUAAAAUUGCUAAGACAUAACUGGAUGCUGGUUUAUCCUUUCAAACCUUCCUUCCACACCAUAAAGUGGCAACUGAUUCCUUUCAAUUCGGUUCUGGUCAGCCUGUCAGAAAGAAAAAACUUGUUCCUCGGUUUCCACAUCAGCUAUAAAAUAACCAUGUACCAAAUAUAAAACAGCCACAAUCCUCUGAAAUAUCUCAUUGUACAAACGGAGAAAGAGACUCCUGCCUUUCUGCCAACGAUAUAUGAUAGAACAUGAGAUUUCACUAUAGUUUAUGUAAAGAACUUGAAGCACUUAUGGAACUUUCAGUACCAAUGUCAGCAAUGCGAAACUAUAGCAAUACAUUCAACAAAAAUAAGACUGAAAUGAGAAGCAUACACUAGAGAAGAUACAACUUUCAGGCUGGAUAGACAAACCUAACCAAAAAGAGAAGCAUGCAAUAGAUAAGAUACAACUUUCAGGCUGGAUAUACAAACCUCCCAGAAAUUCCAUAAUUGAUUAUGCAAGCAACUCCAGAAUGGUGAAGAGCAAAAGUUUGGCUGCCCAUUGAAAGCCUCAUAACUGACACCAAUUUUAUUACAUUCAACACCAUCUAAAGAAAACCUUACUCUCUCUAGCAGCAUCCACAUAGAAAGGUUCCUCCCCAAGUUCUGGGGUUGACCAGGACCCCCCUUCCACAAAAGGAAAAUGAAACUCUCAGCAAUAGAAGAAAAUAACAAAUACUGCAUGGCUGUUUAUAAAGAAAAAUUAAUCAAUUAGCUUGAUCUUUUAUAGUAACUCUAAUAUUAUCAGUCUCAUAGCAGAUGCUUUCAAGAAUCACACUUAUUUAAAAUGCGAAUGCAAACCAAUGAGUGAUAUUGGAACCUCAGACCAACACUACCAUCCAAACAUAGUGCAAAUAUUGUAGUGAACUUUUGACCUAUUACAUUCUCUUUUACAAAACCAUUAACAUAAAGAAUAGCUGUACCUAGUUACUCCCGUAAGAAAUACAUACUUCAAAUAAAGCAUAUAUGCCAAUGGUACUAACGGAAAUUACAUUGGUGGAGCCUGCAUACCUGCCUCGGAAUUACAAGGUAGAAAUCCUCGAAUGAUGGUAUAUUUGUGUAUCCAACAAAAUCUCCAAUAAGAUUAACUCGUACAAAAUUAUCAUUGGAUAUCGCUGUUCUAUUCUCAGGACCAACAAGCACUUCCUGGUGGCAAAUAAAGUAUCCAUAAAUCUUUGUUAUGAAAUGAAAUUUAACAUUACUAAGAGCAAGAUAAGAGGAUGAAGUGCUGUAAAGUAAAAGGGAAAAGGGAGCUUCAUUCCACGGGGAAAGGAAAAUUGUAUAUAGUAGUUCAACAUGAAAUGAGCUCUAAUUUUCAGCAGAGGUCUAAUUUUUCGCCACAGGAAAAAGACACAAGAUUUUCAAACACAUGUUACAAGACUGAAUUAGAUUGUAAUGAGUAAUUGUCUAUAGCAGAAACAAGCACAAUACAUUACAAGCAAUGAAUAUAUAAAUGGUACACAUAUGUGGAGAAGCAACAUACCGAAACUUUAGAUCCUGUCUUCACCUGAACUAGAACACUGAAUCCCACUGACCGCUGUCCAAUACCAAAAACAUGGAACCUAAGUGGAUUUUAAAAUAAACAAAUAAAAAUUCACUUCUCGGAUAAUGGCCAAAGGGUAUGAAUAAACAAGAACAUCAAAAAGGAAAUAUAUUGGCCAUGUAGAAUUGUUUAUAGUUGUAGCCUCCAUCACUUAUAUUGUCAAACAUAAACAAUUAUUUCAAGCAAAACAAUAUUGGACUCUUAGUAAUCUUAGUUCAACCUUCGUAACUCCCCAGAAGAAAAGAAAAACCAAGCUUCUUCACAUAAUUUUAAAUUUGAUAAGAUUAUUUGACGGUAGAAAUGUAUCAUAUUUCACAAAUUCAUGAAAAUUUAUGAAUAUGAUCUCUAUAUGAAAACUUUAUUGAAAGUAAAACAAAAAGAAUAUGAGAAAAAGACAACUACUACCACGGAAAAUGACAUAGCCUCAUAAAUUUCUAUAAACCAGAGAGCUAUGGCAUGUCGGCUGGAACUUAUCAAAAAUCAAUUAUGAACCUUUCAAGAAAAACAUAAGCACAAUGAAGAACUUAGAACUUAAAGCAAGGACCUUACCAAUCACCCGGAAAACGGACACAAUGGGCAGUAUUCGCUUUUCCCUUCAUCAACUUAUCAACUAACAAAAGAAAAGUAUCAAAUUCAAUAGUCCAAGAUGGCAAGAGGCAUUGUACAAGUAAAAUUUAAGAAAAUGUAAACAACUAAAAUGCACUUACACACAUUUCCACAUGAUGAAGGUACCCGCCGCUGAGGCCCACAAGGACAGCAGAUUGGCUAUGCAGAACAUAACAGACAAAAUGGAAGAAAAGAAUACAUCACAAACUGCUUACAAAAAUCUAUGAUAAAUAAUAACUGUUAAGCAUCAAUAGACUACUGAACAUAUAACUUUGGACAUUUUUCAACAUCAAUUCAACAAGAGCAAUCUACUAAUAAAUUGCGAGUGACCUUAGAACGUAAGCUAAAUAGCAAUACAAGCAUAAAUAAUCAGAGAAAAUAACCAUAUGCAACCAAUAUUAUUAUGGGAUGUACUUAAAUAGUGUGACAACGUGGAGAAACAAUUAUUGUGGGAUGUCACAAGGCCUAAUAUGUAUACAUAUAAUGCUAUAGAACCCCUGAUCUAUAAGAAAGAAUAAAAAAAAUAAAAAAAAGGCAAAAUAAAAUGAUAACUUUGAAAGUACAUAUACUAAAGACUCAAAAGUACUACUUGCACAAAAAUAAAAUGAUAACUUUGAAAGUACAUAUACUAAAGAUUGUAGAAAUGGCACCUCAGUGUGCUCAAUAAUGUGAUCGUUUUCAUCCCGUAACCUACAGAACAUGCAACGGAAGUCCACUGGUCAUAUAUAUAAACAUGGUAAAGAAUAUGAUGUUUGUCUAUGAAGGCAACCACCCACCACCCUUCCCCCCCUUCUAAAUGAAUUUUUUUUUCCUCAGCAUGUUAGUUAACGAAACCAAAUUUAAAUAGAUAAAUAAAUUAAGGCUACUGUAGCUGCUUCUAGAAACACCACUAUCACUCACCACAAUAAGAUUAGGGUUAAAUUUAAGUGCCAUAAUAUCAAAAUUGAAGAGGUUUUUUCUUGCGUAUAUUGAACAUCACAAAUCUACCAAAUAUGAUGAAGGUCUUGAACCUUCCUUCACACUGAGUCCUCAUGUACUAAGUGUCCAACUAAGCAUUCAAAACUCUGAAGUGACCAAACAGAUAUUUUUUUAAUAAGUCUCUCUAUACAGAGUAAGUACAUUUCUAGUGAUCUUUUUGACAUCUAAGCCCCGUAAAACAAAUAUAAUGUCCUUUACUUGGUAACAUAAACAUAAGAAUCUACCUCAGAAUGAUAAUUUCUAAAACAACAUUUAAUGUAAAUCGGCAUCAAUAACGACUAGGACUAGCAAGAAGGUGUGUAAGCAAACUCAGACUUUUGAGGAGUAAAAGAAGUGAAGCAAACUCAUUUCACAUGGCAACCAAAGUAAACAUGGUUAAGCAGUCAUCGCCUUUAUAUUCUGUCUUCUUUUGCACCCAAGUUUUUGGUCCCAUAUUUUCACCCGACAAAUGGACACAAUCUACGAUCCUAACUGCAGCUUCCAAGUAACUCUUAAAAUGUAUAAUCCCAAAGGUAAAAUCCCUAUAUUGGCAUGAGACAAUAAACUAUAAGAACCCUUUAACUUGUACCAAUCAAAAGCUCAAUAAAAAUUAAAAACCAGUGAAGGAAACAACAAAAGGCUAAAAGAUUGUUUGCCUCUCACAUAUCUUCACAACUUUUGCAUCUGCAUCUCGCUCACAUUUGCGGGUCUUAACAUAGUACUCUUCCGGUUUAAAGGCAACAUCCUAUACAAAUGUUACAAGUACCAAUUAAAACAUAUAUGGAAAUCGAAAAGUACCAAGUAAGAAGUUAACAAGAAAGUUUCAGUUACCCUACUCGUAUGUACGUAAGCUCAUACAAUGCAUAAGCCGCGGACUUGUUGACGGUCAGAACAGGGGGAAUUCGAAAAUUUUGCAUCUUUUGGCUUGAAUUCUCUUCCACCUCUACGAUUUCGGCAACAAUUGAUGCCUCUCCGCCGCUCUGUAAUUUCAUCAAACAUCUCACAAUCAUUACCUGCAUUUAAUUUCAAGCAGUGAAAUUAGGGAUGGUGAGUUUGUCGUUUACCGUGCCACUAGGAAUGGCCAUGUUGAGGACGAUCUUCUUGGUGCAAUUCAAGUUUCCGGAAUCGGAAGUCUUCUCGCACUUCUCGAGCUUCGAUUUGGAAAGAAUCUGAACUGCGACGACGUCGUGUGGAGUGAGAAACCCGAUGAAGCACAGAAGGAAGAGGAGGGUCUUGUGCCCUAAUUUUGGCGUUUGGGUUCUCAUUUUCUUUUGCGAUUUCUGUGACUGAAAUCUGCCACCAACGGUUUGGUUUUGUAGAAGAGCAGUUGUUGGAGGCGCGGGUAGACGUUUGGUUUUGAAAAACUGCCACCAACGGUUUCCUUAUUCAAAUGACGGUUGGUUAUUCCAACGACGUCGUUUCUGUUGAUGAAGUCACGUGUGUGUAUAAUGCCCCUUCACGUGGGGCAGGGACACAUGGGAAAACCUGAUGAGAAAUUGAGUGUUGACUUUUUUUUGGGUUACAAAAAAGCACAUGCGGAGGAUUUAACUUGGAACCUCAUUAAGGAGUCCAAUCGUAUUCGCCCAACAUAUGUAAUGUAGCCCGUUCAAUUUUUCACGAGACCAAACCCACUUAGGUUGAGUGUUGACUUUGAAAUGUGUUAACAUGUGUAUGUGUGACAUUUACAUGCUGUACAUCAUAAUGCACCAUAUUGAGUCGGCAUGUAGUUACGAACACUCAUAAGUGAAUACAUAUUAAUUUCCACAAUCACAAUACUUUAUCAGGAUAUUAAAAUUUCCUUUUUAAUAUCAAAUACUAAUGCGUGCUAAAAUCGAAUGAACUCACUCUCUCAAGUCAUGGACAAGAUGCAUCCAACGGUUGGGCUUAAAUCAAGCCAUGAAACCAUUCGUUUGCUAGUGAUGGUGAUGGUGAGGAUAGAGAUGGACUACGUUGCAAAAACAAUUAAAUAAAGUCGUGAAUUAAGCAGCCAACCGCUCCCCGCUUCCCAAUUUGCUUUAAAGUUAAACUAGUGGCCACAAGCAAUACACAUCUCCGCACCUGAUUGCUCCCUCCGUUCGGUGGGGACACGUGGCGGGUCCCUGCUUCGUCCAGCGAUUCGUACACACAGAGAAUUAAAAUAAUAAUAUAAAAUAGAAAAUAUUACAACAGAGAGAGAGAGAGAGAGAGAGAGAGAGAACCAUUUCGAGAGCAGCUCUUCGUAAAGAAGAAAGCCAAAAGCUAUAUAGCAGCUACAGCUAUGCGCAUUGCGCACACCCCUUUCUUCUCCACUGCCGCGAGACCUAAGAGACGACGGCCAUGGCGGCCCACGACUCACCGGAGAGUCUGUACCGAGUUCUCUUCGAUCGGUGCCAGAGUCUGGAGGCGAGCUACGCCAGGCUCAGAGCAGAGCUUCAUGAGCUUCGGCACCACGGGAGGAAGAAGGAGGAGAAGCGAGAAGAAGACGAUGCGGUGCUGACGUCAGACUAUUCUGGUUCGAGCUUCCAUCUGCCCGGGUUCUUCCUCUCUGGCAGUCCGUACAAGGGCGUAUUGGACUCCAUGGGCCACGCCGUUCUUGUGUGCACAGCUUUCUCUGGAGAGAUCAAUUACUGGUACGUAAUUGCAAAACUGCGUCGUUUGAUUCGUUUUGUUGGUUUCUGAAGUUGUAUGUAUUUUGACUGUGUCAUUGUGAUAGGGUGGUGGUACUGUAUAUAUGAUAUUGAUGAAACAGUUGAUGAAUUUAUGAACUUCAGCAUUGCGCGAAUGUGUUUUGUUGACUCUUAAAAAUUUUCGAGGAUUUUUGGUAAAGAAUAGCUAGAUUCCUCCAAAAUUUGUGCGUGUUUAGCGUUUACCUCAACAAAUGUUGACAUGCUUUCAAUAUUACGUCACAUAUGAUCCGUUUGAGCUCAAGAAUUUGAGUUUAUGACAUAUGAAUGUAGGAAGAAGUGUUUUAUAUUGUUAGUUUUCUGUAAAUUUUUGUUGUCAUACUGGUUAUGCAUUAUUUAUAUCAAUGAACAUUUAUAUUGACUGAAUUGUGGUUAUGUUUGGUAUCCUAGAACUCAUGCAUGUUGGAUUGACCUCUGAAAUCCUACUAAAGACGCCGUCGUUGAUAGCUUGCAUGUGUUAGCUCAUGUGAAGUUAAAUUGCUUCAAAAAAUUGUGCCUUGUUUAUUGUUUAUCCCAGAAAAGAUUGACAUGUUUCGGCACUAUAUCAUAUAUUAUCAGUUUGAGCUCAAUAAUUUGAGUUUAAUACAGGAAUCGUUCUGCUGAGAAUCUCUAUGGAUGGAAGGACUAUGAAGUCCUUGGGCAAAGGGUUGCUGAGCUCCUCAUUGCUGAAGAUUACCAUGCACUUCUAAAGAGAAUCAUGGAAAGGUUGAGACUUGGGCUAACAUGGUCAGGUCAGUUCCCUUUUAAGAAGAGGUCUGGAGAAAUAUUUAUGGCGAUGGUGACCAAAAGCCCUUUAUAUGAAGAUGGUGAGCUUGUCGGUAUUAUCACAGUUUCAACUGAUGCGGCAUUGUGUAAUAGAAUAGAAUCAGAUCUGAGUGCAUUCAAGGAUCGUGCCAAUGCCAAACAUAGAGGAUGGCAGUUAAAGUACCCGCGACCACCAGUUGUACCAGUGCCACAGAUUGCAUCAUCUGUUUCUAAUCUGGUGCUUAUGCUACACAACCACAAUUCUUGUGAUUUCAUUCAGAUAGCUGAAAUUGUGUUUUACUCAUUAUACUGGUGAACCAAUCAGGCCUCAAAACUUCUAUCAAGAAAUGGAGAUGAUGUGUGCAAUUCAAGUGUGAUGGACGAGGUCAGGGAGGACUCUACAACAGCCACUGAAGAUGCUAACUUAGAGAAACCUGGUUCGCUGGUGAGUCUCCGUCAUAUUAAAUCAUGAUGUCUAUGUUUUUUUUUCUUCCUCUUCAUUACUCUUUAGAGUGUGUCUAAAUUAUUUGGUUGAGAUGGGUGCAGACAGUAAAGUUCUUGGCAAAGCUGCAAAUUAUAGGAACCAACAAAGAAGGGAAACAAGAGGAUCCUAAUUCCCCGAGAAAGUCAAAAGCAUCAAGUUCAUGCCACUUCUUUGUUGAUACAGACGGUAAGGAAGAAAGACCCAACAAAAUAAAUUCUUCUCUCGAAGAUAAGAGAACUCAUUCAAAUGCAUUUUGGCAAAAAAAUCCAAUUCCUUCAGGCAAGAAUUCUGUUUUAGCCUCUUCAAGGGAGUGCAACGAAUGUUUUAGGUUAUCCAGACCAGGUUAUCCGAAACCUGAAGAACACAACUUGAAUGCUUUAGAGAUACAAGAUGCAGUGCAUGAACAAAAUGGUAAACAAUUACCAAGUUCUGUGGAGAGCAUUGGCAACCAUGAUAGUUGUUCAAGCAAAGGGGUUAAUGACUCUAAUCCCAGGGAGGAUUGUGAGAUUCGCUGGGAUGACUUGCAUUUGGGAGAGGCAAUUGGACACGGUAAAGGGGGCUAUUUGUGCUUUAAAUCUAGUACCUAUUCAAAAUUAAAAAACCUUGAAUGCUUUGGGGGUUGGUAGAACCCACUAUCACUCUUGCAGCUUUGUUAGGACGUUCAAUAUAUAACUCUGCAGGAGAUUUGUUAGUUAUUCCAUGUUUGACAGUCUGUUAAUAUAAAUGAAAUUAGGUGAUGUUACCAAAGCUAUUUUUCGGAACUUUUUCUUUUCGGCCCUAAUAGCUAUCCUUACUUUAUGUGGUGGAAUUUCUUAAAAUGUGAAAUGAGUUUGGUGGUCUUUGGUUUCUAAACGUACAUGUUUGUUUGUUCUUGCCUCCCAGGUUCAUGUGCCAUUGUUUAUCGUGGAAUCUGGAAUGGAUCGGUACAUGUCUAAAUUUAAAGAGUUCCUUAAUAUCUUACUGAAACCAAAGUUAAAUCGAUAAUUUGAAAUUUUGACCCAAUAUUUUCUAUUCUUUUUUGUGUUUUUAGGAUGUUGCCAUUAAGAUGUACUUCAAAAAUGAAUACAGUGAGGGGAUUUUACAUGACUACAAAAAGGAGGUGAUAUAAAUUCUCAAUUGACUUUUAUUGUUUGUAAUUGUUGUUUGAGAAAGAAAGCAGCUGAUCCCAGGAUCUCUUUUGAAUUCUUUAGAUUGAUAUAAUGAAAAGAUUGCGGCAUCCUAAUGUUUUGUUGUUUAUGGGAGCAAUAUGUUCACAAGAACGGCUUGCCAUUGUCUCAGAGUACUUACCUAGGUAAUUGGAAGUAUACUACUUUUCAAUGAUUAGUCAACAAAUCAUAUUAAGAGUUGACGCAUUAGGUUACUAUUUCAUGUUAUGUUAAUUUUGAAUUAUACCAUGUUUAUGUCAGUUCGUAUUAUGCCUUUUUAUUUUGGGUCUGUUGGUACCGAUCUUAUGAAGGCUUAAUAAAUGCAAACCAUUUAAUACCGUUCUCCUCAUGAUAUGGCAAUUAUAGGCUAAUAUUACAUUGAUUCUGUUUGUGUGGUUAGGGGAAGUCUCUUUAAACAACUUCACAAGAACAAUCAGACAUUAGACAUCAGACGACGGCUAAUGAUGGCCCUUGAUGUUGUACGUCCCUCUCUCCUUCUCUCUCUGUGUAUUUGUGUCUGCGCACGGUUGCAUGUCUUCAUGUCUUCAUUACAACAAAAAUUAUGCUGUCACAGCAUUAGAUGCACAAAAUGUGCGCAAAUCCAACUUUGGCUAUUUACAGCAGGGUGUGACACUAUAUGCAAUUUGUGUAUGACUUUUGCAAAUUGCAUACAAAGUCAUGCGAGGAUCAGUUCUUUUAUUCUUAUUUUUACAUAAGAGUGUUUUUAAGCCUUUCAUCUGUCAAUAAGAUAACAAAUCUACUCUUAUAAUGCAGGCUAGAGGCAUGAAUUACUUGCAUCAUAGGAAUCCACCUAUAGUUCACAGAGACUUAAAAUCGUCUAACCUGCUGGUUGAUAAGAAUUGGACUGUGAAGGUAAUGUGAACUGGCCACUAGUUAUUCAAGCAGAAUAAGUAUAUACCCGUCACUCAGACAAGCGCUUUUUCUGUCAGGUUGGUGACUUUGGCUUGUCGAAGUUGAAGAAUGCAACCUUCUUGACAGCAAAAUCUGGAAGAGGAACGGUCAGGAUCUCUUUCUGAGGUCUUUUAGUUACGAACUGUGCUCACAGAUAGGCUAUAGAAGAUAUUGAAAAGUGAUUUAAGUGAUAAGCUUCGCUGUUGUAAUUUUUCUGAUUCAUGUGACUACCUUUAUUAAAUAAUCUUACUUCGACGUCUUUAUUUUUCUAAAUGCAGCCUCAGUGGAUGGCCCCUGAAGUCCUUCGAAAUGAACCUUCAAAUGAGAAGUAAUUUCUAAAAACUGACCUUUAAAAGUCAAUUAAAUAAACAGUGGCUAAACUUUCUGGGAAACUAUGUGUCUGCUGUAUACCUGUCGUUGCUCCCUUUUUUGUGCAAAUGUUUUUUUGCCAAUGCAUUGAGCUGCCUUCUCUUUAAACAGGUCUGAUGUGUUUGGCUUUGGUGUCAUCCUGUGGGAACUAAUGACCGAAUCGAUUCCAUGGAAUAACCUCAAUUCUUUACAGGUUCUCUCUCUUUUUCUGAGUGAGCACAUGUGCACAUAUAACCUUGAUGCUCUGUGGUUCUUAAAUCUCAUUGAAAAUUGUUUAUUUCUUUUGGAAGGUUGUUGGAGUUGUAGGGUUUAUGGAUAGAAGAUUAGACAUACCAGAAGGCCUCGACCCCCAAGUCGUGUUGGUCAUCGAAGACUGUUGGCGAAGGUACACUCAGCUAGCUCGUUUUUCUUUACAAAAACUUGGAACUUGCAAAUUGAACUAAAAUCAUUCUUGUCAAUAACAAGCAGUGACCCAGAACAGCGGCCAUCAUUUGAAGACAUAAUUCAGAGAAUGAAGGGUCUGGUCCACAAAGUUGCAGCACCAUCGGUAAGAAGGAGCUCAGAAGCUUAGCUAUUUAAUAUGGUUUAGGUUAGACAUGCACCUUUUUGCCAAUCGUUAAUAAACAGUUCAGAAUGUGCUAAUUUUUUUUGGACAAAAGAAUGUGCUAAUUUAGAUUAACUGCGUGAUGUAUAUAUAUCUAUAUAUAUAUAUAUAUAUAUAUAUCUAUAUAUAUAUAAAGAUUUUUUCUUUUUCUUUUCUACAAUUGUGUUUAUUUGUUUUACAAGUGGAACCUGAGGGAAAUAAAAAGGUGUCAGACCCCCAAUGUUGGGUAGUGUUGAAUUUUACAAUCUUUCUGUAGAAGAGGGAACUAAUGUCUUUUGGGAAGCCAAGUGUAUGGGAGCUAAGUUUGGUACCAGCUAUCUAUCUUCUAUUCGGCGCGCCACACAUGUAAUACCAGCACAAUCUAGGCACUUGUGUGGUAUUAGAAUACUGUCAUGUGAUGUUAUUAAUCGUAGUAUUUCAACAUUCCUUGCAAUGGUAUACGGAUUGGAUUGUAUCACUUGUGGCCUCCUUCCGGGCAAAUACACUAGUGAUCUUCCUGUUAUGUUCUCCAAAUUUUGAUCCAUUUUUAUAUUAAGUCAACAACAAUAGAUAAGUUGUUUAUACAAGGAGACGUAAUGUUUAAGCAUUGUAUAUUAUUGCAUGAUUCGCAUCUUGAUUGGGAUAUUUCAUUUCGUAAUUUAUACGAGAGACGUAAUGGUUUCUCUUGACCCUACCCUAUCUUCUGAUCCUGAGGAGAAUUUCAUAAUUGGCAUGUUUCAUGCACGAAACAUUUAUUUUCAUCCUCUGCCAAAAAAUAAAACAUUUUUCAUCUGAAAGACAUUGCAUUAUCAUGAAAAUUAUUUAUGAAAAUCAUCAAUUUUAGCUUGAGUUCAUGGCCUGAGUCCAAUAUGGAAUCAUCAAUUUUAGUUUGAGUUCAUAGCCUGAGUCCAUAUGGGCUCGGAUAAACAGGCAGAUAUGGACUCAUACCAAAUUUGACUUAUAUAUUGUAUUUUUUUGUAAUUUUUUUUAUUACUUCAUUUAAAUCUUUUUUUAUAAUUAUGUAUAUACUAAUAUUAUUUAUUAUUUAUUAUUUUAAAAAAAGUCAAUAACUUUAUUUAAAGUAUAUUUAAAUAAAAAAUGAUUAAAUUAUUAUUUGGGUUUUAAAAAUUAAAAUUUGAAAAAUAAAAUUAUUAUUUUAUAUAAAAAUAAAACAUUAAAUUUUAAUAUAUAUUUUUAGAGAAAAGAAAUACAUUUGAAUUUAAGAUAUAAAUGUAAUAAUAUUAUGAAUUUUUUUCUUUAAAACAAAGUAUAAUUGAAUAAAUGGACUUUAAACGAGUCAGUUCGUUGGAUUUCAAGCUGGCAUGGCCUGCUACGGGUCACGAGUUAGCCCGACUCAUUGAACUUAAUUAACUCAUCUUAAUAUGGUUUAAAAAUACGAACCGUAUCAUAUUAAAUCUUACUUAAACGGGCUAUAUUCGUGCCGUAUUCGUGCCGGCCCAAUCCAUUUGACACCUCACCCAAUCCAACUGCUCAAUAUAAAACUUAAAACAGAAUUCUCAACCAUACGAACCAAGUGCUCCAUUAGAUUUUUAAAAAAAAACAUUGACAACCAAGGUGGUUGGUGUGAGUGGUUCGGCAUUCUCAUUCCUUAAGAGAAGGUCAAGGGUUUAACCCCUGCUCUCGUAUGGAGUCACCACUUUGGCCAUCACUUUAUCCCUCAGGACUGAUCCGAUGUGAGCAGAGAUUAGUCUAGAUUGUGGUUAAGGCUUAAAGGUGCCACCCACAAUUAGGGCCCAUUCAGGACCACCUCGUGGUUCAGACCGAAAAACAAAAAAAAAACAAAAAAACAUUGACGGAGCAGCGAAAUUUGAAUUUGACUCGUCGUCAAACUUCGCACACUUUUGUACAGUGUAAUCCAAUCCACAUUGGUUGCCUCCAAACCAUGGUUUUCCUGACAUCUGGUGCACGUGGACAUAGUUGACCAAGUUUCAGGUUUGAUCCGGAUGCCUGUCGGCAGGCAGCUGGGUGUGAAGGGUAGAAAACUCGGUGAUUUGAGCAUUUUGUUGUUUCUCCACCGUCCAUCCAAACCACCCACUCUUUUUUUAUUUUCUUUUUGUCCAUAUUUAAUCAUUGCCGUAGUGUUUAGGGUAAGCUAGACCUAGUUUGCUAGUGAAUUUGUGAAAUGACAAUGCAUUAGGGAUAUGAUUGGACGUCAUAUAAUUCUAGGGUGCCCUAUAAAUCUAGGGUACAUACAACGUACAUACAUGUGAUCCUCCCCCCUUUCUUCAUCAUUUUCCUUUGCUUCUAUAAAUCUAUUUCUGUCUCUUUUCUGUCUCUCUGUGCCCAUAGAAGAUCUCUGAUUUCUGAUUUUUCUGGUUCAUAGAUAUGAUAUGAUCAUGCAGUCAUUUUUCCACAACUUUUCCAGUGAUGCCCUUGUGAUUAAAAUUCACUGGGUCCCCAGGUAAAGCCAUUGGUCCGAUGGGGAGGUAUCAUUAUCACCAAGAUUUUGCCCUCCCUCUGAUCUGAUCAAUCAAUGUGGUGGCCCACAUGUUAUUGUCUUAUAAAAGGUGGGUCCAAUGGCAUCUAAGCCAUUGGAAAGGCACAAAGAUUAUUUACCUAAGUUGGUGUGGGUUAAUAGAGCAGUGUCUUAUAGUUGUAGGGCAAUCUGUGUAUAUAUUCUAGUACGUGUUUUGAUCCACUGGUUUUUCUUGCAGACACAUAUGGAGACAAACAAUUCCACUUUCUCUUUUUGUGUUUUGUUUUGUUUUGUUUUCUAUUUUUCUGUGUUAUUUUGUUGUUGUUGUUCAUAUAAGAUGGUAUCUAAUCAAUUAUCAAUCUAAUCUCACUUGACUUAGAUUCGACGUACAACUAAUACAUGCCAAAAAGCCAUGGCCUCCCAUGCAUUAGUCAUAAACUUGUCACGGACGUUUUCGGCCGUGUCUCUCUAUCAAUCAAUUACUCUUUAGAAUCUAUCUUUUUAUCACUCAUGAUAUUUGGGAUUUAGGAAUUUAGGAAUUUUUUAAAUAACUUUAGUUGAGAUGAUGUGGGAGAGAAAGAAAAAGUACUGGAUUCAAAGGUCGAUUUUAAUCCAAAAUUAAUAUAUAAAUUGAUGGUACAUUUACUAGUCCGAUUAUAGAUUAUGAAGAAUUGAAUUGCGAAUGAAUUGGAUUGAAGAGGAGUUGAAUUGAGGAGAAUUAGAUUCCGGAUUCCUAUUGAAGUUGUUUACUAAACUAUAUAGAUUGAGGAAAAUUAGAUUCCGAAUUUUUAUUAAAGUUGUUUACUAAACCAUAUAGAGUUGGAGUUGGAGUGAUACUAAUUACUAAAAUGUUCUCGUUGUUGGGAUAAAGUAUAUGAUAAAUUUUGAAUUUUUAAAAUUGUGUGAGAAUAUAAUUGGUAAAAAUAAAUAAAUUCCUAAUAUGUUAAAUCUCUAGGAAUUAGAAUACUACAUCACACCUAAGAAUGGAAUUCCUCCAAAAUCAAGAAUUCAACUCCUAAUUUUGUGUGAGCUCCACUUACUUUUUAAUUUCUUGAUGUGAAGUAAGCACAUGAAUCCUUUAUAGUUGAAAUUCAAUUUCAAUUUCAAAUUCCAAUUCUUAAUUAGUAAACACACAAUAAGUUAAAUGUGCUAUACCAAAACACCAAAAUCUUGUGUCAUCCAAAUACUCUCAUUUGCUUAAGUCCCUCUUAUAGUCUAAACUCGUGCCAUUUGUUACCUACCUCUAAAUGUGUUUAAUGCUUAAUGAAAAUUGAGGUAAUGUGCUUAAUGAUGAUGCAUGUCAUUUAGAGAAAUUAUUGAGUGUGACCGUCAUAUCGUCAUAUGAUGUUAUCAAUCAACGUAUUAUAAUAUUAUUAGUAAGUUAUAUAGUUGAGAUGUCAUAUACUUUUUUUGUUGUUGAGAAAUUUUAGGAUUGCAUUCAUAAUUCAACCCAAAAAAAAAAAAGUCAAUAGUCACAAAGGACCAUUACAAUAAAAAAAAAAAAAUCGGUCUAACAUCAAAAUUAAGACAAUCUGGUACACAUCUACUAACGAUCACACAAAUUGAAGAAACUUUGACAUAGACAUUCCAACUGAUAUUGCAAAUUCAGAAUAAUCAAAAAGAUAUAUAAUUGUGGAUCCAAAAGAAUCAUGAGUUAGUUAGAACAAGGAAGAUAAAUGUAGAACAAAUUCAUUUUUAUCUGGUGGUAGUUGGUAGUAGUUACCACUAAGUUGAAGUAAGUCACAAAUUUGACUUAGGUAGAUAGGAAUCUAAUGCCGAUUAAUUUAUCAUAACAAAGACAGGAAACAUAUUCUUUUCUUUUUUUCCUAUUGUAAAAAAGAAAACAAAAAUAAAUUAGAAAAUCAACUGAAAAUGAGGAUAAUAUGUGCACAAUUACCAUAGUGCUACGAAUAAGAAAAGUUUUUUUUUUUUUUUCUUCAGUAUAACGUAGAAUUAGCUUUAACAUUAACUCGUGACAAGAAGUUGUCAAGAACUUCUCAUAUUUUCUCACUCUUGUCCUUGUGAAGCAAGAUCCUCUUCUUUAUUUUUUCUUCCCUAGAAUUUUCUUUACUAUUUUAAACACAUAAUUAGACAAAUCUAGAUCAUUUCUUUGUCUUGGCAAUCCAUAGUUUUAUGCAUAUGUAUAGGUUCUAGUUUGUAAGAACAAUUCAAUACAUCACAACUAAAAAUAGGAUGUUCAUCACGCGACUGCAUGUGCAUGUGACAAAAGUUAUGAACAAGAGAAAACACAAAGCUAGAUGAUUAGUCUUUUUAUAUCUUUUAUUUAUCUUGUUCUUUUUAAAAUAAACACUAAAAACCAAAACGGCAUCAGUGAUCCCAAUUUAUUCCAAUCUUUUUGUUCUUAUUCCAAUUUGUAAUUUCCAAAAAACUAGAAAAAUCCAACAACAAAAAAGAGAGCAAACGACGACCAAUGUAAUGAACCAAACGCGCCAUGCAGAGCAUGGAGUUUCACUUCCCUACUAGCAUGUGUUUAAUCAACUCCCCAUCAAUGUCCCCUCCUUUGACAAUCUCCGCCAUAUAAAUAAAUUCCCUCUUUUUCUUUCUUUCUUUGCUCCCAAGUCCCAACCUUUUAUCUCUCACUCUCUCCCUCUCUCUCUCUCUCUCUCUCUCUCUCUCUCUCUUCUGCAACUGCAAAUGCAACUCCAUAACCAAACCCACUUCCUCAAACCACUCCCAUCACAUCACCCUUAGCCUCUGAGACACUUCUCCGAACAACCCAAAAAAUGGGCAAAGCCUCCAAAUGGUUCCGCUCCAUCCUGGGCCUCAAAAAGCCCGACCCGACCCACCAAACCUCCACCUCCUCCCCAAAACCACCCACCAAAGACAAACGCCGCUGGAGCUUCGUCAAGUCCUACAGAGAAAAAAACCACCACCGCCAUCAAAACGACACCCCGCCGCUUCCUUCCGACUCCUCAAACGACGCCGUGGUCGAUCCCAACAAACACGCCAUCGCAGUCGCAGCCGCGACCGCCGCCGUGGCCGAAGCCGCAGUCGCCGCCGCGCAAGCUGCCGCCGCCGUGGUCCGCCUGACGAGCAGCGGACGGUGCCCCAGCAACCCCGCGGCGCACGUUAGCACGGCCCUAAUUGGGGUCCGCGAAGAAGAAUGGGCCGCUCUGAAGAUUCAAGCUGCUUUCCGAGGCUGUUUGGUUCGUAUCACCGCUGAAUUAUUAUUAUUAUUAAUUUUUUUUUUGUACAAGUUUUCUUAAUUGACCGUUAAUUUCUGAUUAAGUUACUGGAUUAGCAUUGGGUCGGGAAGCUGACACGUGUCCCUUCUUUCCCGUUAGGCUUCGUGCUUAGAAACUAGUGUUCCUUCUUCCAUUCUACCACUACACAGUGAAAACUGCUGCACGUUCUGUAACUGAAGGUCCCAUACGGCGUCGUUUUAGUCUUUGUAGAAUUCAUCUCAUACCCAGUUGGGCUACUUUGAGAGCUGUACAUUCCAUGUCGUUUUCUUUAAAACGGCAUUACGUGCAGCUUCUUUUGCACUGCCGUUUCUGGGUCAUCUCUCUGUCAAACACUGAAAGAGACCCGUCAACAUUUUUCGAGGAUGUGAAAUAGAUAAACCCGCUAAAAUACACAGGGAUGCGUACUAUACCACCUUCUUCCAAGAAAAACCCGUGUGGACCACUGGACCUCUCAAGGGUUUUUCUUACAGCACAUGGUCAUUUAAUUUUCAGAGGCCUUCCAUUUUGGUUGUGUUGCCGUUUUCACAGAAUGGGUGGGGCAGAAACUUUUCUCUUUGCUUUUCUAGAGUAAGUUGGUUUGGUUUGUCCAAUGACAUUUUUUUAAAUGUCAAAUUGUCAAUGUCUUGGUAUUCUUACUGUGGUUUUGGCAUUCUUUAAUUUCCUCACCUUACCUCUCACCUAACACUUGUUUAAUUGGAAGGUAAGGGACUUAAUUUCAAUUGGGUUUCUUAGUUCUUUUGCCCUUUUUGUUAGGGUUCUUUAAUUCCAACAGUGUUUGAUGUUUCCUCAUAGUAGAAACCAAAAGGCGAAGACUUGACUAAUUUAAUACGAUGGAGUCAUGUGGGGCUUUCUAAAAGAAACCAAGUUGUUUAAUUAACAGUCCCUUUGUAAUUGAUGCAUUUUAGAGGAGUGGAUGUAGAUGGCCAAAAGUUUCAACUCCAUGCGUGUUGACGUUUCUGACUGUUGGGUCCUGCACACUUAAAGUUUUGGUGGGUUCCUUAAAAAGAAUUUUCUAAUUGACUUUCUUAGGAAGAGAGGAGGGGGUGUGUAGGUUGGGUGCUUUAAUGCUGAAUUAAAAUGUAGACAGCACAGUACAGUCAAACAAUGGGAUGCCUUUUUGCAGGGGCUGGUAGUGAAACGUUCCUGUUUUCUUAUUUUUCAUGUCAGAGUUAUAGAUUCAUUUGGUACUGGCCUAAAAAUAAUUUCAUUUAGGCUCUUGUUCCAUUCGAAUUUCUGUGUAGGUCCGCGCACCUGCUCCUCAGCGCCAUAAUUUAAAAUGUCAUUUAAGUUUAGGCUAUUCAAUCAUUUGGUUGGUACUGAUAUGGUGUAUCCUGGUUUUGUUGUAGUUGACAUUUUGUGUUAUUACUUGGGUGGAGUUUUAGUAUUAUCUCGAAUGCGUUUUAAUUAGUUUUUCAUAAGUUAAGUUACUUUGUCAAAUGGAUAUUUUGAAGGCAAGGAGAGCAUUGCGAGCAUUAAAGGGAUUGGUGAGACUUCAGGCACUGGUAAGAGGUCAUAUUGCGAGGAAGAACAAUGCUGCGCGAUUGCAGCGGCUGCAAGCAAUCUUGCGUGCUCAGGCGAGAGCUCGAACAGGGCGGUCCCAAAUUUCUGAGCUCUCACAUUCAAGGACCAAGUCUUCUCAAUUUCACCAACCUGUAAGGAAAAUUUUCCUUUCCCUCCAAUAUGAGUUUUUUUCAAAUAGAUUUGAACUUCGAGUUGUGGGGACCAUUAUUUUUCAGAACAACUUAGUAGGCUUUUCUAUUCAUGCAUGUACUUUUCAGUACAGACACAUAUAAUGUUGUGAAGGAGGGUUGUUUGGUAGAAAAUUUAAAGAGCUCCAUGAUGCAUUGAUGUGUAAUUAUAUAUUAUAAGAAACUUCCAAACUUUUUUAGGUUCAUAUGGACAGUGGACGCUACUUUUGCUGUCAAAUAAAUGAGAAUGGCAGGUUGACAACUAGGAUAAUAGAUAUAUAACAGUUAAUGUCCAUAUCAAACUUGUAGACAGAUAACAUGUUAGAGGGGAAACGUUGAUGGUUAAAAAGCUUACUACUACACAGAUGUUGAGCCUUUUCUCAUUCACAAGUUUUGCCUCCUCAUCAGAAAAAUAAAGUUAGUUAUUGAUAUGAUUAACUGAGUUGUGAUUGACUAUCUGCUAAUUAGCCAUUAAUUAGCCAUUAUCAUCUGAGUUCUAAUUGACCAUCUGUAAUUGAUUUGUGUGUUUUAUGAAUCAGUGAUGACCUAAAUAUAUCAUCUGCAUUCACCAAAUGUUUGUUUACUCUUUAAACAAGAAAAAUUUCUUCUACAUGCAGGGUCCAGCAACCCCUGAAAAAUUUGAACAUCCCAUCCGAUCCAGGAGUACAAAACUCGAGCAAUUUUCAACACUCAGGGUAUGCUCAGAUCUUGUAUUUUAUCUGCAUUGUCAUGCUUUCUACUUAUAUGCAAUCCUCAUGCCUACUACUUCCUGCAGCGGAAUAUCUCCAGAUCAUAUGGCACUACAGAUGAUGAAAAGAAUGACAGGGUCCUUGAAAUCGAUACUGGGAAACCAUACAUCGCAACUAAACGGAGAAACCUUUUCCACUCUACUCAUCUUGCUCUGGCUUCAGACCAAUACAGCCAUAGCUUUACCACUUCAAAAGACUCUACAAGCCAUCAAACACUUCCAAGUCCAUCUUCUUGCGAGGUCCAAUCUUUAACUCCAUUGAAAUUCUCUCGAGAGGUUGAGGAAGACUCUUUCUGCACUGCCAACAGUAGUCCUCAGUUUUAUUCCACUUCAUCAAGGGGCGGUAAUUCAAAGAGAAGUCCCUUCACUCCCACAAGGAGCGAUGGCUCGAAAAGUUACCUAAGUGGCUACUCAGAUUACCCGAGCUACAUGGCAUGCACGGAAUCUUCAAAGGCGAAGUUAAGGUCUCUUAGUGCUCCAAAGCAGAGGCCUCAGUAUGAAAGAUCUGGCUCUGCAAAGAGGUACUCCAUUCAUGGCUUUGGCGAAUCGAAAUCAAGUGCUCAAAGGGCGUCCGCCUUGCACGCAAACUUUGCAAGCAAAGCCUACCCGGGAUCUGGUCGGUUGGACAAGCUUGGGAUGCCUGUGGGUUACAGAUACUAAUGGGGUGCCCUUUUGGGGUUUCAACCCCCUCCACUGUAAUUUUGAAUCUAAUCUGGCUAACUGAUGUACUAAACUACUUCAUUGUCCCUGUAAUGUUAAGAAUUCUAUUAGCGUAGGGGCGUACAUUUGUGGGUCUGAAUCAAAGGCUGCUUCCGGAAAAUGCCAUUACUUUCUGUGUCAGUUGUAAAAUUAAGUUGGCAGAAGGUGAAGUAAGUGUAUUGCAUGAAACUUUUAAGAAUGAAAAAUAUAUAGAAAUAUUAAGUGGUAUGGCAUUUGACCUUUGUGCUCUCAUUGAGGAAAAACUCUGGUUAUUGUUAAAGUCAUUGAAUCUGUUGACUUUUCAUUCAUUUUUCCCCCUUCGGAAUAUCACAUAGAUAAAGAAAUCUGGCCAUACAAGAGUGAGAGAGGAAAAUUAAAAAAGAGGAAAGAGAAAUUGGCUAAAGAACAUCACCUACGAACAUCACCUAUAGAAUUAACAAAACAUGAAACGUCAUUUACAAGUAUGUCUGAACGAACGCGUACGCAUGCAAAUGUGUAUCUAAAAUAAUAGUAAGGCACUUGUCUGUGUUCAAUGGAUUUCUGUUCUUUUUUCUAUAUACAAAUGCGAAGUCUUUCAUCUCCAAGGAAGAAAACUUCAAUGUGCAAAAUUCCAGCCAGCUGUACUGCCUGCAUGUCAACUUUAGAAUUAGGGACUGGAAAAUGGGUUGAAUUGAAUCAACCUUGCAUUGCACUAGGACCAAAUGAUUUUGGGUCUGCAGAUGGGUCAUUAGAUCAUAUGCCAAUUGGGCCACUUUUCAAAGCUUCUGCACACACAUAUUUUUUAAUUACACAAGCGAUAUUGAAAGAUAAGUGAAUCGAACCUAAGACCUCAAGUGCAGGGUACAUGUGGGCAUGAUAAGUUACAGUUAAACUGGAAACAAACAUAAUAAGAGUAACACAUGUGAUUUAGACCAGUUGACGAAAUCGAAGUCUGUCCCUUUACAUUGAGUUCAACUUCACAUAGAUUAGAGUAGUUUAAAAUAUCACCUAUCACAGACAUUGAUCAGCGCUUGUGAUAGCAUUACGCAUGCUAAUACUGUUGUAAACCUUGUCAGUAAACCUUAUCAAGUAACAAUCAUAAGUAGCUUGACUUUGUAAAUCUUAUCAAAUAACAAUUAAAGUAGCUCGACUUUGGCGUAGCAUAGCACCCACAUAAUAGAAUGUCAAAUGGAAGUCUCCUAUUGUGUAUAAGUCGGUAAACAUAGUUGGUUUUUGCAAGUCUUCCCCAUACUGAAUGGGCAGCAGCCUUAACUUAUGGUGAUAAAAGUUUGGCCAAAAGCUGCUCAGAACGGCAACACAAGUCCAACAGAACAAGGAGGAAAAUAUCCAUUUUGAAAGAAAAAAAUAACAUCUCAUGUAUAUAACGGAAAGACAUCCUCUGUACCAAAUAUACAUAUUACUACAUAUCUCCAUGUACCAAGCAAACUAGAAUAUAUCAUGUGUUCUAUGCAUGUACAUCAGCGAGGGUUCCCAACGAAACAUAUUAUAUAAAAGAAGAAAAGAAUCAGAGACAAGAUGAACAAGUCAAGGUAUGGAAGUUUGUAAAAAAGAGGAGGGCCAUCUCUCAGUUCCCACAUUUCCAUCUUGAGGUUGGCACACAGCUUAGGUAAUGGCACCAGCUGCAGUGCUUGUUUAAGUUCUCUCCUUUGAACAGCAACACCAAUCCAGUAGUUAAUCUGCAUUUAACAAGAAAAUUGAAAAUUACUCAUCUUGAAACAGUUUCAUAUGUGCUAAUGUGUAUACUUAAACUCAUCCAUGACAGUAGAAACGAAAAGGGAUGAAAAAAAGACUGACACUACGGUGAUGGUCUCCGAUUUGAACCAGAUUAAAAUGUAAUGGAUACUAAAUCAUGCAAAAUUCAAAUAAUAAAUUAGAAUUCCAGCAACAAGCUUACCCAGCAAUCAGUAAGGCAGAGGCAACCAACAAAAGAAUAUAUUGAUAAGGCUUGUGCUUAGAUUUGACACGAGUGUCAGCUGGAAGAUUCCGACUCUCCAUCCAUCCAAACUGAGGACGAAGGAGCAAAAUGAAACCAAGGAGAAACCCAGCCAAGAAUCCUCCGAUGUGGGCGAAGUUGUCAACAUGAGGAAGAAUUCCAACUGCUAAGUUAAUGGCGAUAAUGACUAUAAGCGUCAACAGAGCUGCAGCCUGGAAGGGCAAGAGAAAAGCAAGAGUUAAUGACAGUAAAACAUUCCGAUCUUAAUACGAAAUCAUGACACAAAUGCAAACAUCAAAUCCAUUUAAAGAAUAUCAACUUCACUUUAUAAAAUUGGAAAAUCGGUAGCAAACCUUGUUGGUGUAUAUACUCCAGUUAGUGAGAAGCUCCGAUAACAUAGCUCCCAGAAGUCCAAACAGAGCGCCAGAAGCACCAACAGAAAUAUUGCUCUGAAUAAAAAGGGCUGAUAAUAUGCUCCCACCAAGUCCUGACAACAGGUAGAUUAUUCCCACGCGCACUGCCAAAUCAUUCAAUCCAGAACUGAUGUUAGAAUGCAACAAAACCAUCAUAAAAAUAUGUCAAAAGAAAAAACACUAAUAAUGAAAUUGAACAAGGCUUAAAAUAUCUACACGGUUAUCAUCAGGAAACAAAACAAUUAUUUGAAUUGCCUUUAAUUCAAUUUGAAUGCACAAAUGCGUCCAGCACAGUAAAGUGAUGCUGGAGACUAUAAAUAAAAAAGGCCUCAUACAUAAUUUAGAAUAAAUUCAAAAGAGUUGAAUAUAGAAAAUUAAGAAUGUUCCCAUAUCCGCACUCUUCUAAAUGUAAAGAACAAAAGGCUCCCCUUUUAAUAUGCAUAAUCAUGGAAGUCCUAAAAUUGACCUCAUUUUACUUAAAACCUCAAUUCAAGGCAUGGUAAGAAAAAUGGCAUACCAAACCCAAAUUGCUGUUCUAGGCGUAUGCCGAUAAAGAUCAAGCUCAGCAUGUUUGCAAGCAAAUGAAUGACACCGGCAUGCAACCACAUACAAGUGACAAGUCUCCAUCCUUGAUGCCCAUGUACAACCUUGGACCACUUCAGAGCUCCCAAUUUUUCCAAUCUGCAAAAGCAGGAAAUAUUUCUCAGAUAAUAAAAACCAAAAAGCGAAAAGGAAAGAGAUAUUAUUUUCCCAUCCAGACACACCUGGAAACCACUUUCAUCCAAGUAUAAUAAGCAAAAAUAAAGGAAACUUAAAAAAUAAAGAAGCGAAAAAACAAUCCAGUCUUUGAACUAUGGCUUUUUAAUUUCCAGGAUUCGACAGAAUAACAAAACUUCCAAGCAGAAUAACACAAAUUGAAAAGGGUAAGAAAAAAAAAAAAACUAGUCCCACAAAUGCAAUUAGAAAAAAACUCACACUUAGGAUAUCAAUGAGUUAGAAUCUCAGACCAACCUAGCAUUAUGAAUUAGGAUUGGAAGUUUAAAAACCCAAAAAGAAUAAACAACACAGGAAGAAUCAGAAGAAAAUCAUGCACUUCAAACAAUUCUAUCAGCCUAAACUCAAGAGAGCAUGCCCAAUCAAAAACUGAAAAGGAAAAAAUAUCAAAACGAGAUAUUGAAGUAUAAUCAUACAGCAUUGGAAAAACAGUAAAUUCUCAAAUUGCACACAACCAAAUAAGCAAACCGUAUUUGCCCCAAAAUCAUAAACUUUACAAUUACAAAGCAAUCAAAUUUCUCAAACCCAAAUCCAAAAACCGAGAAAAAUCUCUAAAUUGAGAGAUGGGUAAGUCAGAGAACUCACGUGGAAGAAGAUGGGCCAAAUAGAGGGUUCUCCCGGAGAGGCUGAAAUGAAAGCCGACCAAGAAACUUGGCUACACACUUGCCAUCACUACCAGUAUUGUUCCUUGGACAGUUGUUGACAAACAUAGCCACAAUGAAGACAAUAAUAUUGGCCACCACAAACAUAGGAAUCAACCAGGAUGUCCAUUGAUGCUCCUGAGUUCCCACAUAGUACUGGUUUGGGUUGUAACUGCUGUUGGCUCUGGGUUUUUCUGUUCCUGCUCGUUCUAGAUCAGCCAUGGUUUGAUUUUCUUUUUCUCUCUCUGUUUGUCUCUCAAGUCUCAAACUUUUUCUCUGUACAAUGAGAAAGGCCAAUGUUUUUUGGGUUGGUGUUUAUAUUGUGGAAGAAAAAAAAUGGGAAGAGGGAUUGAGAAGUGACUUGGAAGCGAGUAGAAGACGUGUUUUUGGAUGAAGCAAAAGAAAAUAUGAGAGACUUGGAAGCAGAAGAGUUGGGUGGGCAAAGAAGGUUGUAGAUUUAACAGUCGAACAAGUAAUGUGAAUAAUGUUUAGGAGGAGAGAGUGUUUUGUAUUUCUCUCUCUCUCUCUCUCUCUCUCUCUCUAUUUCUUGUAUGUAGGAUAGAGAGUGCUUUGUGCUGACUUGGCUUGUCUGUCAUUUUAUAUAUUUAUAUUACGCGGUGCUGUUAAUAUUCCUUAAUUAAUAACGUUUAGCAGUUUCCGAAUCACAUUCACAUUUGGUUUUUGUGAAAUUACAUCGUUAUCCCUGCUUAAAUCCUUAUGCUUUAAAAAAAAAACCAGAGAGCAUUUUUCAACAGAAAAAAGAAGAGAGUUAGGGCACAUGGACCAGUUCUAUACUUCUAUGUGGAAGUUAUGAUCGGCUACUGUUUUUUUAUUUUUUUAUUAGACAUUUAUGUUUGCAAUUUCUUGUGAUGUGGUUUGUUUUAUGUAGUGUUGUUGAGGUUUUUUUUUUUUUUUUUUCCAGUUCGUUUUGUUGAAUAAUUAAAAAAGAAAAAUUAAUAUUAUUUGUGUUUUUUUAAGCCGGCCAUAUCGAGCAAGAUAAAUUAAUUCAACGCUUUAACUUCCUUUUUAAUUACACAAUCGAGCCAUUCUUUAAUUUGUUAAUGCAAUUCAGCCUAGUACAAUUAACCUAAAAUUAAAAUAAUCAAAUUCAGAUUAAUUUUUCAAUUCCAAACUUGUGAAGGGCAAAAAAAGCCAGCAGCCAAAGAGUAUAACAAAUUUGUCAUUUUAAUAUUUGAGGAAUUCUAGCAACCUUUUCUUUUGGACCUUCUCUCUUCUCUUCAUGACAUAUGACAUGUGUCACUUUCUUUCCACUUAAAACAAUGUCAUUAAUACAUUAGACAAUGUAUGUUUUGUUUCCCAAAAUUACCCUUGUUAAAUGCAUUGGACAAAUUAACUUUUAUUUCCACCUUGUUAAAAAAUUAAAAGAGAAUUUUAAAAUCUUCCACAAAAUUAACGUCAAUUUUUCUUUUUAUAAUAAAAAAAUUUCUGUUUGCUACUUUUUUUUUGUGAGGGAAGGAAGAAUGGGUUUUGGGGUAUGGAUUGAAAGAGGAGAGUGAGAAGUACAGUGCACGGUGGGUUUUGGAUUGGAAAGGAAUGGUGAUGAUUGGGUAAGGAUGGGGACUCUGAGAGAGAGAGGGAGAGGGGUAUGGAUUGAAGGAGGAGAGUGAGAAGCACAGUGCACGGUGGGUUUUGGAUGGGAAAGGAAUGGUGAUGAUUGGGUAAGGAUGGGGAGUCUCAGAGAGAGAGAGAGAGCGAGAGAGAGAGAGAGAGAGAGAUGCUGUAAUGGGUUUGGGUUUUCAAUUUUUUUUCUGUUUCUUUUUAUCUUUUAAUCAAUUAGAAUGUUCAUUAAUUUUAAAAAAUAUUUAUCUGUAUUUUUAAAAAAAGUUUUUUAGGGAAGUAUACAUAGUUUUUAUUUUCAAAUUGAACUUUUAAUGUUUAUUUUUUAAAUUUAAUUGUUUAUUUUUUAAUAAGGGUAAAUUUGGGAAUAAAAGAUAUAUUGUCUAAUACAUUAAUAUUAUUGUUUUAAGUGUAGAGAAAAUGACACAUGUCAUGAGAAAAAAUGAGAAUGUUCAAAAAAAAGAGUUUGAAAGAAGAUUAGUAAUAUUCCCCUUAAUAUUUUUUUAAAUUAAUUUCUCAUUAUCAUGCCACCAUCAAAAUAUUAAGUCCCAAAAACACGAGUGAAAGGAUCAUGCCUCCACGUGGCUUCAGAAGUAGAAAUGCAGCACAUCAAGAUCGCACAAUGGUUUGGGAGGACACAUGACAAUGACUCAGCACUUCUCCAAAAUAAAUAAAAUAAUGCUACUUUUAUAUCAGCUGAUGUGACAAAUGAAUUAGACAACAACAUUAAUUAAAAUUAUUUAAUAUUUUUUUAUUUUUAUGAUCUACAAUGAUAUUUUUAAUAUUUUAAAUGUUUCAUCAUUCUUUAUUUCUUACUUUAUAUAUAUAACUUAACACUUAAAAAAAAUUAUUAAUAAAACUUUUUUAUUUAUUAAAAAAUUCACUUCAUUUAAUUUAAUUGAUGUGGCAUAUGAAUAGACAUGCCACAUCAUAUUAUAUAGAAAUAUAAGAUAAAAAUAUAGUAAGUGUUGCAUUACUCAAAUAAAUAUAUCCGAAUAAUACCUCGAAUGGAUUUUACCAUUAAAGUAAAAUUACAACAGACAAAAUGAUUUAAAAGGAAAAUUUCAUAUACAAUUUGGGAUGAUGACCUUCUUUUUUAAUUAACCUUUUACUUGAUUGUAUUGUAGCUCUAAAUUUCAUCAUUUGGUUCUGCAAAUUUGAUUUGACUAAUCUUUCUUAAAAGGUAAUAAAGCAUAAGCUUCUUCAUGAUUCUCUAUAAAGGCCACAAAUUGGUGGGACUUUCUAAGCAUGAUUUAACAAAACCUGAGUUUUGCAUCCACCUGUCAUAUACCCAUAAAGCCAAAUUAGACUUAAAUACGAGUGAUCUAGUCACGUAAUCGUAUUAACCUAAGAAUUUUUCACAUAAGUCUGAUUUGCUGUGCCACGAAUAACAUAUAUUCCAAGACAACACCCACCAGAACUUAGCUUUGGGUACACUAGAAUCCUUCCUCAAUUUGGAAACUGAUAAUAUAUUCUUUGGUUCCAACACUCUUUGCAAAAUCCAAAGCUUUUGGUUUUUUUUAUGGUUUUCACUUUUGAAAAAACUGCUCGAAUGUAGAUAAAGUGGCUAUAAAGUAAAAACGCAUGCUUCUAAUUGCUUGUGCCAAGGAAAUCUUUGUAAUCCUAGAGAUUAUGUUCUCAAUUUUCAUAUGUACGGUAUAUAAUUCAAAUUAUUUUAAAUUACUCUUAUUUACAGGGAAAGAAAUUGAAUUCGAAUAUAAAUAGAUAAAUACAAUGUUUUGAAUAACUGUCUUAAUCCACAUCGGCUUGAGUAUUGUGUUGUAUUUAUAUUGUAAUAAAAGUCAACUAUACAAAAUACAAUUGUUCGGUUGUUGUCUUUUACUUUUAUACAUUACGUGAUAUGAAAAUAUUGAACAAAGACUCAUUCUGGUAUAUAUUAAAAUGAAAGGUUCACAAUUUCAAGGCCAAAUGACACUGCAUGCAUAAACGUUUGCUUCCUCUUUCUUUCGUUGUUUGGAGAACUUAGUCAACAUGACAACAACAUACCAUCAAAGUGAAGUAAGAACAACCAACCUACCUGCCCCACAGAAUGCGAUUAUAAAAUCAAAAUAAGCCAGCACUAAACAUAACUUCAACAAAUGGAUUCACAUCUUUAAUCAAUACACCCAACCCAAGUAACAAAAAUUGAGUUUUCCAUUUUAUUCGGUGCCGAGUUAUAUAAAUAAAAGAUAAAAAUAAAAACCGAAAAAUCUAAAAUGAAUCAAUCUUGAUUUAUUUAGAUUUGUAUUUUUUAUUAAGUUUUUUAGCGUCGAUUUUGUGUUUACGUCUAAAAUUACGUGGUUUGAACUAUUUGGGUAAUUUGGUGAGAAGUAGGCACGAAGUUUAGGUUGAGGUGGUGGACAAUGCAUGAGCAAAGCUUACGCGUAUGUAUGAUCCCUUUUGACACAAACAAGACAAAAGCUGGCAACACACAGCAUGGUGUGACAUUCUGGUUGUUGGGCUUCAAAGAGUUGAAGGUAGAGACAGUUGCUUAGAAGCUACAUGCUCUCCUUUUUUGUCGCUGUUUUUUUUCUUUUGCCAUCUGUGCAUGCCAUUCUUGUGUGUUUGUUCAGCUUGGCAAGUUAUUAUAAUGAUGUAUUUAAUUAAAUAAUUUAAAAUACUUAAUGGAGGAGGAGUAUCAAAAGACUGCAUGCUUAAUUGAUUUAAUUAGUAUUUUACAGAAUAAGAAUGGUUCUUCCAUGAGCCAAACAUGAGAUUUUUGAAGAUGACCCUAUUGGCCUAUUUCAAGCUGCUAGCCUUUUGCUUCCAUGGAAAUUUAAACCUUAAGUUUGCUUUUCACCUAAGCUAAGGUUGUUGGCUCUGUUUAACCAACAAAAUGACUUUCAUUACAUUGACAAUCCUCUAUACCCGCGUAAACAACUAGAAGAAAGAGCUAAAUCACUCACUCACGAGAACGAUUAUGUUUAGCAAACUUGGUUUCCACAAAAACUUCAAACGGAAAAAAGUUUUUAACUUUCUGUGUGCAACUAAGCAAACCAAACCAAACCACUAUUAGUAUUUCUGCCAAAGGGUUGACCUUUAUUGCAUUUGUGUUUUGCCCCCUUUUGCUGAUACUGCAAGAUAUAGCCGUUGCUUGCUGAUAUCAAAUAAUCAAAUACUAUUUGCCCUCCCACCAAGUAUUUACAGCUUGCGCAAUAAAAUAAAAGCACGAAGAAAAACAAACAGCUCAUAUGAGGGCUUUUAAAUGCUCUAAAAUUUCCUUUGACGUUCUCUCACAUACUCUCCUCCUCUCUACUGGUACAAGUCCAGAAUGACAAGUGUGUAACUAUUUCUCUACAGUUUUGGGGGGCAUAUUUUAAUUUGUUCAUGCUAAGUAAUAGUUUAACAUUUUCUGAAACUUGAUCACACGAGCAACAAGAUUUGAGUGUCAUUAAGCAACAGGAUCCUUGUUCAUGUGACGCAGAGAUACGGGGUCAAUUAAAGAAACCGCUUUGUAUAACACUCAGCCUCGUUUGGUUCUUAAGAUUAGAUUGGAUAAGUCACUAAAUCUAGUAUAAAUUUUUUUGCAUCUAAUAUACAGGACUACAUCAAUUACUCAUACACACGUAAGACACGCACCUUUAUUGCAGGAAACUUUGUAUCUCUUUAGUAAUGUGACAAACAAAUACAUGAGAUUAUCGGUCUUCACCGAUCUAUGAACUUUAAACUAGAAGUCGAUUGUGGCAUCCGAAGUUACAAGCAUAAGUUUAUGCGUACAAUCUGGAUGAAACCUUAUUUGAGACUGCUUGUCGAAAGACUAAAAGCGACUUUACGACAAGUUCAGAAAAUCCUAGAAGUGCUUCAAAGUCUUGAAAGCGCACUUGAUUUCAAUUAAAAAUACGGGACCUUAAACUGAUUUGCUUCCAUCUCAUACGAAAUAAACAAUAUUUAGCAAAAUAAUCAGGUGAAAAAUACCAGCUCUCUGUACAAAACCUUGGAUUUGUAUUGCCCAAAUUUCGAGAGAAACAUAACUCAUUUCACCUAUUGGUCAAUGGUCAUGCUUGGUGUCCAAUCCAACUUAAUCCCAACCUUGGGUCUAAUCCAUGUUUUUAGACUACCAAACAUCCCACCAUCCUUGACCAAAAAAAACAAAACAUCCCACCAUAAAAUCCAAACCCACCAGACAAGUCCAUUAUCAAGUCAUACUCAGAGGGUUUGUACAUACAAAUUACCAAAACGAAUGUCUAAAACGACUCAACUUUUCCAGGUUGACAAAACAAGUUUAUCAGCUGUGAAUAAAAGAUAUCUUUUUUCUGAACUCAAGGGCAUUAAAAUAUAAACGAUAAACUUUCACUAAUGCAACAAUAUCCAAAAUUGGAGUGGCCAACAAUGCCAAUUAAUCCAUACAUCAAAUCGAAACAAAAAAUGUCGAUCGUCUAGGCAAAAUGGUAAGGAGAAUAAAUAUUGAGGAUGGGGGGAAGAAGAAAACUUAUCGCUUUCCACCACCACCUCCAAGCUUAGGGGCUUUUGGGGCAGCAGCCUUGGGCACAUUGCCCUUGGACUGACCCUUUGACUUGGACACCAAUUCAGCCUUCUUUGCCUUCUUCUCAUCCUUAGUCUUCUUAAUCCUCUCCUUGAUUUCACUGACAAACACGCAUAAACACACAUCCAUCAUUGAUUUUAUACAAUACAAAAUUGAGUUUAUCAAAUAACACAAAGUUGAGUUCGUGAAGUUGAUCAAAUACCCAAAAUUGAUUUUAUCACGUUGAUCAAAUACCCCAAAUUUGAUGUUAUCAAGUUGAUCAAACAACCCAAUCUACAUUUUAUCAUUGUUGAUCAAAUAACUCAAUAUAGAUUUUAUCACUGUUGAUCAAAUAAACAGCAGAGCAUUACCGGAGAGCGGCCUCACGGGCGGCGUCGCGGACCUCGGGCUUCUCGGUCCUUCGCUUCUGAAUAACUUCCAAUGUGGCACCAACAAUGGACCUCGAAUAAGGCUUUUUGUUUGAGCGUCGCUUCUUCUUCACAGCCUCAGCAGCAAUGUCCUGAAAUCACAAACACACACAAGAGCUUAGAAUAUUCAAUCGAUUCGAAACGAAACGCAUCGUUUCGUGAAUGUGUGUUUUGUGUAGGUACCUUCUUGUGCUGCUUACGGUACAUGGCGGUCCAGGUGAGCUUGGAGGGCUUGAGGCGGUUGUGGAAGUACCUCUUGCAUUUGGAGUUGGCGAAGAGGAAGACCUGAGAAUCAGAGCGGAUGAAUCUGAUUCCCUUUCCGGGGUAAAUCUUGGCGCCACUGAAACGACAGAGCUCGGUCUUCAGAACCAUGGCUGCUCUGCUAUGUGGUGGUCGAAGCUUCAAGCUCUGAUGUCGCCGCCGCCGCCGCUGCUGCUCUGCAAAAUCCCCGAGCCCUGUCCAGAGUCUAAAACCCUAAUGCUUCGGCUACCAAUUUAACUUCAACUGACUGACCAAAGGUCGCGCCUUUCUCUGGGCCAGAAAAUGGCAACUAAAGAUUGAGCGGGCUUUGGUUAUUACAACUCUUAUCGAUUUCAAGCCCUAAAAGUGAAAUUUUAGGUUUGGGCCUCAUCGGUAAAUCUAUCUAGAGUUGUACGCAUCCAUGUUGUUAGCCCCGAGAAAAUUUUGUAAUCUUAGAAAAAUGUUUUUGGAUUUAUUUUAAUUUAUUGGAAGUGCUAGAAAAAUGUUUGGAAUUUUUUUUAAAGGUUAUUCGGAGAAAUGGAGGUUAAAAAUAGUACAAGCCCCAUAGAAUUUUUCGGGGAAUUUUUUACCAAUGAUAAUGAUAUUGACAAAAUGCUAUUUAUUUGUAUGAUAAAAUUGGAUUUUACUUUUUUAGGCUUGAUUAUUAUAAAUAUAAAUUGCUUUUGUUUUACUUUCUAUAAUAGUUUGAUUUUGUCUCAAAUGCAAGCUAGGGUGUAGAUCCUUUAAUAAUAAAUACAUAAAAUGAUAAAUAAACAAAAAAAAAUCCUUCACACAAGACAUAAUGUUAAAAUGGUCGAGUUCCUCUAGAAUUGGACAAAUCGGUCCAGUCAAUGUUCGAUAAUGACAUGAAAUAACUCUUUAUGCCACUGUUGGAUAGUGACUCAACCAAUUUAUCUAAUUUUUAUGGGGUUGGACUAUUUUGUCUUGGUGCCCUCCUAUUUGUCCUUAUAUAGUAAAAUCCCUAAUAAAUAUUGGUUAAAAUUUAAUAAUGUACAACAAAAAGAAAAGAGAAAAUAAAGAAUGAAAGCUUCGCAAAUUGGUUAUUUAUUCAUUAAUGAAAGCUUCGAAAAUUAAUUAUUUAUUCAUUUAUAUACAAAAAGAUAUUGAAAAAGGGAGAAUCAAAUCCAUGGUCACUGUAAGCAAGUUUAUGCGAUCACUAUGUUAUUUAUAUGUUGUAUUCACUAAAAAGUUUACGACGAAUCACAUAUUGUUGUAUUCAGAAGCUAAUUUUGUUUUUUUGGCAAAUUGUAUUCAAAAGUUAAUUAAAUUAUUGGAAAUUAUUUAUCCACCGUACAGCGAAGCAUUUAAGCGGUAAAUCUCAACCGCCGAGUUGGCUUCCACUGAAUCGACUCCACUCGCAUCCCAAACCGCAAACAAAUAUUACCGCUGUUAACUGUAAUUACCGAACGAACCGUGUACGGUAUGGUCAAAUCAAUUUACCUAGCCCUGGUCAAAGGAAUCAAAUUUAUUAAGAAAAGAAAAGAAAGAAAAAAAGUAAUUCCAAUUCCAAAGCCUUGUCUGUAUUCGAACGACAUUAUCGUCAUCGUCGGCGUUGUCUUAUCCAACCUUUUCCAUGUUCUCACCGCCACAAAACCUCCGCCCAUUUGACCACAGGUUCCGCCAAUACGCACCGUUUUGAAGAUCUCUGCAUGGGCUCACCGAGUUAAGGCAUUCAAUUCCACAAUCUCGCUGAAAAAUAAAAAUUCCAAUACGAAAUUCCCGAAAUGGCCUCACCCAACCGAUCCGUGGACGACAUCGUCGAUACGACGCCGUUGCUCAGCAACUCGGGCGGGUCGUCCGACGAGUCCAACUCGGGGCGCCACCGAAUUGUGCGCCCCCAGAGCCUGCGCGACGCCGCGCGGUUUCUACGCCAAGCCAGCAGCCGUCGGCUCAUGCGCGAGCCGUCGAUGCUGGUUCGCGAGACGGCGGCGGAGCAGUUGGAGGAGAGGCAGAGCGAUUGGGCGUAUUCGAAGCCCGUGGUGGUUCUCGACAUCAUCUGGAACUUCGCAUUCGUCGUCGUCGCGGCAACGGUCCUGGUUCUAAGCCGAUACGAAUUGCCGAAUAUGCCCCUGAGGCUCUGGAUCAUGGGGUACGCUUUGCAGUGCGUGGUUCAUAUGGUUUGUGUUUGUGUCGAGUUUCGGAGAAGGCAGUGCCGACAGAGAAGCCGGGUUUUGGGGGUGAAUUCGACGGAGGAAGGAGUAGGGAGUGUUGGGAACUUGAGUUCUGGGUCGAGAGAGGAGGAUUUGUCAUCGCAGUACGUGUCUUUGGCUGAUCAUAUGAAUGAGGAGGGUACCAGGUAACAAAUGACUUUUUGCUAUGUAAUGCAAUUGAAAUGUUCAUGCUUCUAUUUGAUGUUUGUUGAUGGGUUGUUGUUAGUUGCCGCAAUUUAUGAACUUCUUGUGACAAUUCUCGAGUGUUUGCUUAAAAUGCUGGCAUUUGAUUUGGAGCAAAAUAAAAAAACUUUUAGCAGAAUAAGAUUUUAUGUGUACGUUAACCCAUUAUGUUGUUUAACAUGAAUUGCGGAUAUAGGAUAUAUCUGCAGAAUCUAUCAUGCAGAGUAGAGCAGAGGAUUAGUUUUAUGAUUCUUCUUGGCUUUUUAAGGCUUGUUGAUGACUGAUGACUUUGGUUUUCAUUCGAUUAAUACUUUCUAAAAUCCCUAGUUAUGUGUAAUAUUGACUAUAUGUAUGCAUAUUAAACUCUGUUGUUGAUUACUGAACUGGUUUUCCACUGGAAAGGGAAGGAUGCUUGUUUAUUUGCAGCUGGUACUGUGUGAGAAAUUGGAUGAUUUAUUUUGGACUAUUUCGUUUACGUGCUCAAUGUUUUUGCUUUAAUCUCUCAGCAGCGUUGCAAAGCAUUUGGAAUCUGCAAAUACAAUGUUUUCAUUCAUCUGGUGGAUCAUUGGGUUCUACUGGGUAUCAGCAGGUGGUCAAGCUUUAGCGCAUACCUCCCCUCAGCUUUACUGGUUUGUGCUCUCUCUCUCUCUCUCUCUCUUCCAUUUAUUUGAAAAUCAAGACAUUAACAAAAUCUUAACUAUGGCUAUGUGGCUUUUUCUGCAGGCUAUGUAUAAUUUUCCUGGGUUUUGACGUGUUUUUUGUCGUUUUCUGUGUUGCACUGGCAUGUAUCAUUGGUAUCGCUGUUUGUUGCUGUCUUCCAUGUAUUAUUGCACUUUUAUACGCCGUGGCAGACCAGGUAGUUCUUGUGUAUUCUUACCUCUUUUCUGUGUGUUGAGUUCCAUGUUCAUAACUAUCAGUGUCUUCUAUCGUUACCACUCUGUAGGUUAUGUGAAAUUAAUGCAAUACUGUUUGAGAAGUAUGAUAUUUGUAUGAUGUAAAUGGUUACAAAUUGAAACCAGAAACUGAAUCAUUCUCUGUUGUUCUAUGGAAGGAAACAAUAUGUACCUAAUAAUUAAGUAUUAUAAAAAUUAAUCGGGUUUUGUUAGUUUGAAUGGAGAUAUGAACAUAUUAAGAUCCUUGGUUGCAGGAUUUUGGACUCUUUAAUCAAACUUAACUAUGAUGGGAUUGGUUCCAAUUUAGCAUAAAUAACUCUAUCUGGGGUGGGGGUGCAAAGUCCGGCACAAAUGUUUUGUAUAGUUGAAUGAAAGAAAGUUGAUUGAGUUGAUUGCCUUCAUGAUUUCAAUGAAACAAGCAAGUUCCCGUUGUGGUAAAAUAAUGUGCACUGAGUUAAACCAAUGUCUGCUUUCGUCUGGUAUAUUUAUCUUACAUUUUGAUACUCAUCUUAGACAGUUGCAUUUCACGGUCUCUCCACAGAGCACCUAUGCAACCAUUAUGAUUGAGAGCUGUUAUUGGCACUCCAAAAUAGUCAUCAUGCACUCUUCUCUAAUGAAAAAAAUAAGGACAGAGUGUAGAAUGACUAUUACAAUGGCUAUUUUGGAGUGCUAAUAAUAGUUUUCAAAUGGUUUUAUAUCUUUCUCCUUCUGUUGGUGUACAAGAGUUUGAAAACUUGAUGUAUAGUAGUUGGCCUUGAAGCACUUGGGGACAAUAGAAUUAUUUAUGUUUUAUCAAUUCUUUUCGUUUGAUCCAAGUUUGCUGACUCUGUUUUAAUUGUUUCAACUUUGAAGGGGUUGGGCAUGAUUUUUUGUUGUUGGAAGUAUAGUUUACCUGAUCUGUAAAUUUACUGUUGUGUAGUUUUAAGAAUCUUAUAUUAAAUUUUAAUGGCUUUCUUGUCCUCUCUAUUGUGUUUCUAUGACCUGUUAUUGAAGCAGGAUGGAGCAUCCAAGGAAGACGUUGAACAGUUGUCAAAAUUCAAAUUCAGAAAAGUUGGCAAUGAGAAAGUUGCAGGUGAUACACAAGGUGGAGGAGUAAUGACUGAAUGUGGAACAGAUUCACCCAUUGAACAUGUUCUUUCGCAGGACGAUGCGGUGAGUGGGCCCUUUUUUUGGAUAACUAAUCUUCUUCGCUUUCUGAGUUGUGUUUGCAAAAGAGGAUGUUGUCUACGUGACCUGUUAUGUACUUGGUUUCCUUUUAUAUUCAUAUAACAAAUCCCAGUUAAUUAGUGGACUAACAAAAUCUUUUUGGACUGCUCAAAAGAUUCUUGUCACAUCUAAGUGAUGAUCAUUGUGAUUUAUAGGAGUGUUGCAUCUGCCUUUCUUCUUACGAUGAUGGAGUGGAGCUAAGGCAACUUCCUUGUGGCCAUCAUUUUCACUGUUCCUGCAUUGAUAAGUGGCUUUAUAUCAAUGCUACCUGUCCUCUCUGCAAGUACAAUAUAUUGAAGAGUACCAGCCAUGAUCAAGUGGAAGUGUAGAAUACUUCUAACUGAACAAUUGUGCCCGUGCAUGCUGGGGGUUUACAUACAAUUCUUGCUUGAGUGUAAUCCAACGCCAAGCUUCGCACUUGACUCACUGCAGGUUUUCUAUAUGGUCAUUGUCGAUGUUGUUUCUUGUUGUAGAGUAGGUGUAGCAAUUGUCAUCGAUCUUCUUGUUCCCGUAGUGAUGAUGACAGUGGCACUUCGUAUUUGUUGUUGCUCUGGCAUCUUUAGGUGCCUUUGUACAUGGGUAUUGCCAGGGUGUCUCCGCAGUAAUUCUAUAUCACAAAGACAGUUGUCUUGAGUUACAUUUCAAUGUGAAGGGCUCUUUGUUGCCAAUAUUUGCACUCGACGAAUGUUGACUUGAUACCUUAGAAAUGUUGUUAAAAGUUAAUAAGAUUCUUGUUCAUGAAACUUGUUAGAUUGUUGUAACAUAUAUGUGGACAGUCACACUGAUUGUAUCUGAUUUGUUGAAAGAGAGGAGCUUGUUAUGUGUUGAUUUGAACAAGCUAUUCCUUGGCACUUUCAAUUGGAUAAUUCGUGUUGUUAAUAAAGCUCUCCCAUCUAUGAUCCCUUUUUUUCCCUUCAAAUAUUGAAUCGAAAAUAAAGAAUGGUAUCCCCUUACUUUUCUGAGUAACCACGAAAAUAUUCACAACUCCUAGGAGUAUUUUUGUAAGACUCCAAGAAGUUUGUAGUUCAAGCGAUUAAGAGUAAAAGAUACAAAAAUUUUUAAGAAAAAGCCAUGCUAAGCUAACAACUCGAUCCUUUAUCAAAUAAAAAAAGUUAUUCCAUUAUCCAUACGGUUAUAUUAAGAGAUUGUUAGGGAAAAUUUUGAAUUCAAAUAUCAUAAUUAUUCAACUAUAAAAAAAAAAAAAAUCUUCAUGCUAUACCUCAUCGAGAGGUAUAUUUGAGUUGGAUUUUAAAAUUCAAAAGCAGGCAGCCAGAGAAAAAAAACAUAAACAAAGACAAGGGGUCAACAUAAAAAUUAUCAAAAGUCUGAGUCAAAAAGUAUAAUAAACCCAAAAAAAAAGACAAAAAGCAUCUGCCGAAAGCAAGAAAUGAAAAAACAACAUUGUGGGGUGGGCUUCGUGCUCCUUUUCGCGCUCCUCCUCCUCCUCCUCCGAAUGUCUGUCGUCUGAGCUGUCUCCUUCUCCCUUGGUUUGUUUCGUUGUUUGUCGUCACUGUCGCAAGUAGGAGGAGGUGUCUGCUAACGAUGGAGCACCAACCUCUUUUGCAGCGAUAUCGCCGUGAUCGUCGUAAGCUCUUAGAAUUUCUCUUGUCGUCGUCGGGUCUCGUCACGGAGCUCCGGACCCCGACCGGGUCCGCCGCCUCGCUUUCCCACAUCGAUUUUGAUACUCUCAGCGCCGAUUAUGUCCUCGACUGCGUCAAAUCCGGCAAUUCUUUUUUUCAUUUUCCCGACAAAGUUCAGCUAUAUAAGUAAAUAUAUUUUUGUCUAAUUUUGUUAUUGGAAUUUGUUUAGGUGGAGUUUUGGAUAUAUCUGAAGCAACCAAGAAGUACUUCCAUGAAUCUUCUUACCCUCUAAUGGUGAGCAUGAACACUCUGACACUCUUUUAGCUAUUUCUUGAGCAUACAUACAUAGGCACAGAUAGUUGUGAAAUUUUGAUUCUUGUUAUGGUUUGAAGUUUUGGUUUUGGUGGUGGUUCUGCUUUUGUUCAAGAACUGGGCCAAAUGUGAGUGUUUUGAAAAUGCUAUGUUUAAGAGAGAUUAAACAUCUUCAGAAGAUUUUCAGAAGCUGUUUGGCUGACAUAAAAGUGUGAUAAGAAGUAAAGCAAACUGACCCAAAACUCAUAGAAGCUUGAAAUGAAUCUCCAAGUUUUUAUUUUUCUUUACUGCUGCUAGCUCAAGUAGGUUAUGUUUCUUCUGAAAAAACCAUAGAAUUCAUUUUCGUUUCAUAAUGCUCUAACUUUUCGACAGAUUCAUUCCCAAUUAGGCAAUUCCUUUUUUCUACUUUCUGAUCCAGAAUUAUCUGGAUCACCUCCUCGGCGUGUGCCUUCUCCCAUAAAUGUGAACCGAACCUCCGAGAAUGCAUCAAGUUCAUCCACCCAGAUGGAUUCUUUGAAUGUUGAGGACAUUGCAAAGGCUGGUGAUUACUAUGGUUUUAAAGAUAGAGCCAUGCUGAGUGCACCUCCGAAGCCUGUUAAAGAUGUUACGAACAUGUCAUUGGGAUUGCCUCAUCUGAACACAGGUAUGGGUUGCUUUGAUUAUAAAAUAAUGGCCCCUGCUAUUUGGUAUGGUCAUUUCUGAAAGAAUGUAAUGAAAUCAGCGUGUCCUCAAAUGAUAGUCAGACUCUUCUUUUUUAGUGAUGAAAUUAUCUCUGUUCCACAACAUCAUAUGGUUUUUUUUUUCUUUUUGCAAAAGAUGUAUAUAUUUGUAUCCUGAAGCUCCGGCCUUUCACAUUUUAAGUAAAACUGUAACGUAGCUUCAGAAUUUUUGAAGGAUUGUCGGAUGAUGACUUGCGGGAGUCGGCCUAUGAAAUAUUGCUUGCAUCUAUGGCAACUUCUGGGUAAUCUCACUUUUCUCUUUCUAUGUGUGAGGGUGGUGAAACCCCUGUUUCUUGCAUUCAACAUAUUUACUACUUUUCAGUUAUGGCAUUUUGAGAUCUUGGUUCGAUUUAGAAUCAGUCUUUUACUCUCUAGUGCUCUCUUGUUGUCUUACUCUUUGUCUUCAUGGAACAGGAUUGUAAUAUGUUCAAUUGAGGACAGAAAGAAGCAAAGGAGUUCCAAAUUGCUGUCCCGAUUGAAGAGUAGAAAGGAUACAGCAAAUGUGCAGUCUCAGCCUCUUGAAAGACAUUUACAGCUCCUCAACACCAUCCGUGUGCAAAUGCAGGUAACUAUUAUUUUCUCCUCUUCACUUCUGAGCUGUACUUUUAUGUGCUCAGUAAAGAGUGUCAGACUUUAAGGAAAGAUGCAGAAAGCUUUCCAAUUUGAUGUAUAUUGUGGAUAUAUCGCAGAAUCCAUGCCUGGAAAGUUGUUUAUAUAUAUGACGUCGAAAACUGAAUGCACUCAUAAUCAUCUUUUAACUAAAUGCUUCACUUGAAGUCGUCAAUUAAUCUCUGACUUUGAAUUUGAAGCAGUGUACUUUGACAUGUCAGAUAUCAGUAGGAGUGUGGCUGGUUUAUUUCAUAUACCAGAAAAGAUAUACGAUGGAUGUCUUACUCUUAAAAUAGUUGGGUGGUAGACGUCGAAAAGUACUUUCUAAUAAGUUGAUGUGAGAGAGUAUGGAUACAUUAAUACGAGAGUCUAGCUUAAACCAGUUUGAUUUGAAGUUAUUCUUUCAUAAUUCUACCGCUUAAAUAAAGUGUUUCUAGAAAGAAGGGGUAAAGAAAAGCUUAUGCAAAUAUUUUUGCAUUUCUGUUUGUGUUAAUAAUUUUCCAUGACAUGGCCCUGGUAGGGAUGACAAACACCAACGUAGACAAGAAGGAUAUUUCUGUUUCUCACUCAGUUUUCCUUUCUUUCUUAGUAGUUCGACUAUUCCAUCUCAGACGCAAUUAUUUCUUCUUUUGUAGAUUUCAGAAGCGAUGGAUGAGAGCACUAGGCAAAAGUUGAUGCUGUUAGCGUCAGGGAGAACACGGGUGCAAAUCGAUGUUCCUCAAGUUUUGUUGGGGCUUUUAAAUGGAACUUUUAAGUCUGAUUUUCCAAAUGAAAAAUCUUAUUUGCAAUGGAAGAAUAGACAGGUAUGGUCAACUUUGGAAUAUUUUAAAAAUGAAUCCUUUUAAUAUCAAAACUGGCUAGAACAAAUAGCUGGACUUGGUAAACUGUCAUAUUAGUCAGACACCUUUCACAUGCUGUAGUUUGGCACAAAAUUAUUGACUAGGACACAUUCUGAGUGAGACUGAUAUAAUCCAUGUACUUUCAAGGACAUGCUGUAAACCUUUUACCUACCAGGCUCUGGAGAAUGUGAUACUGGUUGGGCUUGUGAUUCCAUGAAUCUUAAUACUCAAAGCAUUAGCCCUGAUAGUAGGGUAGACAAGUUGCCAAACUUAGUGUAAACAUGCUGGCCUUACCAUGGCUGUUCUCAGUUUGGGCCUUAGGUUGGUUGUUGGUCAAGAAUAUUAGAGCUGCCCUGAUGUUAAAGGUCGAUAUAUCACCAUUUGGCAUUGUCAUAGCAACUUUAGCAGUAAUGGAAGUUGUUUUUGUGGGAUCUAGGCAAUGUGUAAUGGGUCCUGCCAGAAUCUGUUCAGCUGGUUAAUUGUUUAAUCCAAAAUACAGGGUAAAUUUGAGAGGUUGAGGAAUUUGAUAAUUGGUAAGAUAUCGACGUAGUUCUUGUCAUGUUUGUGUUGUACUAAAGGACUUUGUUACCUUGUUAAAUAUAGAAAGGAUCGUUUUACGCUUUGACUUAACAGAAUGAUUUUGUACUAAUUUUGUAGGCAAGUAUCUUAGAAGAGCUUCUCUGUUUUUCUGCUAAUCUUGUAGCACACGAUCAACAAGCUAUUAAGCGCUCUCUAGCUGUGGUCAGAAAUUCGAAGGUGUGUCCUUGCGAGUUUGCAGCAGUAUAGCAACAGUUAAUUUGACUACUUAUUGGGAUGCUUAUUAUUAAUUUUCUUAGCUGUUUCCACAGUUUGAUUAUGGCCCUGAUUGGUCUUGAUGUUGCAGGAAUGGGACUUUAUGUCUCUAUCUGAACGGGCAGAGGUUCUAUCAGUUAUCAAACAGGUGGCCUUGAAGUUUUCAUCUCUUCCAGGACACUUCGGUAUCCAAAGUGAGACCUAUUAUUGGACUUCUGGGUAUCACCUGAAUAUUAGACUUUAUGAAAAACUACUUCUUGGAGUGUUUGAUGUUCUUGAUGAAGGCCAGCUGAUAGAGGUAGAUAUAUCCUUGUAUUAAUUUCAGUUAAAGAUCUUCUGUUUUUGUACUUAUAGUUUUACUUUUGGUUGAAGCUCAACUCUGCUGCUUUCGUUCUUUUAGGAAGCUGAUGAGUUCCUGAUGCUUAUAAAGAUGGCAUGGCCUACUUUAGGCAUUACUCAAAAAAUCCAUGAUGCACUAUAUGGGUGGGUUCUUUUCCAACAGGUAUACAUAUUAUCUUUUAUGUUUAACAUCUGUGGAGCAUGUUUUGUGAUGCAACUUUAUAGAUGCAUUCUUCAAUCAUGAUAAAAUUAUAGUAAUCAUUUACCCUUCUCUAAAUCUAUGUGUACUUGAUCAUGAAUGUUAAUUUUAUAGUGCACGGGGUAAAUUUAAGUAAAAGAAGCAGUAAUCUAUAGUAUUGUAACUGAGCAAAUGUCCUCAACAGUCCUGAAUUCCAUAUAUUGCAUUUUGAUGGCAUCAAACCUUUUCUAAUUUUUGGAAUAGUAGAUUGAAAGAAUAUUGCACCAUUGUUGUUUAGGUUACCUAUACCAUUGCCUUUCACUUGCCAUGUCAAUACUAAGUACCAUCCCUAAGCAGUUAUCUGAGGCAAAUUUCUGUGCUGAAGUUUGUUGCGACAGAUGAGCCUGUGCUGUUGGAAUAUGCAACACUAGAGUUGCAGAAAAUUAUAUCAGCUGAAGAUGAUGAUGAGAAGUUGAGGCUAUAUAUGACUAGCCUGUUAUGUUCAAGGCAAUGCAAUGGCAGUGAGAUAAAGCUUAGUUUGGUAGAGGCUGUCUUCUACUUGAUAAGCAUCUGGUCCGAGAGUAAAUUGGAAGAUUAUCAUCUGCAUUUUAGUCAGGUUAAUUUCUAUUCUUUAACAGUGUUGUUAUAUUAUAUACCAUUUGCGUUUAGGUUUUACUUUUACGAAGAGACAACUUGUUAUAUCUUGCAGCAUUGUCUACAAGAUGAUCAUAAUCUUUAUCAUUGUUACUCAAAUAUACAAAUGAAAUGAUAAUAAUCUAAACUUUGUAACUUCUUGUUAAAUAAUGUUGACUUAUUUCAUUUUUCUUUUGCAUCCUUGGAUGUCGUGUGCAAGUGAAAUUUACAUAUUGAAAAAGGCUUGUAGAAUGGUUUUGCAUUUCCCGAUAUUUUCCUUCUAAUUUUGAAAUUUUUAUUUCAGCAACCUUGUCACUUAAAGAAGGUAUGGAGCUUAGUGUCAGUAGUUGGCAUUCAUACUUUCCGUGAUGGUGGUGAUAUGAAGGUUAGCUUAUUGUCAGGAGUUGGCAUUGAUACUGCUUCAAUGGUCUAAUAUGGUUCUGCUUGUUGCUUGAUUAAAUAUUUAACUACACACAUUAGUUUUUGGAUAAAGAAGCUUGGUGGUUGGAUCUCAGUUGAAUUUUGAACGGACAAAUAAUCUUAUGAAAACUUUCAUACUUGCAGUUGAGCAGGUUGAAUAUUCUCGAUGAGGAUCCUUCUACAAUAUUUGAAUCUUAUGUGAAAAGGUCCAUUGAAGCUGCAUACAGACGGGUGAGAGAUGUUUGAUUUCAAGUUUGUAUAAGAUUUAGUUGGCCUUUCAGUUUUGGAUGACAGUUAUUUGUUUAUACUUUUAGGUAGCAAGUAACGUAGAUCAUUUAUCCAAAGUGGAAAAGAAACAUCCCUUAAAUGUGCUUGCAAAUGAACUGAGGUUGAUUUCUGAGAGAGAGUUCAAUGUGUUCUACCCGAAGCUAUGUAAAUUGUGUCCUCAAUCUGUGAUGAUCGUGGCUAUGCAAUUGCACCGGGUUUAUUGGGAAAGACUGGUCUGCUUUUGCACCUCUAUAAAUGAAUUAUCAAUUUUCUUGCAGCCUGUAGGCUGUGAACUUGUAAUUAAUUUGUUGUAUUAAUGUGCAGAAAUCAUUUAUUGAUGGAGUAUCAUCUCUUUCUGAAGAUGUUAUAUCAGUGCUUCCAGCUGCUCAUUUAUUGGAUCAAGGCCUAACUCAGCUAUAUAAUAUUGGUAAUGGAGCAAACAGCGGAGAUCUGCACCAUUAUCCGGUUAGUUUAUGGUUAAUGUAUUUAUUUUUUAAAGUUUUUAAUGUGAGGAUAUUGUAUAUUUGUUUUUUUAAUUGCAUCUCAUAAAUACUGUCGUAAAUAUACCGGAAACCAGAAAAAAUAUGCAGAUGUUCAGUUCCAUUCUUGUCUCUUUUUUUCUUUUGGGCAAGAAUGCUGUUAUUGUCACGUUUUCUGUUUGAAAUGUAUUUGGAUUAGCAAAUCUACUAGCUUAAGUUGUCACUUAGGUCUGUUAACUGAGUUUCUGAAUUUCAAUUGCGGUCGAUGCUCAGUUUUAUUAAAAAAAUUAUUUUGCUUUAUUCUGUGAUCUUCCUUAUCUUUUUCUGAUUUGUUUUCUGCUUGCAUAUAAUUUUGUUGUACUGCUGAUGAUAUAAUCAUUCUGUUCUGGGAUUAACGCACAUUGAGUUCUUUUAUUCUCUAUACAUAUUAAUGACUUAAUGGCUAGGUGAUCAUUGUGGUCUGUAGACUUCAGGAGCCUUAUAGCAUUCAAUUCAAUUUCUGCUGUUCAUUUUGUUUGGUGAUGGGUCCAACGUAAGAAGAAACUCAAGAACUGACAAUGUCAGUUUUGAAAAGAUUUGCAUCAUGCAUGCAUUUUAGAGCUUAUGAUUGUGAUUGAAUUUUUCUUUGUUAUGUAGUUUACAAUGUACCGGAUUUGUUCUUGCGUUCUUCAGCUUUAGGUUUUGUUUUUUCUUAAAUAAUUUCUUCGGCUUUAAUUAGAUGAGAUGUCAAAGAAUGAUCUGUUUGGCCUUUCUAUUUUGGGCAGAUUGGCGAGGUUGCUAAACCUAUCAUUCUUGAUUGGGUGAUUGCUCAGCAUGCACGUAUAUUGGAAUGGACUGGACGCGCGUUUGAUCUUGAGGUUGGCUCUACGUGGACUUGGAUGGUGUUGUUUAAAAAUGCAAAUUUAGUUUUUUCCUUCCCGUCUGACUAAACAGAUGCACUAAGUUAACAAGGAAAUAUAACAAGGAAAUAGUAUAUAGCUUAUCAAACAAACUGAUAGUGUGAUUCUAGGCAACCAGUGGGUACAAGAAAGUAGAUACAUUGCUGCUUGAUGAUGUGUACAAAUGCAUUUGUCAGAAAAUAAUGUAUUUACUUUUGAUCAGUUGUCAUGCUGAUCAGCCUAUAAGACACUUUAGCAUGGACCUUCACAUGUGCUUGUGCAUGUGAGAAGAGAGCAGAUGAUGAAGGCAAGGGAUAACUUGUUGAAUUUUGUCUUUUAUAUAUUUCCUCUCUUAUUUUCCAUGAUUUAGCCUGUCCUAUUCCUUGUGAAGUGUAACAUCAACAAUCCUAAUUAGUUGGGAUCUAGGAUUAGUUGGGUUGCGCCAUAUAAUUUUAGCAAUAUGUAAUUAUGUCAGCGCACAAAUGAAUGAAAAUGUGCCUCCAAGUUUGAAUCUGUUGGUAAAUUUUUCUUUUUCUUCUUUCCCAGUUGUAGAUAAGUUUGAUAUCUGAUGUAUUUGUUGACCAUCUACUUGGUAACCACCUAACGUGUUUUCAAGUUUGGAUAUGCUUUAAGAAGAGGACGUCUUCUCUUUAAUGCUUGGUACUUUAUGUUUUAAUUUUUUGGAAUGUGCAGGAAUGGGAACCAUUGUCAUCUCAGCAAAGGCAGGCACCAUCAAUAAUUGAAGUAUUUAGGAUUAUAGAGGAGGUACUUAUAGCCAAAACAUGAUUUGUUGCAUUUUAUUGAACUGAGAUCCAACUGUUUGCAAUGUUUUCAUGAUAUUGUGAUAGAGGUUCACUGAACUGUCUUGACAGACAAAUAGGUGGGAAGUUCAGAGAAUGGAAGUUGUUUGAUUCAGCUCUUUGCAUUCUUUUUCUUUCUUCUUCCACUUAGAAAUCUCCUUCAAGUUUCCUGUGAUCGUUAUAUUGUCCCAAUCCAGAUUACUGUUCUAAUUGUUUCUCUAAAAGUAUAUCUUAUACCAGGUUUGAUAUUUGCUUCAUUCCAUUGUUUGUAAAUCCAAAUUGCAGACUGUGGAUCAAUUUUUUGGUUUCAAUCUCCCUAUGGACAUCACACAUUUGCAAGGUCUGUUAUCUGUUGUCUUCCACGCCCUGGAUGCCUAUUUGCUGAAAUUGCUCGACGAGUUAGGUAUUACACAUCUCUGCAUACUAGUAUAAUUAAUGGAUUCAUUUAUUACCUUAUAUGCUUCCUUGACUUUCACUUGAAAAAAAUCAAUCUUAACAUAACUUCACUAUGGAAUUUGAUUUUGGUGUUUUGACUUAUUUUCUUUUGUGGUUGGGGCAUGUGUGAAGGCCUGGAUGCUUGUUACUAGAGAAUGAUAUAGUUUUAUCUUUUUAUCUCUCCGUUGACAUGUUUUAAAGCAUAAUGUUGAUACUAGAAAAAUACCUUACAAAAACUUUCUGAAUUAUCUAUCAAGUUUCUAUAUGGACAUGACUUAUCAGAAAAAGAUUUUUAAAAAAAGCAAAAGUUUUGCUUAUGGACACUGUUUGUGUAGCUGUAACUAUAAUGAGACGAUUCUUCUGCCUGAUCAGGCAAAACAAGAGAGUUGUACAAGAUGUAUUGAAUCAACUCCAUUCAUUUGUGCCGAAUUACGUGAGGCUUUUGAGAACUUGACAACUAAAACUUUUUGCUAAUGAUACCAGGUGUCAAUAUAUAUGUGUGUGUGUGUGUGUGGCUUGAUGAUACACAGUAUAUUUUAGUAAGUUUUGAGUCUGCAUUGAGUGGACAGAUAAUUUACUGUUAGUCAUUACAGGGAGAUCUAGUUUCUUGUAUUAACAGUCACAGUGCCUCCAUGCAGUUGAGAAGAAUCAUUUAUAUCCAUCACCUCCUCCAUUGACUCGUUACAAGGAGACGACGAUUCCUGUGAUGAAGAAAAAGUUGCUGGAGUGUGUGCCUCUGGAUGAUAAUGUGUAUGACAAGUUGAAUAGUUUGACAAUACCCAAACUCUGCAUCAGACUGAAUACUUUAAAAGUAAGUGAAUGUUGUGAUUUAUAAAUACUUAAAUAAUCAGUUUAUUUUUUGCAAUUUGUAUAAAUAAUUUUGCAGGAACAAUUGAAUCUUUUUCUCUGAUGCUAUAGUGUUUUUUCCUUUUAUCUGAUGCUUGUAAUUUUCAAAAUGGAUCAUGUAAUUAUGUCAUCAUUCAUAUCAAAAUAUUGAAGAUUUGGAUAGUUAGAGAAAGAUUAAUAUCAAAGUUGAGUAGUAAGCAUCAUUCAUAAGUCUACUUUAAUGAAGUUUAUUGGCCAAAAAGAGACAUUUCCAGUUUAUAUUCGAACGCCUGGAGACAACAAUUAUUUGGGACAUUUGAGUCCUUUGAACACAACGGAAGACUACAAGCCCAAUUUUGAUAAUAAGACUGCAACCUGUAAGAGUGUGAAAAUCUAGAAAUAUAUUGGAAUGAUGAAGGUUAAAGUAGAGUCGUAAUCCCCCCAAAUUUAGUGUGCUGAUGUUGCAUGCAUAGUAUAAAUACUGAUUACAAGACAUGGAUGCAAGGGAGAACUGAUAUGAGGAUUAUGGGGGUGAUGACAGACAAUGAUUUAACUCAGAAGCUCUAUAUUUUGAUACUUUUUUGCCUUAUAAUAUCGGCAGUUAUUAUUGUAUUAUAUACCAUCUUACCAAAUCUGGUAAACUAAUUUAAAUGCCUGUGAAAUAUUUUAUGUAGUAAGCUCAAGUCAAGGUCUUUAGAGGGAUCAUUUGUUACUCCCAUAUCCUCGGUUCUGAUGAUAGAACCUCAACUUUGGUAUUUGGUAUUGCAGUAUAAGUUCUUGAGCCCAUCUUGAAAAUUGUUUGCAUUUCAUUCUUUCUCCCUUUUCCUUUAGAUGGUGCUACUUUUGUUAAUUAUUUGAAAGAAUACAAUAUACUGAUAUAUGUUUGUUCCUGCAGUAUAUUCAGAAACAAAUAGACAUACUAGAAGAGGGGAUCAGAAAAUCUUGGGCACUUGUCAGACAUUCUUCUGAUAAAAAAUGGGGUAUGCUACUUUGUAUAUUGAUACUCAGUGAUGCCCUUUGUAUCUAUUGCAGUUAAGUUGUAGGUUUCGUGCUAGGUAUAAAAGUUUCCUCAUAAGGACAAAACUAGAAUUUUGGCAUUACAAGGGAAGUACUUACUAUUAUUGUGGUACUCUUUUUCCUUUUACUACUGUGCAUAAUAGCCAUGGUGCUGACCUUGCCUAGUCUUUAAUUAGGACAAUGCUUUGCAAGAUGGACCAACCAAUCAACUGAUUCUGGUUGGUGCUGUCACAGAAAAAGGCAGAUCUUAAGACUUGAAUGUGUCAUGCUUUAUCUGAACUUCAUUCCUUUUUUUUCCACACAGAAGGUCCAAUUGCUUAGUUAAUGGAUAAUCAAGUUGAGGACAUUAUAAUCACAUGUAAUAUCAUUAACAAGAGUUAUGCCAUAGUUAAACAAAUGCUUUGUUUCCUUUAACUGGAAGAUGACAAGCAAAAUCAGAGUAAAAUGACAAUUUUCCCAAGUAGUACAACUGAAUUGAUUGAUAUUUGCACGCUUAUGGUAAUUUUUAUUUGAUCAGACAAGAAACAGUCUCUAGGAACCUCAACAUGUAAUGAGCAAGUUGAUGAGCUCUUUGCCACCACCUUUGAAAUUAUCAGGGAUACUGCAGCAAAUGCUAUCAGCAGACUUUGUGACUUUACUGGUGAGUUAGCUUUUUCUAUCAACUCACUAAACGUGCUAAUAAUAUGCUAUCUAAAUUUUGUAUGUCUCAUUUCAUCCAUAACAUUAUCAUUCUUGUAAUGGAGAUAUUUGUCUGCAUAAUUUGAAAGUCAGGUCCCCUCAUUUGUAAUUGUCCUUCUUCUGCUUGAUUUGUGAAACAUCACCGUGAAGCUAUAUCUACAGUUGGUUUUACUGAUGACCAGGCAAUGGAUAAACCCUCUUACAGAAAUGUGGCUACAUUGAAGUUUGUUAUACAAUGACCAAAUAUGUGGCUUUCCUAUACACAUCUAGCAAUAGGCUUUUAUGCUUAGCUUCACUUGAAAUUUUGAAUAGAGUGUAUGUGAAUGUUAAGUUUCAUGCUUCAAGGGAGGGGGUGAUACUUGAUGGUCUAAUAUAACUUGUUUGCCUAACCUGCUCUUGCUCACCAUUCUGUAUUAUUAUAAUAUUAUUAUUAUUAUAUUUCUGUGAACUUAUCUCAUUGUCGCUUGGUGAAAUUAAGGAACCUACUUAGUUUUCUCCAUUAAAAUAAAUUUAAAUGAUAUAAGUGUGCGGGUGUGCAUGAUGAUAGAAGACAAUUAUGCUCAAUCAUGUUUGUUAAAAUUCAAUUUCUAGGUGCAAGAGUCGUGUUCUUGGAUCUCAAGCAUGCAUUCCUUUUCGGUUUAUACUGUGGUAAUGUUGAAGGUGCUCGUUUGGAUGGUGUUCUCACACAUAUUGAUACUGUAAGAUAUUAAUUUCUCUCUCUCUCUGUGUAUAAGUUUGUGGUUAUGGUUUCAUCAAAUAUUGUCAAGUGGAUUCUCUUCAUCUUAGAGGCAUUUUUGUAGGUCCUUGGUCAUCUAUGUGGUUUAAUUGAUGAUUCUCUUAGAGAUGUCGUGGUUUUAAGCAUCUUUCGGGCAUCACUGGUAUGUCUCAUUAUUAGAAACUAAUCUUCUGUGGCCCGUUUCUUGUGGUGGUUUUAAUCUUGCAUCAUAUGUGGUUUAGGAAGGCUUUGUAUGGGUGCUGCUUGAUGGAGGGCCUUCUCGUGCAUUUUGUGAUUCAGAUAUUUUACUGAUGGAGGAUGACCUUGCCACACUAAAGGUAUGGUGCUCUGUCUCUGUCUGUCUGUCUGUCUGUCUGUCUGUCUCUGUGUAUCUCCAACUAGCAUUGAGACAAAAUCACUCUUAAUUCUUAGAUGCUUAGGUAAACUUGUUCAGAAAGAAAUGGUCAAAUGUGUUGCCACUGACAUUAAUAUCAAAUUUCUUUCAAACUCAAUGACCUAAGAGAAGAAUUUCCAAAACUCUGGAAGUUGCACCUGUUUAUGUCUCUCAUGCUUGCGUGCUUAAACUUGAGCUCAUAAACAAAUACCACUUGAUGUACAUCCCUAACUUAUGGAGAUAGCUUGGGUCUGUAAGUACCGGGGGAUGGUUUACACUCAUACAUACUCAUUACUUUUUGUCAAAAUACAUAACCAUAUAUUGGUUGCUAAUGGAGCUAUGCUGCUAAACUUCCUAGGAAUUUUUUGUAGCUGAUGGAGAAGGCCUUCCUCGAUCGCUAGUGGAGCAGGAAACAAAAUUUGCUGAGCAGAUACUGAACGUGUAUUCUUUUCAGGUUUGGUCUCUUGUAAUGAGAAUUGUAUACCCUCUCUGUUGAACUUGAAAGGCUGAAACUGGAAGCAUGACACGACCUCUGUUUCUGUAGACUGAAAGUAUUAUCCAAAUGCUGAUGGCUGCAAGUGAACAAAUAUCAUCAGGCUUAGAUUCACAUGAUCACAAUCAUGUGCGCUUAAAUAAUGCCCACACUUUGGUACGGAUUUUAUGCCACAAGAAAGAUAGAGAGGCCUCCAAAUUCUUAAAAAGGCAAUAUCAGUUCCCCAUGUCUUCAGGUAAUUUUUCCUCUCCAUCUAUUUCAUUGCAUGAAAGAUAGGGUUCUAAUGCAAUAAUAUCUAUAUGCUAGUAGAGAAAGUGGGUUUUGGUAAUUAAAACAAAAAGUUGGAAAAAGUGGGGAUGGCGGUUUGCUCUAUGUUAUACUGGAACUCUGAGCCCGUCUUAGCAUACUAGAGAUUAACCUAAGAAGAUCUCCACGAAGAUUGUGUACAGGAGGAAGUUCUCCCGUUUAAAUCUUGGAGGAGGAGCAUGUUUACGUCAUUGAGCAGCAAAUAUAUUGUUAAAGCAUUUGACACAAUUGAUUCUGAAAUGAUUCUUUAUUUUUUAAAAGAAUGUGCUUCAAGAAUAAUAAUCAAACUAUUUUAUCUUCAGAAUCACAAGAAACAGAAAAACUUAGUGGAAACAUGGCUUGUAACUGUUCGCUUUUUAUUUAAAAUUUUUCUUUGAAGACAUUAUAUUUCCAACUAACAUCAAUGUGAUGAUGUUUCUCUAUUAUGGUUUUCUAUUUCUGGUUUAAUAAUUGAAAAAAAAAGGUAGGUUCCAUAAUUCUUGCUUCUGAUAUUUUAUGGUCUAACCUGCAGCUUUACAACCGAAUUUCUCUGGCUAGAAAUAGUCAGUUUAUAUUAAACUCAUGUCAGCAUUUCUCUUUGCUUUUCUUUUUCCCUUUUUUCAAUUGCAGAGUAUGAUGACACUCCGUCAAAGGAUCCAACUUCCCGGUCACCUCUCAGAUCAGAUCUUACGAAUCGAAGCACGUCGUUUCAUUGGAACAAGAUGAGUCCUACUAGUUUUAAGACAUUUAAGAAGAAACUUCAAGAUGCAACAUCUGAAAUCAGGAACGUGGCGUGGUAGUGUGCAGCAAGAGAACGGGCUGUAAGGCAACUUGUUCUCAAAUAGAUGCCGAAAGGGCAUCGAGUUGGCUCUCCGGACCGGCAGAAGAAUGAGGCACCGAGAUUUGUGUGCAGCCAGCCAAUUUUUGUGUUCCGGUAUCCGUACAGCUUUAUUGGCAAACUACCACCUCCAUUAUGAUGCUAGCUAGUUUGUGCGUUAAUUUAUUCGUUGAACAUAGGGGGACAAAACAUAAAAUACCAAAAGACUAUCAGUUCUGUUAUUCUGCAGCGGCCCAAAAUUGGGAGAUUUUAGAAUAGUUUGUCCCUAUAUUGCGAGUAGAAUACAUUCCUAAAACCUUAAAUCAAGUAAUUUCGCACUAAAAUCCAAUUGCAUGUAGCAUCGAGGGAAAAUAUUCUCUUGUUAGACUGUAUGGCGACAUUCUAAAACCUCGAAUCGAGUAAUUUCCCACACUAUGGCAACAUAAUCAUCUUAUAUCUGUGAAUCUGAACAAGAUCAUGUUGAUAUUCCUAAUAUUAGGAUUAAAUGUACAAAUUGAGAAAAAUAGAGAGCAGUAUUUGUGUCAAUGUCAAUGACUCGAUGUGAUCUAAUUUUGCACCUAUGGCUACUUUCCAUCUUCCACAUGAUAUCAUAAUCAAUUACACCUUUAUGUUUUAAAAUCAGCACUCAUAAUUUAAAAUUAGAGUCCCGACAUACUGUCCAGGUCUUCGGUGCAAAAAACACGCAUCAUCUCCAACAAGAGAUCCACACUCAAGUACUACCUCAACUUUACUUUUUCUCUUACGUAAAAUAGACUCCAGUGAUAAAGACUUUAUAACUCCAAUGAUUAAGAGCAUUUAAACAAUCUCAAAUAUUCCAAGAUAUGAAAGAAUAUGAAGAGGGGGUGUGUAUUUUCGGAGGUGUAAAGCCACUUUUACUUCCUCUUCACAUCUCCGGAGGUUGUAAAUGUGGUUCUUGCAAAGGAUGUAAAAAAUGAUGCACAUGUGCAUCUAAAUUUGCAUCUCACAAUUGUGAUGCAAAUUUACAAUCGUUUACACCUUUCCAUUGCAGGUGAUUCCGAUUACAAAUGGUGUAUAUUUAACAUACACCUCAUUAUACAACCCUUCACUGGAGAUGCAAAUUUAUAAUAGACUUAAUAAUUUUCUCUUGCAUUCAAGAUUUUGUGUUGUAUUCUUUCAUUCCUCCGUCCGAUGGAAAAAAGAGAAUAUUUUUGCUUACCACUUUAACUCCAAGUAUACCGUCAUUACCUUUCUCAACACUUGACAUUUGUCUAUGGGUAUAAUCAUGAUUUCACAAAUACAAAAUAAAGAAUUAACUAUAGUUAUACCCACGGACAUAUGUCAAGUAUUGAAAAUAAUAAUGAUGUAUAUAUUGAGUUAAAAGUAGGAAGUAAAAAUAUUUCCCUAAACUCUAAAGAAAAAAGAAAAAAGGAAUCUACAUGAUUGAUGUGGAUCUCAUAUCAUGUGACAUGGAGGGGAUAAAACUUUGAGAAAAGACAAACACAAAUAUGGCCUCAUGUGGGCUCUUGAUUGCUUGAGUCACCAUGGUAGUUGUGAAUUAGAUAGCCCAUCACAUUCAGAGCACUUUGAUAAAAUCAUGGGAUUUGAAAUGGUUGUAGGUAAAGAUGAGCUUACAGUUGCCAUGGAUUUACACUUGGGAGGAAUGUGGAAGGAUGAUGCAUGAGUGGUGAUAGUUACCUAAUUGGAUUUUCAUGAGUAGCUUUACUCACUUUAUUUUCCAAUACUUGUACUUGACAAUCAGUGACAAUUAGUGCUAGUUUGCUUUUUUGGUCCCCUAAAUUAACACCUCUCUCCUUCUCUUUUUAUCUUUUUCCUCUUUUUUCUUCGUAAUGGUACUAAAAUAAACAGUGCUUAUAAUGAAAGAUAAAUAAUUUAAAUUUGCGACAUUUUUCAAUAUUUAAACGAGAAAUACUAAACCAAAAGCUAAGCUAAUUGGUACAUAAAACACGCAUUUUUUUAAAACUUGAUCCAACGUCAAUUAAUGGAGUGGUGAUACUCGCGCGUUGAGAUACUCUCUCAAUUUCUGGAAGGGUGCCCUUCAGAAUCACACGUGGCCCAUCUAUGUGCCUCUUUGCAACCAAAACCCACGUGAUCUAACUGCCCUUCACAAUUCACAGAGCACUCACCCAAAGGGGGCAGUAGAGCUGUCACCGGCGUACCAAUGACUGUGCCAGUGCCACACAUGCCAAAUGCUGGCGCAUUGACGGAGUUUGUUUGCCCAUGACCGCUGACCGGACCCAAAUUUUCCAACUUCACAGAAAGGUUCACAAUCCCAUUGGUCCUGGAACCGUCUCUAGCCCGUAGCCGGUAACUCAAGUACCGUGCUGAACCGGCCGGCGGAAACCCAAUAUCUUGAGCAGAGAUUUGGCACCAGCCCAACUGGGUCCGGCCCAUUAUGAGCCGCUUGCUGUAAAGCUGCAGAUAUAUGCAAGAGUACCUGUUUGUGAAGAAACUUGUGUCCACAGGGACAUGAAAUUUGUCACCCCAUGUAGGGUUGAUACCUCCUUCAUCAUCCACCCCUGUGCUGUACACGUGGCACUUGUGAUCACCGUUGGUGGUGGUGAGGGUAAUGAAGGUUCUGAUCUUGUUUGAGAACGUAGUAGGGGAGGUGGUUUUGAGGCCUUGGGCUGAUAUCACUGUGAUCUCCAUCUUCAUCAGUGGCUAGUGAUUGUACUCCUUCAACAUGAUGUUAUUGAACUUGGCUUGGAGUUGAUUGGUCUAAUUAUAUACAUAUAUAUAUAUAUAUGAGUUUGUAUAUAUAUACAUAUAUACAUAUAUAAUAUAUGUGAAAGUGUGUAGCAAUAAUAGGAAAUUAAAUAUGAGAGAGAGAGAGAGAGAGAGAGGGUUCUUGGGAGCUUCAAAGGGGGUUAAUUACAGUGCAGUUUCCUUGUGGAAUAAAAAUGGAGAAUUUUGGAAAUGGAAUUUUGAAAGGGUGGAUGAUGCAGCUUUAUAUGACUCAUACACUCAAAAAAGCAAUGGAAUUUUCCCGCUUGCCAAGUCAACUAGAUAGACGGUUUUUGUGUUUUGAUGUUUUUCCCCUACCCAUAUGCCCGUCAGUCACUAAACAAAGUGUGCCAAUCAUUUUUAAUGUUUCUCUCGAAAGCAAUAGAGCCUAAGCUUCGCCACUUCUUGAUGAUCCGGAUCGUCUGUUUGAAUUUUCCCACUCAUUAUAUGUUUGUCUUUUAUUCUCGAUUACAAAUGAUUGUAAAUAUUUAAAAGUAAUUUAUGAUUUGCGAUAAUUCAUUUUUAUAGGUUGUUUAUUGUUAAUUAUUUUGUUUUUCUAUCAAAAAUAAAAUUAUACUAAUAUUAAUUUCUUGUAUAGAUAGUUGCUCAAACCUUGCAUUUAAUGUGGGGUCCAAAUAGUUGUCAAGUAGCAAAAGCCAGCUUCUUUCCUUGAUUUAUUUUUCCACCAAGUUGUCAUGCAGCAUACUGCGGAUGCACAUGUCGUUUUGUUAUAAAAUUUUCUUUAAUUUGCAAAUUGCAAGUGCCGUCUUUGGUCGUCUGCAUGAAUAUUUUUCCAUGCAAAUUAAUUUGCAGAGCAAUUUCAUGGUAGAAGUCUGGCAAAUGCGUAAACACAUGGGCGUCAAGAGGAAUUGAAGUCAACCCAAUUUUGCUGAUCACAUGCAUACAAAUUCCACUAAGCUUUUCAUAAUAUUAAUAGGUCAUGUUAGUGGUCGGCACAAAUAUACGAAAAACAACAACUAGAUAUUGCCAAAAGCAAACAAGGCAAAAAACAGUUUUGCCACUUUACUUUAUAGAUUGGUCCCAGCCCAGCUGCAGCAAAGCAUGUGUAGCUGAGGUGAGGGUUCACAUUAACAUUAUGUUCUUGGCAGAUUGUGUCGACUUUAGGGACCGAAAGUGAAGCACUUGUUGACUCACCACAAGAUCGGGAUAUUCAUUUACUUCUCAAUUUUCCAAAUUUUUGUUCUUUUUUUGUGUGCGUAUAUAUAUGUAUAAAGAAAAACAAUUAAUUAGGGAAAAUUUAAAUAUAUUGCAGUCGAUCGACAAAUUUAAUACUUGUAUUUGGUUUAUUAAUUUUCCGUUGUCUUUUAUUUUUUUCAUAUUUUAAUAGCUUAUGUUAACAUUGAAUAUUGGGAUCCUUAGAGAAUCUUGCUUGUAAUUAUAUUUGUUGUAAGUCUAGAUUGACUCUCAAUAAUUUCAUAAGGACAUUGCAAUAGACAAAAUUCAUAGAAUAACGAGUCAAUUUGUUACGUAUCAAUGAACCAUGAGGAAAGUUGAGUGGUCACAUGGCAAACAGAAAAUGAAAUAUACAGUGAGAUUAUAUAACAAACUACAUUUAUCUGAAUAGAGAUGAUUGGUUUCGAGUUGUUUUAGUCUCUGUGUGGAGGAGCUUUGUUUUUGGUUGGGUGAUGGGCCUCUUUGGCUUUUAGAUGGUGUUGGGGAGGAUUGGUCUUGAGUGGUUUGAUUUACUUGUAGUAGGUAUUUCACUCUUCUGAUUAGUCAUUAGUAUGAGAAGUACUUUAUACUCUGGGAUUUUAUUCCAUGUAGUUUUUUCCAAGAAGAUUUUAACGAGGCCACCGUUAACAUGCUCAUUUUUAUCAUGUAAUGUUCGGUUUGAGUGGUCACAUUGAUAAACAGAAAACAAAAUUUACAGUGAGAUUAUAUAACACAAACUACAUUUAUCUGGACCCAAAACUCUCUGUUUCAAUCCAUAAAAGUAAAAUUUGAGAACUAGUAGUAGAAAGGGCAAGGACAUCCAACUCAUAAAUUCCAUUCAAUCCAAAACCUGGAGUUAGAGUGCUAAAAUUUAGGAGACAUUUUGUAAUGCUUGUCGAUAAAUUAUAUGCAAUUGGGCUUAUAUCCAAAGUAGUUCGAUGCCUCGACAGAGAAAGCUGCAGAAUCACUAUUCAAGAACAAAGUCCUAUUUCCCCAAGGUCCUUGGCUCUGAAUCCGACCAAUUGCCAUAACUUAAUGGCACCUCAAAAUAUCUAAACCUAGUUUUUGUCGUAAACCUGUUCUCUCGUUUACUCCAUGAACUAGACAAAAUGGAAGAAAUGUAAUUAAAAAAAAAGCUAAAAGCCUCGUUUGUGCGUGUUUAGGGUCUUCAAUGUCACAAACCAAAACAUUCCCUUUCAAGUCCAGGGCAUAAAAUUGUCCCAUUGAAUGUCACAUACCUUUUGACAACGUCGUUGUUGAUGGGGAUCAAAAGUAAGAAAAGCUACCAUGGAAACUUUCUUUUUUGUGGCCCAAAAGGCUAGAAGAACCCUUAGUCGGCCCAUUUCUGUAGGCAUGCAUGCAUGGUCCAUAAAUUUCAAUUGAUAAUUUGGGACCGCGAAUGUGGGUUUGAUGAGUUGUAUGUGUGCUUGCUCGCCCAUUUAUACCCGAGUUCAAUUCUCUUCCAUCUCUAGUGUCGAAUAAACAUAAACCCCGGGGGGGAUUGCCAGGCACACCAUGAACAGUGUUUAUAAGAGGUUUUAGAGACUGUUCCAACAGUAUUUCUUCUAGCCAUCAUCCAACUUGUGUGAGUUUCUUUAGAAUAAUAAUGAAUGUAACGCAUCCAAGUGGCUUAACAUGGCUGUUUACUAAGAUGAAAAAUUGCUCAAAAUCCCUUAACGGGUCUUUUGCAAUUUUAGGCCCAAACAAUUAUCCUUACGGAUAACGAACCUGACAUGAUAGGUCCAUUGUCAAUUCUCAAUCAACCAUGAGCAUAGACGAUGGAUGACUCAAAUUGCCAAGCGAGACCGAAUUACGUGAUUUUUUGUUUUACAAAGCGGCAUUCUAGAUUAUACAAAGAAGGGAUCGAACUCAGAUGCAAAGAACGGACAACACUGAUUGGACACUAGCAAAAUGAAAAUGAACGAAAUCAUGCUAAUCUUGAAAUUAGCUAAAUUAUCACUAACAUACAUUCACCACAUUAGUCAAAUGUGGCGUGUUUCUGUUUGUCCGUCUGCUUUUGAAACAACAAACAACAAUUCAUGGAUAAAAUUUUGAAGGAAUUAAUUUAUACAAGCGGGCUCACAAUUUUGACUGUUCCCGCCCAACUCUUCUGGCGCUUCAUGGAUCAAGGAAAAAUUUCAUCCGCGCCCAAACUACGACGCACGCACGGCGUCGUUUCGCAGUUUCCAGAACACACUAGAAAAUCUGAUCCUUUCUUUCCAUAAACGACGUGACGCUAUCAGUCAUUUGACUCGCACGUGCGCACUUUUCUCCUCGUGCGGUGCUGUCCACUCUUCCAUUAUCCGGAAAAACAAAUCAUAAUCACCAUCGUCAUCCAAUCAAGUCCGUCACUUUCCGAGCUCCAGCCACGUGGAGUCCUGAUCGCGCUUCGAACUCCCAUCUGACGGCUCUGAUUUCAUCGCCUCAGACCCUUCCCGAUGCUGCUCCUCUUCCUCCUCGUCUCUCCGCACGCGCUUCACCCCAAUGGACACCCCAAAUAGCCUCGGCCUCGUCUCCUCCUCCUCGUCUUCCUCUUCCUCCGCCGAAGCCUCCGCCUUAGACCCCUCGCGAACGACACCAUUUUCAGACGGCUCAGCCUCCUGCACCGGCGACAGCUCCAGAGGCUUACCCUCAUCCAUUACACUCCCACCGCCACCGCCGCCGCCCUCCAACUGACCAGAAGCGUAGUUCGUCAUCAAAGCCAAUAUAUUGUUGCACAAGCCGCGCAGCUGAGUCAGCUCGUGACUUAGCUGCAUGUUCUCUUUCCUGAGCCGCUCGUUCUCUUCCAGAACGUCCGACGUGGUGGUGCAGCUCCGGAUUCGGCUCAACAUCGUAGCCGGAGGCGCCACCGGCGACGAGUUCGACGAGAUCACUUGCUCGUCGCCGGAGUUCGACGGAGAUACCCCGGGAGCCACCACAGAUACCGUCGCCAACGUAGCGGUAAUCGCCGCAGGCGACGCCGACACCGACGGCGAGAUUUUCCGGCGCUGAAUCUCCCGUAGGAGGCCUUUCUCACCUCUUUUGAAGCAAUCGUUCGCGAACUCCCACCGAUCCGGCACAACUUUCCGAAAUCCCUGCAAGUACAAUAGAAAUCGAUUAGAAAAUAGAAUAUUUACGUGCUUAAGUUUGUUUGGCUGCCGAGAAAGAGGAGGAAAGUGAGGGAAACAGAGAGGGCUUACGUAAGUGUUGAGCUGGCGGACGAAGCUGGAGAAGUUGUUAUGCUUGAAAUACUUGGGGAGCAAAUCUCUGGCGAAUUCGGCGGGUCGCCAGACUAUGAAGGCCGAUCCGUCUUCGCUCCACGAGAUCAAAUCGUCGACGGACGGAUCGUCCACCAGCUGAUACGUUUUGGUCAAAAACGGCGUCGGAAGCGUCCUUUGUGAGUCUCCACCUCCUCCAGCGCCGUUAACCGGGCCGGAGUCGCCGUUCUGGUCGGCCUGCAACGACGCCAUGGCCUCUAGGCCUUCGGCUUCUCAGAUCCGAGCUCUAAUAGCAACUGAUUUAUCAAAUAAGUAACUGUUGUUCAAUAUAACAAAUAAAUUAAAAUUAUUUAACGUUUCAAUUGGUUGCAGAGAAACCGUGGAGCAAUUAAAAAUAAAUAAAAAUUGAAGAAAGGAAAAUUCUGGAGGAAUUAAUUGAUUUAAUUUCAUGUAUGAAAUGUCUAGCAGCUUCAGAAAAAAAAAUUUUAAUUAAUUAAAUUAAAGGAAACGUAUGUACCUGGAAAGUGAGGCUUUGGGAUGAACAAAGUGUAGGGAUUUUCCCACCAACCAAACGGAAAACUGGAAAAGAAAGUUCGUUUCCUACACGAAAGCUAACUCUAUCUAGAACAGUGCUUGGGCUGUUGCACCAAGGCUUAACCAGAAGAAGCCGCAGCAGCUCCGAGAGAGAGAGAGAGAGGCGGGGAGAACUUCCCUGCUCUUUUUGUUGUUUCUAGAAGGUUCUGGGGUGCGUGGAGUAAAUGAUAGGAGCAAGACGGAAAAAGGGUAUUCGUGGGUUCGAGAAGGAAAGAGAGAAAGUAAUUGUUUUAUUUUUUUAAGGAAAAGGAGAUUGGAAAAGGGCAAAAACUGUGGGGGCCCACGGACAAGAGGGAGUGAUUAAACAACGGAUAGGAAGGCGCGAGAAGUAGGGGCUAAGAGAGAGAAUUAGUAGGUUUUUCUUCUAACGUCUUUUCCAGAAGCUUCUCCCAUUCUUUCAUUUUCUAUUAUUUUAUUAUUAUUUUUUGCCCAAUUUACGUUUUGUUCCCCGUAACUUGUUUAGUUUUUCAGGUUGGUCCCUGUUUUCUUUAUUUUGACAAUUUUCAUCCAUUGCUUUUGGAAGGUUGGCAAUUCUAGUCCAAAUUGACAAACCCAAAAACAAAGGACUUUUUAUUACAAACGAUACCUAAGAUUUACAAAAUUAUCAUAUUUUGUCCUUAUUGUUCUUUUGUAAUACUAAUGGUCCUUAAAGUUAGCUUUUGUACAACAAAAUGAUCCCUGUCGUUAAAUUCUGUUAAUUUUUUUGUUAAAUUGAUGACGUGGCAUAUGUGUGGAGUUCACACAUCCAAUGAUAUAAAGCCACGUAGCUUUAAAUAUAAUAUAAUAUAUUUUUAAAUAUUUUUAAAACUUAAAAUUCAUUUCACAAAAAUUAAAAGCAACUUAAAUUAUUUAUUUAUUUAUUUUUUUAAGUUUUAACAUAGAACUAAAAUAUCAAUUAACAUAAAUUUCCUAACUUAUCCUCAAUUCAAUUCCUUCUCAAUUAAUUCAUCCUCAUUCUCACUCGAUUACGAAUAAGUAAACAUGCCAUAAAUUCAACGUAUUAAUUAGCGUUAAAAAAAUCCUUCCAUUCUAUGGAGGCAAAACACUCUUUGGUUGUCGGCUGUUUUCUACCUAGUACUGCUCCUGGAGCUUUAAUGAAGUUAGGUUUGUGGAUGCCUUUGGAGGUAGGGAAUAUUAAUUUGUGAACCUAUUACAGUUUGAAAGGUUGAACUUUGUAUGUACAGUUAUAUAACACAUAGAACCAGUCAAGACAGAGGCAUGUAAAGUUGUUAUUGGACUUUGAUGAAUUGACAUGUAUUCAAAUAAGACUAAAACACCUUGUGACAGGUACAUUAUGAAGAUUGCAAUGGAAAAAUUUGUGAGGAAGGGGACCCAAAAUUAUUUUUUAUGGGUGUCUUUGUGCGACUUUUUGAAGUACAAAUAAUUCUAAGAGCAUUCACACAACACAAUCAAAGUAAUAUUAGAGAGGGGGAAUUCGAACAUAUGACCACAAAUGUAGGGCUAACUACUCUUGACCACUUGAGAUUGUGCAGAUUUAAAGGAGCUGGCUUUUGAGGGCAACUCUCACACGUGAUCUUCCUCUAUGUCUAUUUGUUUGCAGAAUCUCAAUCCUCAGCACGAUGAAUGUUGCAAAGAGUUUCAUAGUAACUAAACAACACAGAAAACAACAAAAGAGCUGAAACAAAUAAUCAAAAUGAAAAAAAAACAAUAAGUUCUAGAAGCUCCAUCUUGAUCCACAUCACCAGCCUUAUCUUCAACUGAUCCUCAUCUCCCAAGAUCAGCAGAAAGAUUUUGACUAGAAAUUACUUCAAUUUAAAGCAUUUCUUAGGGCUUCAGCAUGACCCAUGAGAGCAGCAUAACUAAUGCCUUCAAUAGAAUCCCCUAUAUCGUUAUUAUUGUGUUACUAAUUCACAUGUUAUGUUAUAUGUGAAUGCUACAUAUAUAAAAUCAUGAGUGGAAAUGAGUGGACGCGGUAUGACAUUCGAAAAUCUUCCCCCAUUUCACAUCCAACUUCCACUUAAUUUAAGUAGGACCAGUCCGAUGCUGCCACUGAAAUGCACAACAUAUUAGAGGUAUCGUCUCUUUUUUAUAUGGAAUUAUUCUGUACAAAUAUUCAUCUUAUUUAUUUAUUUAUUUAAAUGUUUUCCCUCUUUCAUUGAAAAUUAUUGCAGGUUGCCCGGUAAACUUCCUGUUGAAACUUUAUUAAUUCGUGGGUUCUUCUAGUAGCCCUUAGCCAGCUCUCUCUCUCUCUCUCUCUCUCUCUCUCUCUAGAUCAAAACGUUUUUAACAUUGCCCCCAUUGCUUAGCUGCUUAAAACUACAAACCCGCACGUCUCUGUGCUAAGAAAAUUAUCACAUCCUGAAACUGGUCAAAUUCCUCAGACAGUUUGGAUACAUUUAUUCUAAGAAAAUUCCAGACAUCCUAAUUCCAAGACCCAAGUAAACAUUUAUAGAAGCAAACGCAAGUUUAUGCUUCAAUUUGUUACCACACAACAUGCAUGGCAUAAUUCUUUUUCGAUAUUUAUAUAUACUUGCCAGAAAAGGAAUUUAUUCCCAUGAUGUGGCCCAAUUACAUUUCUUUUAAAUGGAAAAGAUAAAUAAAGGAAAAACACUAUAGUAGAUGAACAUAUCUAGCAGGACAUCAAAUAAUACAGUUUUAUUUCUCAAGGCAGUGGGAGGUAAGUCACUUAGACAAACUUCCGUGCGCUAAUGUACAAUUCCAUUCAAUACUUGGACUGGUAACCUCGUGGAUUGUUUACCGCCCACUUCCAUUGGUCCCUGCACAUAUCGUCUAUUCCGUAUUUUGCCCUGAAACCGAAGAUAUAAAAUUAGCGAAGAAGAAAAACUAUGCGGCGCCAGUCAUCAUCUUGAAGGAUCAAAAAGAAUGUUUUGCAUUUGCAUAAAAGAAGAGAUGAAAUCUACUUACUUCCACCCGAGUUCCCUUUCAGCUUUCUCUGUUGAAGCAUAAACAGCAGUAGCAUCUCCCGGCCUCCUUGGGCAUAGUUUGAUGGGGAUUUUCUGGGAUAUACACAAUUAAGACAAAGUUCCAUAAUGAAAAAUUGAUUGAGAAAAAGAAAGAGAUAGUGAUUUAAAGGAAUCGCACAAUCACCUUGCCAGAAGCCUUCUCGAAGCCAGCAACCAUUUGAAGCACUGACGUACCUUGUCCGGUUCCCAGGUUGUAGGCAACACAUCCUAAGACAUGAAAUUCUAUUUAGAACACCCAAAUGCCAAAGAACAUUACCACAAAUAUUUCUGACAUGAUAGAGUCAUUCAGAAACAUGACACUCAAGAUAAUAAGAACAAUCACCUAGAUUCUCUGUAGUAAAAAGCUUCUGAAGAGCAGCAAUAUGACCAUCCGCCAAGUCCAUAACAUGAAUGUAGUCUCUGAUCUGUGCAUAAUGAAGAGAAUAAUAAAACUGGUAAUUAGGAAAACAUGUGGAUUUAAUCGAUUGCAUAAGACUAACAAGAAAGUCGUGUAUUAGCAGCAUGCUGAAGGAUGAUUCUAUGAGUAUAAUAUAAAACCAUAUGCAGUCCAAGCCAAAAUAAAUUCAACACGGGACCAGUAGCUGGAUGUCAAUGAACAAGUGAAUUCUUGCCAAUCCUACCCAGUCAUCUUGAAGAAAAACAAUCUUGAUGGAUUUUACAUACCGCAGUACCAUCCUUGGUGGGAUAAUCAUGACCAUAAACAUUAAGCUCAGGCAAUCUUCCAACAGCUACUUGCUGUAUGUAAGGCAUGAGGUUGUUUGGGAUGCCUUUGGGAUCUUCACCAAUUUGCCCACUCUCAUGAGCCCCGACAGGGUUGAAGUACCUCAGUAGAAUAAUUUGCCAAUCUGGGUCUGCUAUGUGUAUAUCUCGAGCAAUUUCUUCAAGGAAAAGCUAGUAAAAUGGAGCAAAUCCUAUGUUAGAGAAGAAGGAAAGAAAGCCAUCUAAUUUUUAACUCAACAUUAAUUCAAUGUUUUGUGGAAGAAGAUAUGUUGUAUACCUUUGUACGGCCAUAUGGAUUCAAAGCUACAAGGUCAAAAUCCUCAACACAAGGAAUUUUUGAAGGUUGCCCGUAAACAGUUGCAGAUGAUGAGAAAACCAUCUACACUCACACAACAUCAUAUUCAUCACGUUAGUAGGUGGAAACAUGGGAACAUUUUACAAAAUCAAUGUCUCAAUGUUCAGAUGCUCAAUUCCUCAGAAGUACUUUAGAAAAGACGAAAAUAAAUAAGUUUUUUUUCUCUAAAUAAUGAAGCCAAUAAUUCAGAACAUCAGUAUGUUUAUAAUCCACUUUGUCCUUCUCUUUAGUUUUACUGGGGCAUAAGAGACAGUGAGAGAAACCAAUCGCCAGCACAGGCACAUGGGGGAAAGAAUGAACAUUUAAAACAUUGGUCCAAGUUCCAUUGGUUUCCAUUCCACACGGUUGCCAACAUAUGGAAAACAAAAUAGUAAUCUCUGAACCUAAUUUGAGGUCCAACUGCAGAACUCAGAAAAAAGAAGAAAAAAGAAGAAGAAGUUGAGAGAUCAAACCUUUUUACAAUUGUAUUUUGUCAUGAUCUCAUAGAGAUUAAUAGUGCCAACCAAAUUAUUAUCAUAAUAACGGCGUGGGUGAGCAACACUCUCUCCUACAGCUUUCAGGCCAGCAAAGUGGAUCACAGCAUCAAAUCUGUCCCAUUAUAAUCCAACAGCACAGUCAAAUACUUGAACGUUAUAAUUACAUACUAUGAUGUAAUUAAGAAAAUUACUCACUUUGUUUGAGAAAACAGCCUCUCCAAAUCGUCCUUAUUUCUGAGAUCACCCUGCAACCAAAAAAAAAAAGAAAGCAUAAGUAAUUGAAUUAAUGAGAACGAGGCCAAAGUGAAAACACAAAACACAGUGUUAGGCUUAUAAGAAACUAAGAAUUUUAUUGCAAUAAUUGGAGACGAUUCUAAACCAACUGAGCCGAGCAAGACUAUGUUCAACUUAAUUUCAAGAAACGAAGCACAGUUAUCAGGAAUCCAAAAUUCCCUUUCACAUUCACUCUAAUUCCCAAAAUAAGUAACAGAGCAUCAAGAAGUCAAAAUUUUCUUUUCCAAUUUUAAAAUUAUCUAGGGAACCAAACAGAGCAGCGUAAAGCCAAAGCAGCAAGUUCACUAAACAAGAAAAAGAGCAAAAAGACAAGAAAAAGAAGAAAAAGAGAAGCGGCCAUAGCCAAUGAACAAGUGAAAGUGAGGAUAGCGAUAUACCAAAUGAAAGUGGAGCUUCUGAGAGAGCUUAGGGCCGACCAAGUCCCGAACGCGAUCAACAGCUUCAAUGACGGAAUUGUCAAGAUUAUCAAGGAUGGAAACCCUAAACCCUGCUUCGAGAAGCUGAACCACCGUGUGGCUCCCAAUAAACCCCGCCCCGCCGGUCACCAGAAUCGUCUGCUCCAUUGACCCCAUGCUUCUUGCCUCCUCCUCCUCACACACUCACCACAAACGAACUCACAGAGAGAGAGAGAGAGAGAGAGAGAGAGAGAGCGAAUCAAGGAGGGUCGUUCGGGAAUUUCGGAUAAGCAAGAAAGUGAAGAAGAAAUGUGAAUUUGAAUUGGAAUUUAUGAGAUUAUUAUACUAUAUAUAUAUAAAAGAAAAAGGGGGAAAAUUCAGUUGAUUGGGGAAUUGGAUAAGAAUGAAUAAUUGAAUUACGUGAUUGAUGAUAAACACCCAAAAAAAAAAAAAAAAGAAGAAAAAACAGAGAAAAAAAUUGAAAAGGGUGAGAAGUUCAGUUGAGGUGAGUAGAGAGAAUAUAUGGAAUCAGUACAGUUUGUUUUGCUUGGCGCGUUUUUAAUAGAUCUUUCCUUUUCUGUUAUGGCGGAGCUGUGACGGUUGCAGUCGCGCGAGUAAAGCGCGUUUCGUACUCUCCAGUGCCAGUGGUAUUGGUAGUUUGCGAGGUCGAGGUUUGCGGAUUUGAAAUGGGUGUGAUUAGACUCUGACGUGGUCCAUCCAAUUUCUGUUUUUCCAGCGAAUUUGGAUAUUUUUGUUUUCCUUAAAUUGCUUUUUCUUUUAUUUUUUUCUUUUGAAAGCGAUAUUGUUUUUUGUAAAGUUUGUAACGAACGAAUUUGACAUGGUUUGGUUGGCGUGCCGAAUAUCGUAUCCUAUACAUCUUUUUGGAAUAUAAUGAUAAUUAAUAAAUAAAUAUGGGAAUUUUGGCUUUUCCUUUUUGGGGAAUGAGGAGAUAGAGGACUUUUAGAUUUAGGAACAUUUUUUAUUUGACAAAGUAAUGUUUCAAACUAGUCUAAUGUAUAGAGAGUGGAAUAGCAAUCGGGUGCAAAGGACGAGCACACCAUCUUAAGUGACCUAAACUACAUCUACUUACUUAGAACAGCGGAGAGUUUGAACAACUGAAAUGAAAGAAAUUAACUCCUUUAAUGUGAAGAAGCACACACUAAAGCACAUCCAUUUUGGGCAAAAAUUUGAACCGUGGAAAUUUGGCUUCUUCUAAAAGUGUCAAGGUUAACCUAUACACCAACGUUAACGUCUGAUGAAGUAGCAUGUGCAGAGAAAAGUUGGCCACAUUUAGUAACACCUGAAUCAUUUUCGGCGUCGAAUUCACGUUCCAGGCACCUUCCUAGAGAUUUAACGGCAGCUGAAGAAGCAUCAGGUCUUCUGGAACUUCUCUUUCUUAUGAUGGAAGGAGUAUUUUUGAAACUCAAUGCCAAGUUCUUCAGUCUCGACCCGGGACUGCUGCCACUGCUGAGAUUCACAUUAACAUUCUGCGGACGGCUUUGGGGUGUAGAGUAGCAGGAUGGACUCUCAAGGGGGGAGGACCGGGUAGAAGCAGAUGCACCCACGAAAACCGAUGAAGAGGCUGAUAGAGGGCUGUGUUUGGAAGAUCCACUUGUGAUUAGAUUUGUCAAACUACUUGCUCCUCUAUCUGAUGAUCUGCAUUUCUGCACUUUGACAGGUUUCCAUUCUGAACAAAGUUCAUGUCUAUAAGAACAUCCAAGAGUCAACUCUGUAGAGCAAGCGCUAUCACUAAUCUCCAACCCUGUUCUCUGAUUGAGUGAGGCCAGUCUAUCAGAAAUCUGUCCGGCUGGGUUAAUCUCGACAAGGCCCGAUCUUAAUUCACCGUUCCAGACAUCAGGAUGCAUAUCCACAUCACAACCAUUAGGUGAGUAUGAAUCUAAUUUUCUCUUCAGUGUGCAGUUCCAGUGAUUUUUAAUUGCAUUGUCAGUCCUGCCAAUUUCAAUACAGAUGAGAUGAGUGAGUGCAUUCAACAGAAGGAGCCAAUCUCCCCAUUUGAAUUGUGUUAAUAAACAUAAAUUACACAAUCAUUAAUGAUAUAUCUAUGUUCAUAGUAAACUGUAUCUUCACCAGCAAAUAGUACACAAAUAGUGCAUGUCUAAAAUCCAAAAUUUGACCAAUUUAAUAAAUUAAUCCCUAUACAAGUGAUACAUAAUCCAGAUUUUUACCUCAUUUGCACCACAUACAAUCACAGGAAAAAAACCCAUGUACAUAUAUGUUCAAGUUCCCAAAACAUGUUGGUCAGUCUUCAAUUAAUGAAUUCAUCAUAUACAAAUAAACACAAAAUCAUACUUUCAUCCCAUCUGCUUUCAGUUAUUGUAUACCUUCCAGGUAGAAACCUGGCUAUUUCUGCCCACUUGUUACCAAAGAGUUGGUGGUAGUAAGUAAGAACCCACUCCUCUUCUUCUGUCCAUGCAUUUCUAUUUAUAGCCGGGCAUAAGUGAUUGUACCACCUGAAAGUAAUUAUUAACUUCAUUAUUGUCUAGUAUAUAACCUGCAUAGCUAACUAUUACAAAACACAAUGGAUGUGAACCAUAGAUUUGCAGAACAUAUGUUGAUUGAAUGGUACUUGAUGCCAAAAGUUUGAUGCACUGACUAGAAAUCGUUGCUGCCUACCUUUCUCGGCAUUGCUUGCCCAUUCGACCUGGUAAGAACUUUGCAAUAACAGACCAUCUUUUAGCACCAUGACUCUCAACUUGUUUGAUUAUGCAGUUGUCUUCCUGAAAUCCAGAUAAAGGAACAAAUAUCAGUUUUCCUUCAAUUAGUUUGUUCAGUCAACUUGUUUGUCCGUGCUUCUUAGUUUGUUUUCUCAUUGAUCACAUAUCAGUUUAGCAUAAAGUAAAAGCAUGAUUUCCCCAUUGUUAUAAAAGCAUGCAAGAGUGUUAUGUUUGCACCUCCUUUGUCCAGGGUCCCUUCACAAUUUCAGGAUUUAGAACCUUUUGCCAGCGCUGCAGGCACUGAACAUCUGUGCGCCCAGGGAGACACGCAGCUGCAGGACAUAAGGAAGCAAUCAAAUCACAAACUUUGCAUCAGGAAACUUUCAAAAAACUAGAAGCACACUUUUGAAAACCAACUGAAAGACAGUGGCAUGCCCACCUAUUUCCUUCCAAUUACUCCUGUUAAACUUUCUGACCAGCUCUCCUAGAAGAUUGUCCUGCCAUAACAAGAAGUCAAUUGAUUAAUAAAGUGAUUAAUUUCUGAGAAGCUAAGGAGACUAAAAUAAAGUCUCCACGUAGACUAAACCAACAUUAUAAAUAUAAGAACUUCUGUAUUUCCUUCUUCAUUAACAAUGUAUCUAAAACUUACAUGCUAAACUGGCAUUACAGAACUACCAAACUAAGGAAUUUUCACUACUGACCUCUUCCUCUGUCCAGCAUUUCGCUGACCGUCUCAUCGGACCAGUGGCUCUCCUAGAACAGCAAAGCAGACCAUUCAUCACAGUAAAGUAUCAAAUUAAGCAUUUACCCAAAACCAGAAAACUCAUGACCAAAGAAAAAAUUAACUCAAAUGGCAAUAAGGCAUAACCAAGUAAAUUGUAAUAUGAGGAAAAAGGCUAAUUGAAGAAUCAGAUGCCAUCAUAAAUAUGCCCCUUCCAUGUAAAAAGUUAAUUGAAGCAACAUACCGAGUAGCAGAGCUUGGCUUGGACGCAGGCGAGUUAAAACAGCCUUCAGUUUCAUAUAAUGCUUGCAAAAGGAAACCAAUUUUCUCGUAUGGAUCCACAACCACCUCCUGCAGCUGCUCCUUUUUCACUUUCGCCAUGAUCUCUUAGAAAAAUCAGUUUUCCUCAACCUUGAACAUAUUACAAGCAGAAAACAAGCCCUAAAUCAGUUAAAGUUAAAGUUUUGAUCGUACUAGAAAAUUCAACAUUCUGUUUGGUUCCUGAGAAAACAAACUAAUUGAAGGAAAACUAAAAGCGCCAAUUGAUCUCACAAUUGCAUCAAAGCCAGUAAUUUGAGUGAGUAUAAUGAAAAAGCGACAAAAUUUUGUCAUAUUUUCCCACAUUUUCUCACCAACCAAACAGAGCAGCAGAAAUUUCAACGAAUUGCAAAAUGAACCAUCACCAAUUGCACAAUGAAUCACAUAAUUGAACCAAAACAAACACAAAAAAUAAGGAAAUGCAAGAAACUUAAAACCACAAAAUUAAAAUCCGAACCUUGAAAAAGAAAGCUUCGAGGGUUUCUGAGUGUGUGAGAAUCUAACAGCCAAAACUACAGAAAGCAGAAAGAAUACCGAGCUGGUUUUAAGCAAAGGCAGUGUGAAAUGCGAAGGGCAGGACUUUUGGCGGGAAAGUUGGGAGCUUCUAAUUUUGAGCGAGUGGAAGCGAAAGCGGUUUUUGUUUGUUUUCUCAGUGGUGAGCUCUCUUUCUGAGAGAGAAAAGUCAGAAAUGACUGAGUGAAAGAGAGAGAGAGGAUUUGUGGUUGUAUUUAUUUAAGCGUUUUGGAGAAGUAGCUUACGCUGGAAGCUGAUGGCCAAGAAGGGAAGCUUUGGUGUUGUAUUUGAAGCGUUUUCAAGAAGUAGAUUGCGUUGGAAGUUUGAUCAACCGACGGCGGUUGUUUCAUCGCGUUUUGGAGGGUAGGAAACGUUUGAAUUCGUUAAUUGGAUAUGGGCUUUUAGGUGGACUCCAUUUCGGCCCAAUACAAUCUUGAUGUUCCUUCAUCGAUCUCGUCAAGCCAAAACUCAUCUUAUAAACGUGUAAAAAGCCACAUAUAUGAACAUCAUAUCUCUCUCAAAUUUUUCUACCAAAUGUCAAACACGUAAUUUAUCAUAUAUGUAAAAUUUCACAUUUUCUUUGUUUUAUUUUUUCUUUUCCAACCCAACCCCACGUCCAAAACCAAGCCCACCAUCACACAUUGAAAGUGGAACUCCAUCUAUUAGGAAGAAAAAACACACACACACACACACCUAGUAAAGUGUUUGUGUUGAGAACGUACGCACAAAAUAUGACUAGAUAUUUGUUGAAUUCAAUUUGUUGUUUGCAACCCAUCAAGCUUAUAAACUUGCUAGUAGGUUGAAUUCAGUUUGUGGUGCACUAUGAUUGAAUAUUGUGGAAUUCUCUAGACAAAGCCACAAACUUGUCGGUGGACUUGGUGAUGUCUCGGCAAACAUGCAUAUGUUACCAAUCUAAGAUGGAGCUAAGGCCAAUUAGUCUAUACAAAGCUAUGUAACCUCUUGCAGGGGAGGUGUCAUCAACUCAGAUACACGGGCUGCAUGAACCUCCCUUGGUUCUACGAUGCCCUGGUAGUGUCUUGAUCAUCAAAUAUAUAAGCGCAAAUGCGUAUGUCUUCUCAAGUCUCACCAAAAGUCAUAAAGAAAGAAUCAAUGGUCCUUCUUUCAAUAUGAUUUGUAGCUAGGAUCCUUCGUCGCAGAUAUGAUUCAAACUCAUGAAACUAUUGUCCUGUACUUCCUAAAUCCCUUCACUUACGAACCAACAAUGAUAUCAGAGCAACACGACUCAAAAACCAACACAUAUGCACUUCUCUAUUUAAAACACAAACCUACCUAUUGUAAUUCAUCUAUAUCACCCUCUCCAUUUAGAGGCUUAUAUUUGAAAGGGUGAAAAUUUACUAACUGAAUCUUACAUAAAAAGUAGUUAACAUGAGUAAAGGCUUCAUCGAUCAGAUCAAGCCAAACUGAUCUUAAAAACGUGUAAAGAUUUGUGCUUAUAUGAAAAUAUCACCUCUUUAUUAGUUUUGUGUACCGAAUGUCAACCACGUAAUCACACCUCCACAAGAAACGACCCCAACCCAAAACGGCAAACCCUACACAAGCUCAAACACUAUAAAUAAGCCAACCGCCAAAAUGAGUCUUUUCAUCUACGCUCCUCCUCCUCCCUCAUCCUCUCUACUACUCCACCGAAUUUGGAGUAAAGGUUUGAUGGACGCUAAACGUGAGUCCUGGAACCACCAAAUAAUUUGGCCCCAAACCUACUGUGCGUAUUCGACAACUCAUGUCACGACUGCACGGCUGGUGCCAAAUCGGUGAUUGCGGAGGACUCCUCCAGGGCAAAGCCUAUGGUUCAUCCCCAAACACCCUAGCCGAGUAUGCCCUAAACCAAUUUGGCAACAUGGACUUUCACUUGUAGAUAUGGAAUUUAGUUCCACGUCUAAUGGGUUCACUAGGGAACUGACUGUUGCACUUCUGGGAAAUGUGCGAAUACAAAUUGGUCUAAGUUUUUUAAGGAUCGGUGUAGGGAUGCUUACCCUAAAGAUGAUCCAACCAGCACUUUUACUUGUUCUGGUGGGACUAAUUACAAGGUUGGUUCCGAGUACACCACGUGGCUGGUGUACUAUCCAAUAGACAUAGGACAUAUGGAAUUAUUCUCCAACUUACCGCGUUGCUUUUUAUGACCUGUGACUGGCUGUAUUGGAAAUAUUCCACAUGUCCUAUAUCUAUUGGAUGGUACACUAGCCACGUGGUGUACCCGGAAUACCAAAAAAUUGUUCCUUAGGAACACACCAAAAAUCUGAGCCAAUCCAACUAACACCCCAUUAGUGUAUCAAAAGUAAUACAUUGAUUUUAGAUGAUUGACUGUGUCAAAUUCAAAAUAUUACAUUAAGUAUUUUAAAUACAUUACACCUAUGCAACUCACUAAAAUGUUAGCAAAGAAAUGUUAAUUAAUGUAUAUGUUGACUGAAAAUAAUUUCUUGAGGUACCUUUCCUUUCUUCUUUAUCUCUCCAUCUCAUCAAAACUCAUGUUCAAUUCAUCAUCUGCCUUCGCAUGGUCUUUGAGUUUGGUCCUUGAGAAUCUCACAUGAGAGAAAAGAGAGCAAACAUGAACCGAGGACAACCUCCCAUAAGAACAUACGCCUUGAAGAAAUUAUGGCAAGUCCUCCUCAGUUCAUAUCCACUCUCCAUCUCUUCAUGCAAGACUAUUAGACAAAUUAAUGGAAUUAUAAUGAUCUACCACUCCAUUUCAUUAAUUUUAUGCAGCCUUGCUAUCCAAUUUAUAUGCAAAUAUUGCAAACGACAUGUUUGCAGUUCUUUUAUUAUUAUUCCAUUAAACAUGUGCUGUAAUAAACCGAAAUAUGAGCUGAGGAUGACUUGCCAGGAUUUGUAGGCAAACAUUGCACACGCCGAUCGAGUUUGCAGUUAGGUUCUUUCACUAUUAUUCCAUUGAAACGUACUCACCACAUAGAAUGCUUUCUUAAGAAUCAAAGAAAUGGACGCAUGGAUAAAAUCAUAGCAACAUUUGUGGGCUUGGCCUUGGGCCCUCGGGUUCUCUUACGAAAUUUAGUAUUGCAAUAUUAUUGGUCCCUUUAAACAUGCAUUCUGUUCUGAAUCUUGUUUUUUAUUUCCUUUUUGGUAAAAGUUCAAGUUCUUUUAUUCCUCAUGUAUACAUAUGUAUUCCUUCAUUUCCUUUUAGAUCAAUCAUGGGUUUCAUUCGGUCUCAAUACCUAAAAAUAAAAACAAAUAAAAGACGAAGAAUAUCAAAUUCAACUAAAUAUUGAAAAUACACGAACUGUGAUUUGUACCACAUCAACUGACAACGUAUUGUAUUAUAUCUCUAAUAGAAAUAAGUAGAGAAAUAAUUAUUUAUUCCAUUAGAGGCAUAAAUCAUCUGUUGCACAGCUGUACCUAAAUCUCCACAACUCGCAUUGUGGAACGUACUUGAAAGAAUUCCUCUUUAUUAAUUCCAGUCAUCCAUCCAGUGGGAUCUGAAGUGGGACCAAAUAAGAUCUUGAGCUGGGCCUGAGUUUGUUCUUUUUCUUUUUUCUUUUCAUUUUAAAGUUUUCGUCAAAGUGAGAAUAAUUAAGCAUCGCCUACUAUCAUCAAUCACCAUCUCUGCCUAUAUACAUGGGCCAAACGCGUCAUAACAAUCCCAAGGCCACCAUACAUCAAACAAUGAAAAUGGAAAACUAUUUAUGAAAAAAUCACAGCAAAGUGUGUGUCGAGAACACAAAAAAUAUGAAAAGAUCAUACAAGUCAUGUUUUUAUACCUUAAAACAAUAACUGAUCAGUUUGCAUGAUAUGCUACAAUAAGAUAAGAUAUUUCAUACUUACUAAUAUGUUAGAGUGACAUAACUUUUAAUGCUUUAUCUUUCUCCGCACAAAUAUUUAAUGAUUUAUAUAAGAUAUUGGGGUGAAUUAAAUACGUUUGGCAAUUGAAACGUCGAAGAUGCCGUAUACAGAGGGAAGCAUCAAUUUGAGGUAUACUUGCCCUCCCCGCCAUAUACAGAGGGAAUACGGAAGAAAAAUGGAGACAGAGAAGGUAGGGUUUAAAACAGAUAUGAAUGAAUAAAGAGACAUAGUAGAGUGGGUGCUUUGCGAGAGAUAAUUGAGGAGGACAUACAAACAAAAUGUGUUUCUUUCAACCUAGUUGGUAGAAAUAAAAACGUGAUUGAGAUGACUCAGUUGCAAGUUGGCUUGAUAAACACGGAAAUAUCUAUUUAAUAACAUUUAAUAAUUUAAACAAACCAACACCAACCCUAAUUCACCCACCUCCACUCAAUUUGAAUUCUCCUAGUCAGAAUGUUUAGUUGGGUAUGUGUUAAAUCCAUUUAAAUGAUGAUUUUUAAUCUUGUUAUAUACAAUAUAAAGUUUCUUUUCUUUUUUUAAAAAAGUGAUUAAUUGUGAAUUAGUUACUCUUACAGUCUAAUCUAUUGAAAUUCAUGUCGUCUAAUGUGUAUCUGAACUGCCGUUAUUGAUAUAAGAUUUUCAUUUUUUAAAGACACCUUACUAAUUCAUAAUUCCUAUUGGCUUAUAUUUUUAUAGGGUUAUAUUUAUAUUUUUAAGAUUAAAUUUCUCGUUUUGUAGAGCAUUUUCAAUAUUCUAGCAAGUUUCCUAGUAUUCAUAGUAGAGAUAGUGAGACAAGAGAAGAGAAGAGAGUAGGAUAGAGGUUAUAUUAUAUAAAUGGUGGGUGAUUAAGUAUUUAAGUUGGAUAAAAAAGAAAAUUAAUUUGGUGAAAUUACCAUGAGGUCCUUAAUCUCAAAGUCCAUUCUUAAAGUUAUUUAAUCUAGAAAGGGUAAUUUUGACAUUAUCAAAAGACUUCCGAAUUUCAAAAAGUUUGAACGCCAACUUACUUUUGAUUGAAGAAUAUUUGUUGUGCAUUUCUAAUUUCUAUAUUGUUAAAUUUCAAAGAGACGGGCCAUUGGCCAACUACUAACAACACCGAUAUUGUCUCCAACUUAACCACCUAUAAAGCCUAAUAAGUGCGGGGUUUUAUCACAAAAGGCCUCAAUGAUAUUAGUAGUGGAACCAUUCAUUAUAUAUUGUAUUUUAUUUAAUCAAGUUUCCGAUGUGACACUUAUUCUUCAACACGCCCUCUCACUUGGGACCAUCACAUAGAAGGCCACACAUGGAACCAAGUCCACAUCGGAGUCAUACAUUCAAGCCCAACAAGUGAGCACCACGUAUUGGGUAAGGGUAAACAUUUAAGCCCAAGAUGUGAACACUACAUAUUGGGUAAGGGUAAAGGCCCAAUUUAGGCCCAGUCAAUCAACCCGCUCUGAUACCAUGUUAAAUUUCAGAGAGACGGGCCAGCGGCCCACUACUAACAACACCAAUAUUGUCCUUAAUUUAACCACCUACAAAGCCCAGUAUGUGUGAGGUUUUAUCACAAAAAGCCUCGGUGAUAUUAGUAGUGGAACCAUUCAUUAUAUAUUUUAUUUUAUUUAAUCACGUUUCCGACGUGGAACUCAUUAUUCAACAUAUAUAAUUGACAAUCUGGUAAAAGGGUCAUGAAUUGUAAACCAAUGGUCUAGCUUGGUGGAAAAAGGGUCUAACCAAAUGAAAAAGGAUCUUAACUUGUAGACCAGUGGUCUCAUGUUCGAAUCCUUAUGACACUUUGGUAUUGUAUGUGUGUACGUGAGAGAGAGACCCCUCCUCACGUAAUUUAGACUAUAUUACUUAUAUUUAAUCAUGUAAAAAUAAAUAAGAAUAAUUAAGCAAGUUAAUUUUCAUGAGGCCCAGAAUUAUAGACAAUUAUUGACAGGACCCGAUCCAAAUUUCGCUUUGGAAUCCGAACCAGACCCUGUGCGUGUCCGACACCUGGCGAAUGUCGGGCACAAAUGACCUAUUUGCCCUUCUAUACAAAACACGAUAAAAAUAACAAGGUUGACUUCUACCGAAAAACCGGCAGAGUUUCCCUUGUAACUGGCUCAAUACCAAAAUAUUUUUACCUGCCAAACAAGUAUAUAUAUAUAUACAACCAAUUGCCAGCAUACGUAUAUAUACAUUCCAACAGUUCAAGUGUCAAUCUAGGGCAAAACAUCAGAGCGACUACUAAGAAAUUACAAAGGAGUGAAUCUUUGUACAAAAUACAAAUCCUACAUCAGAAGAAAGGCGCGGAAGAUAGAAAGUGGUCCGGUGGUGGAUUCCUGUGCACGUCUAUUGCCCGGGGGCGCAAAACAACAAAAAUGGUGAGUGGACCCAAAAACAAAGUUUAGAAAAUACCAUAUGAACAUACUAACCCCACUGUAAAAACAGUUAUAGCUUAUUUUCUUUACUUAUGAAAUCAAUGCAUGUAUAUAACUAUACAUUUGAAAACAGUUGAAAACUAUCACUUAGGUGUACCCCUAUUUCCGUCAAAUCCUUAUAUCCGUCAAUUCCUUGCAUCACCAUGGGUGACACAUAAUCACAGGUCUCAGUGACACGAGGUCAGUUUGAGCUGCAACUCGCAGGAUUUAGGGAACCGUAGUCCACCUUUAUCCGCAUUACUCGCUCCACAUGAGUUUGAGUACCAAGGAACUCGUGGGGCAACUGCCAAGCAUGCUGACUAAACCGAAGGCAACAAAUAUAAUCCGAAGGCAACAUAUAUAAUCCGAAGGCAACAUUUAAUAUCUGGGUACAAGGUGAUUUAAGAAAAUAUAAAGUUUCUGAAGGAAAUAUGUUGAAUAUUUAACUUUCUGUAACCUUUAAAAUUCUGCUGCCAUUUAUCUAAUAAUUAACGAGAAUAUCUUUUCCUAUAUUCUUUAAAGGAAAUUUCACUCGGCAGCAUGCAACAUAAAAUAUUUAACAGAAUAAAACAGCUGAUACUGAAACUGAACUGCUUAAAUUCAUUUAUUAAAACAAAGAGUCCACUCACAGAUAGUCUGAGCUCGCUGGACCUCUUGAAGGUCCCUCCUGCGGUUCAACUGGUGCCCGGGUGCCUGAUUCAAUGACCAGAAUAUUCUAUUAAUACAAUAUAGUAUCAAAGUAAAAACCCUACCCCCGGCUCUUAAAAGUACGUGCAUCGAUUUAAAGUGAUCCCUAUGCCCAUAAAAGCUUUCCUUCCAUGUGGGGUUGUUUAGCGGUAUCUUGGGACUCAAAUAGCGCUAAAGUCCAAAAAGUCAAUCCGGAACCUAACGGGUCCAUGACCUCGCAAUAUGAUCCGGAUGUCGCUAGAAGGUCCAAUAUAUUUAGGACACCUGUCCCGAGGGUAUUGGUGUAAAUCGGACGGUCGGAUCGAUCACAAUCCUGUAAUCGCAUAAUUUCUAAACUCUAGCCCUAGGGUUCGCGUUUUCAGAGUAUUCGGGACUCCGAUUCACGAUCCGUCGAAUCCUACACGUGUCUGAAAUUAGCGAGAGUAACAUAUCUAAAAUUGAUUACGAUCCAACGGCUCAACAGUAUUGAACCCGAUAAUCGCACAAUAUGGAAAAUCCGUUCGAGGCUCAAACGAUAUCCAAAUUGAGAUAUGCGAAUUUCUAUGCGCUCGUGACGACCUAAGGAUCGCAUCAGAAUACAGUGUCACGGCACCACCCUCGCCCACGCGCCGCCGCACGCGCGGGCAGCGAUGGGUGUCCAAAGCGAUAACGCAUCGCCGAAAAAUCGCAAAACCAAGGCUCCAAACUCCUAUCCUAGGUAUAACACCAUAUUUGGAACCACUUUUGUUCUUGGGCCAACCCCAAAAACUGACCGGAAGUGGCCGAACACAGAGGCCGAAAGUCGGCCGAAUACCAAUUUGAAAACUGAGCUAGCUACGGUGAAAAUCAAUGCAAACCUACCCAACCAUCAGCUAGAGCAUGGAAAAUAGGUAGAAAUCCAUACCUUAAUCGACAAAUUUGGAGGAGAAUUGAAGGAGAACGAACUGGUUGAAGUUUUGACAAAACCGGCGGAAUUUCUGCCGUUUUUGGCGACUGGCGAGCGGCUUGCGGCGGGAGUGAGCUGCGACCUGACGGCAGGGUCUGGCCGGUCAGGUUGGUACCGGUGUUGGGGCUUGUGGUGGCCGGUAGUGGUGGUUCUGAAAUCUGGAGGGCGUCGGACGGAAGAAAAACCAGAGAAGGAGGAGGACUCGCGGGGAGAGAGAAAGAGAGAGAGAGAAAGCUGAGGUUUUUAUAAAAAAUCUGAUUUUCCUAAUUAGCAUUUUGCCCCUCGUGAUAUUUUACUCGUAUUUUCUUCGUUAAAGCUCCGAUUCGAGCUCACUUCGUGUCUAUGAACUCGUGUCGUCGUGCUCUACGCAACGGUGUAUGUGGAAUUAUCAAAUUCCUUUUCGGUCAAAAAGUCAACUUUUUGUUCAUAAUUUAUUCCAAGGGCAAAAUUGUCUUUCCGCAUAAUAAAUUACUAAUUAAAUAUGAAUUUUAGGUUUGGGUCAUUACAAUUAUUGUCUUUUUUAAUGGGGUAUUGAAUAGGCUGGUUGCAAUAGAAAUAGGCAUGCAUGCAUAAAGGGCUUGGGAGAGAAUUUUUAAUGUUUUUUAAAGUGCCAUUAAAACCUUCAUCAACAUAAAAGAUGCGCUUGAAACAGUCUUAUUAACCUAGAUUCGACUAAAUUCGAGGGAACUAGUCCCUGAAUCUAGUAGGCUAUUUUUUAUUGUGUUUUGGCUAACCAUAAAUGCGUGAGUAGUGUUGCGUGUAGUUUUGGCGUUUUGAUGUGUUUUAAAGUGGUUUCCUAUGAUAGGAUCCGCCCUGAAUUCUUCGGAACUCAAGACGAAAUUCUGUGAAAAAAUUCCGACAUCACCCCGGUGCCGAGCCCACUUACUAAUACUAGAGCCCCUUUCUUAUUUAUUUUAUUUUAUUUUAUUUUAUUUAUUUAUUUAUUAAGGAAAGGGGCACGAGACUUUCUGCCGAAAUUUCGUCAGAGUCUCCCCUGUAAAUUAGACUUUACCAAAUUUUCCAACAUUUUAAACAGACACAGUUUAUUCACAACUGGCAGCAUGCAUCAGAUAAAUCAUACAAUUUACAUAUAGGGCUCCGGCCUUCAAAUUAUUCGAAGCCGAACCACCAUCAAUGCUCUUAAAUCAAAUAAUGAAAUUAAACAAUGCAAUUAGUGAAUUCAAACUAAUUAUGCAUGCUAACUGUAAUCCACUUAAUAUAACUUCUCGAUUUCCAUCAUGUGAUAUUUGACAACCAACCACAAUCGCAAGUAGAUUAAGGACUCGGUCUAAAUCGUACAACGAUCCAAAAUAGGUUCCAAAACUAUCUUGACCACAACCACAUUUCAACAACACUCACUUAGCCAAAUGGGAAAACGAAAAAUCAAUCAAUCAAGCCUCGUUUUCAAACGAGUUUAAUGACCAUCGACAAAGUCGAAACCAAAUUCAUCCAAAGACCAAAAUAACUUUAGUUCGCGGCUGCACCCGGGUGGGACCCCAGGCUACUUACGUACCCUUACUGAGGGAUCAAGCCACACAUAGUUCUUACAUCCAUAAUCACGAACCAGAUGAUAUACAACCAUUUUCAAUAGUACAAAUAAGUUAUUUCUUGAAUUAUCUUUCCCUUUUACUUUAAAUCACAACACACCAAACAUAAUUCUUUUUAAACAUUAAUCUAUCCUCGACAUAGUAAAAUAAUCCAUUUUUCCUCUCUUUGUUACUUUACUAUACACCGGAGAGUCCAACGCCACACGUAGUAAAGUACGAUAAUCCAAGUGUACGGAUCUUUUACCAAACACCAGAUAAUCCAACGCCAUGUGUGGUAAGGUAACCAUCAUCCCAAUGAGCACAUACGCCGGAAUAUCCAACGUCACGUGUGGCCCAACUAAACCAUAUAUGCCCACACGCCGGAAUCAUCCAACGCCACGUGUGGGUACAACCCAAACCAUGUUCUAUGCGCGCAGACAACUUCAUCACACCUCGGAUCAUUCCAACGCCACGUGUGAUAAUCCAUAACAAAUCAUAAUGUCUCACAUGCCGGAAUAUACCAAUGCCACAUGUGAGAUCCAAUAAUCAUAUAUUUUCCCACAUGCCGAAAUUUCUAACGCCACGUAUGGGAAAUCCAGUAUCUGAGGGAUGGUACUUAACAUAGUGUAACUAUAUAAUUUCCAAAAUAAUCAACAUUAUUUAUUAACUUAAUUCACCAUAAUUCAUCCAAACCUCAUCACAAAUAAUUUGAAUAACUCAACAUAAACUCAUCACCAAAGCAAAUCAAGCUCUCAAAUCUCGAGAUAAACCAAUUCACAAUUAAAUAAUACUAAUACAAAUAUAUUUCAAUUUCUCAAAUUUUCAUUCAAACUAUAUUUCAUGCAUAUUCAUUUAAUUAUUGAAAAUAAUGCACGUUUUAAAACAAAAUCCACUUAAUUACGAAUAAUCAUAGCCGAGCCCAAGACUCACUUUCACAACCCACCAAUCCGAUAUUCCAAACUCACCCAUUCCAUAACUUCAGUUGUCAAUAACAAAAUCCAAGAAUUUCUAUAAGAUACUAUAAAACAAACUCCUAAUCCCAACAUAAUUAGGACAACUCCAAUAACGGUCAAGACUCGCUUGCAUGGUCGUUCUAGUACUUCUCAAAGGAUAAAACUACCUCGGAAGACUCACGGUCAACCGAGUGGUCUAACUACCCAAACUUGGUCAAUCGGGCCCACGGGGUCCACGAUCUCCGAUUUCUGAUCUGAAAGUUCCUACGGAUUCCACAAGGUUCAGGAUACACGUUCUGUAAGUUUGGUCCGGAUCGGACGGUUGGAUCGCUCAUGAUCGCACAAUCGGAUGGUUAUCGUAAGACGCAAAUUUUAAGUUAUUGAAUUGGAACAUUCGGGGCUUUGAUUCACAAUCUGCGAAUUCCUACACGAUCCUAGAGAUGCCUAGAUCAACAUAUAUUGAAAUGGAGUCGAUCCAACGGUUUGAGCAUAUCAAAUCUAGAUAAUGCCUAAUAUGUGAUAUCCGAUCGAUGAUUAAAUGAUAACUAGAUUUAUAUCCGAGCAUACCGACGUGGUCGGGAUGAUAUGAGAAUUAUUUUAGGACUCAAGGACUGGUCAAAAAGUGGCCCACACGCCGCUACACAAGCCGGCAGCGUGUGGCUGUCCAAAGCGAUUCUUGAGAUUGGAAAAUCUCUAAACCGCCGGUCAAGACUUAUACCUACACGAUCAGCACAUAGAGUGGAGCAAUUUUUGUUUGGACCUACCCUAAAAAGUCAACAGAAGUGGCCGAAAUCGGCCAAACUUCCAUAGCUUAUUUAACCACCAAAAUGCAGAAAUUGAUCCUAAACAACACAACUAACAGCUAGAACACAUUAAAAGGGUGAGAAAACAUACCUAGAUCGCAAGAUUUGGUAGCCGGAAUCGCCAGAACGAGCUCCGAAAAAUUUGGGUAAAAAUCGGCUUUGUUUAUGCAAUUUCCAGCGAUCGUGGUGGCUGUCGGCUUCGGGAAUGGAAGGAGGAGGAGCUGGCGGUGCUUUUGGGGUUGGUGCCACCCCAAGCGAUGGCUGGAGGAAGCGGUGGCGACAGUAAAACCGUUGCCGUUGUGUGUACGCAGGGGAGGGUAUCACACGGGAGAGAAAAGAGAGAGAGAGAGAGAGAAAUGAGGGUUUUUUCUGAAUUUAAUUAAACCCUUUUUGAAAUAAUUACGAUUAUGCCACUAAAGGUAUUUUGAUCGUAACUUUUUCGUUACAAAUCUGAUUCGAGCCUACUACGCAUCUACAAACUCAUCUCGGUACGAUCUACAUAAUAAUACCACUAGCUACCCCAAAAUUCUUCUAGAUUAAAAAGUGACCAAAAUACCCCUACUUUGAAAGCAAAAUUGUAAAUUCAUAUUAAAUUAAAUUAAAUUAAUUAAUGAAUAGUCUUAUUUUGGGUCAGGAUGUUACAUCCUAUUAUUUUGGAAUUUUAUAGCCUAAUUUAAUAGGGUUUUAGUUUUCUAUUCCUAGUAAACUUGUAACCCAAGUCUUAUGAGAUAUAAAUAGGACUUUUAGGGUUGAUUUAAAUUAGCUGACCAAAAGAGUGGUAGGGGAAUUUAGAAGAGAGAGAGACACAAGAAAAUUGAAGAGGGAAUUGUAGGGUGUUUACAAGGGCAUUAAAUGGUUUGAGCAAGGGUGAGAGAAAAGAUAGUUAGGGUUCUUGUGAGAGCUAAGAGGGUUCAAGAUUGUAACCAAAGUUGUUCUUACAUACUAGUGAAUUUCUAAGGCAGAUCACCAAGAUGAUGUAGGCACGAGGCCUAACCUCUAUAAAUCUUUUUGUUCUUGUGCGUUUUCUUACUCACUUCGUGGUGUGUGUGUUUUAUUCUCAAAGGGGUUUGUGAGUGUGACGUCGCAUAAUUCAUCAACGAUAAGGUCUUGGAAUGUUUUCACACAACAAGUGGUAUGAGAGUCGCAGUUGCGGUGAGUAUUGAUUUAUGCCCAAGAGCUCUUACAGUUUUAAGGGUGACGGUAUGUUGACGAUGGCAUACGACAAUAAGACACCACAACCGGUGGCCAGUGUAAAGGUCGAGUUGAAACACUUCACCGGCAAGGAGAACUUUACACUUUGGCAAAUGAGAAUGAAGUACAUCCUUAAUGAGCAUGUUCUCAGUGUUGUCUUAGCAGGCAAGGAAAAGAGCCGAAAACCUUGACUGAUGCGUAGUGGGAAGACCUAGUUUAGCUUGCUAAGAGGUUCAUCAAAUAACAUCUCAUGGAUGACGUGUUGUGUAAUGUGAUAGAGGAAAUCACGAAGCAAACAUGGGAAAAGUUAAGAGAGAUGUUUACGUCGAAAUCAUUGUCUAACAAGCAUUUCUUGAAGGAUGAGGUUCUUACUCUUCGUGUGAAGGAUGACAGAAACAUGAUGAAGCAUCUGAGUACCUUUAACAUGUGUAUUGCAAACUUUCAAUGGAUUUAUGAGGUUUAUAAGUUAGAAGAUAAGGUCGUGUUGUUAUUGACAUCCUUGCCUUCGUCUUAUAAGCACUUUCGAAUGACGCUUAUAUUCGGCCAGGGAACUUUGAAGUUUGAAGAGGUGGUGCAAGACUUGAAGUACCACCGGAUGGUUCAAUGUUCCAAAGGAGGCUCUCAAAGUGAAGGUCUUGGGGUGAGGAUUGGAGGGUGGGACCAUUCAAGCAAGCACGAGGGCAAGACAAGCAAUGGUAGGAAUUCUAGAUUUGAGUAUAAUGAAGAUUGCUUCAAGUGUAGGUCUAAGGAGCAUUGGAAGUGGAAUUGUCUGAUAUGGAAGGAAAAGCGGAAUAAGAUGAAGGAUACCGAAGGUUGAGGUGCAGCAAACUUGUCAACUGGUGACAGCGAUGACGAACUUUUGAUGGUUACGGAUGAGGAGCAUAAUGUGGACGUCGUCACAAACUCUUCGAGGAAAAGGUCUACUUCAGUUUGAAUUUUAGAUUUCGAAAGCUCAUUUUCAUGUGUGUUCAAAUAAGAUGAAGUUUGACACAUAUGAGGAAAUGAAGGGUAGCAAGAUUUUGUUAGGAGGAAAAAUAAGUUGUGAUGUUUUGGGCAUGAGAACAAUGAAGAUCAAAAUGCACGAUAGUAUUGUUAGGAGCAUUAGUAAGGUAAGGCAUGUAUCAGCACUAAGAAAGAAUCUUAUUUCUCUUGGCGCUCUAGAUAGAGGAAGGUAUUCGUACAAGCCCAAAGAAGAGAAACUUUUAGUCACAUAAAGUUUGGUGAUGAUUAUAAGGGGGAAGAUUCAGCCUAAUAAUGUUUAUCAGCUUUUGGGGGUACAAUUAUAGGUGGAGGAGAGAAUUCUACCAAGGAAGACUACAAGAUGGAGUCGGGUGUGGUUUGUACCAAGGAAAAGCGGGCAAAGGAUCUCAUUAUCAAUAAGCCGGUGCAACGAAAUGAGGCUACAAGUUCGCUCAAGACAAGGGAUGUUAGUCAAGGUUGAUUUAUAAAUAAUUUAUCAUCAAGGGUGCUUGAUUUCAAAGAUGUUGAAAUGACGGAGUCGGAGGACAAGGUCCAUAAGAGGGAAGUCAAGACAAGUGAUGAUGGGAAAACAUUGUUGGGUUGAUGGCAAUAAAAAAGGCACUUCUUACCAAGGUGGUCAUGGAAGGAACUCCAAGAUGGGUGGAGCUUGACAUAAGGGUUGUAAAAGAUGGGCAUCAAUAACAAACUCACAAAGGGGUUCUACUUGAGGUAGAGCCUUCAUCACAAGCAAGGUCCGAGCUAAAAGAAUCCAUCAAACUGUCCCAAAGGUUUGGAUGGAAGGACAAUAUAGAUUCAACUACGUUUCAGAGUGCAUUUGGGAGCAUGAAGCGGAAGGUUGGAUGGGUGCUUUGAUGAAAAUGAAGGAAUUAGUUCAUAAGUCCAAGAGCAAAGUUAGUGAUUGUGUGGGGGUUGGCAUGCAGUUUGCGUAUCAAGGCAUGUCAAGAAUUCAAGAUUCUAAGAAGGCGAUGAGUAAGGAGUUCAGCAUGGGGGAUCUUUCUUCUACACAAGAGGUCCGGGUUGCCCAAGUUUAGCUUGGGUGGAGCACCUCCUCACCCAUCUAAGGUGCAUUGAGGUUUCUUGCCAUGGUAGAGCUCUUGGGAAUUACUAGAAUGAUUUCCAAGAGGUUCAAGAUGUUCUAGGGGUCAACAAUAGGACUUUUGGGGCUAGGUUAAACUAGCCGAGCUAAAGAGAGGUUGGGGAAUUUAGAAGAGAGAGAAACAAGGGAAUUGAAGAGGGAAUUCUAAGGUGUUUACAAGGGCAUUUGAAGGUUUGAGUGAGGGUGAGAGAAAAGAGAGCUAGAGUUCUUGUGAAAGCUAAGGGGGUUCAAGAUUGUAACCAAAGUUAUUCUUACACACUAGUGAAUUUCUCAGGUGGAUCACCAAGAUGACGUAGGCACGAGGCUGAACCUCUAUAAAUCUUUGUGUUCUUGUGUGUUUGCUUACUAUGUUCGUAGUGUGUAUGCUUUAUUCUUGAAGGGGUUAUGCGUGUGUCAUCGCAUAGUCCAUUAACGACAAGGUCUUGGAGUGCUUUCGUACAACAGUUUUGUCUUUUAUGUCAUUGGACUAGAUUCAGGGAAAUUAUGACUGUAGAAAGAGAUUAUAUAAAAUUAUUUUCGAGAGUGAUUCUCUCCAUAUCGUUUUAGCUUUUUGGCUGGCUCAAGUCAGUGGGUAAAUUUUUACACAUGUAUGUCAUAUUGCUAUUGGGAUGACUCCCUUUACUGUGUCCUUUAUACCUAGUUUAAAUAAAGGGGUGCCUAUGCACCUAGGUUCAAUUUACAUAGGAAACAAUCUUGAGACAAACCCAAUAUAAUACCCCCCUUAGCGAAUGACAAGAAUAAAAAUAAAGAGGCACCCAUGCUCUCUCUACACAGAGAUAGGGGAUGACUAAGGGGAGAGACGAUUGGUGGGUUUGGGGAGAUUUUAUUAUUAUUUUUGUUUUAAAAUUAUAAUUUUUAUCUUGCUAAAUGAAUUACAUGUUAUAAACAGGUCUUUAGUAUUACUAAAUGAAGUACAUGUUAUAACACAAGAUACUAAAAUAAUACAUGUUAUAGUAUAGAUGGAAUGAUAAAUCUGCCACACCGAAAAAUUCUAAUUUUCUUCUAAGAGAAUUUAUAAAGAGAAAAGUGUUUGAUGAAAUACAACAGACCUAAAAGAAAAGGCUAGGCAACAAUAGUGAAGAGGAUUUCAUUUGUAAGGGGGUCUCUCACAAUAUAUAUAUAUAUAUGUAUAAAUUUGAACUCACAACAUGACUAAGUGGACAAAAACAUCAUGCGUAAGUCAAAAUAUUUACAACUUUUUUCCUUUGCUAAUUUACACAUAAAUUUUUUUGAAGACCCAUUAAACUCAAUAGAAGAAACCAAAAUCUCACAAACCCAAACUAACCAUAUGUUGAGAAACACAAUACAAAGUUUCACAAACCCAAAAAACAAUAUAAAAAAGUAGAGAAAGUUUAACGAACCUUAAUUAAGUGAGUUAAUUAUAUUGAAAAAACUUGAUAACAUAUAAUAUGAAGAAUAAGAAAAUAAACAAAAGUCACGAACAUAGUUGUAAGAGAAAGGAGGAGGAAAGAGUUUUAGAUUUUAAGGAUUUGUGUUACAAAAAUUAUUAUAAUAUAAUAAUUAUAGAUUAAAAAAGAGGUAAACAUGAAAAUGAAAUUGUUAAAGGUGUUGUAAAAUAUAUUAAUAUAUUAAUAUAUAUAUAUGUAUUAUCUAUCUAUAUAUAUAAAGCAAAAGGCAGAGAAUGGUGAAACAUUCAAAAUACCAGAAAAUGCCCUUUGUUAAUUCAAACAUUAAGAAUUGAAAUUAUUAAUUAAAUGAGGAUAAUAUAGUAAAUUUAUAUUUUUUAAUAUUAAAAAAAUUAAAAUUAAAAACAAAAUAAGAUAAUAGGUCCUACUUUGAUGGAACAUAACUACCAUGUUAUCUUUUAUUAAUUCUAAAAAUAAAAUAAAAAAGAAAAAGAAAACCAAUUGGCACAUGCGUGAGCAUGUGUCAAGAGGCUAGUAUAUUAUUAUUAAAAAAAAAGUGUUGGGGGGUCUGGGACCUUACUGGUCCCUUAGUGGCCAUUUGAUUAAAUUUGCGCAAGUACAAUAAGAGCUAGAAUUUCUCUUAUCUUUAUUGAGACUUUUGUUGAUGUUGAUCAGUGGUUAUCUACAAUAACUAAUAAUUAUAGUGGAGAGGACAUUGUGGUUGUGGGCAAUGGAUGGGGUCCGAAAUUAUAAAUGCACUAUAAAGUUUCCAACACAAAAAACCAACACCAUUGGCCUUUUCCCUUUCUCCAACGGCAUUACUAAACUUGGUUAUAGACCUAUAGCAAACUAAUGAUGAUGGAGUAGAAUUGUAUGGAAUAUCCUCCUUCAAAAAUAUAGAAAAGUUUUAUCUCUUUGAGAUGCCGUAUAUGGACUGGUGCAAGGCUAAUGGUGAGAAGUUUCUUGGCUCUUUAUUGAGACUUGCUAUUGCUAGUUGGAUAAUUCCCAUCGAUACUGCCUGCUUAGUGCUCCUUAAUUUAGUCAGGUCAAUUAAUUAACAACUGGCCUAACCCUUAAUUAUGUGGUGGAAAGAGUAGGUAGAUAGAGCUGUACGUUCAUAGCCAGCCCAACCCAAGUAUACUCCAACUCUAAAACUAAGCUCACCAAACUAAUUAAGGGAGCGAGUGGAUCCUAAAGCUGGCUGACUAACUUCAUCAACUUGUACAAGUCGAAGUAAACCACACCAUGUCGAAACUUGGUCAAUUUUCACCUUUUUUCUUUUUCUAAAUCAAUUGUGACAUUUAAAGAAGAUUUAAACUCAGAAAAUCUAACUUGUCUUUGGUUGGGGUUUUUUUUUUUUUUUUUUGAGACAUGCGAUAUUCAAGGAGAUGAAAUCAAACCUAAGAUCUCGAUGCAAGGGUAAUACAUUUAACUACUUAAGCUACAAACCCUUUGCACCUCUUCUUUGGUAGUUGAUGAAUAGCUAUGUAUAUUUUCCGUUUAUUAAUAAAGAGAAAUUCAAAUUAAGAAUAUGUUAUAAUAUUGUAUUUAAUGGUGUUUUUCGUUACACAAUUUUUGCUUAAUCACAUUUUGUCUCAUAACUGACUUAAUUUGUAAAAUAAAAUUACAUGUGAGACAUUACCUACUCCCCGUGGACAAAGUCUCUCAUCACUUUUUCUGAUCUCGUGAUAAAACGAAGAAGAAGAAAUAUUGGUCCUAUUUCCAUGCGUGGAACAAUGAGCUAAGAAAGUGACGUCCUUUUCAUAUUUAUAAUAUGUCAUAUAUGUCGCCAUGCCCUGCUCUAUAUAAGCUUAAGAGACCUUAACAACAAAUGCAUAAAAAAAACAAAUUGCAUUAUGAGAAUCCUCAAGAACCUCCCAGCCUUCUGCAUCCUAUGUGCCACUCUCUUCUUUGCAUCAACCAAUGCAGCUAGAUUCGAUAUCCGAAACAACUGCCCCUUCACAGUCUGGGCAGCAGCCGUGCCAGGCGGUGGACGCCAACUUAAUAGAGGCCAAAGUUGGGCCCUAGAUGUGCGUGCCGGAACCCAAGGGGCUCGCAUUUGGGCCCGAACUGGAUGCAGCUUUGAUGGAGCCGGACGUGGGAGAUGUCAAACAGGUGAUUGUGGGGGUGUCCUCCAAUGCCAAGCCUAUGGCCAACCCCCAAACACCCUAGCUGAGUAUGCCCUUAACCAGUACAACAACUUGGAUUUCUUUGACAUUUCCCUUGUUGAUGGCUUCAACGUCCCUAUGGACUUUAGCCCCACGUCUAAUGGGUGCACCAAGGGCAUCAGAUGUACCGCUGAUAUUAAUGGGCAGUGUCCUAACCAACUGAGGGCUCAAGGAGGCUGCAACAACCCUUGCACUGUGUUCAGGACUGAUAAAUAUUGCUGCAAUUCUGGGAGCUGUGGCCCAACAGACUUGUCUAGGUUUUUUAAGGAUCGGUGCCCGAGUGCUUAUAGCUACCCGAAGGAUGAUCCAACGAGCACAUUUACAUGCCCUGGCGGGACCAACUAUAGGGUUGUGUUCUGCCCAUGAAGCAGAUACAUCUUCUAGGUUUAUAAUAUCUAUGAAUAAGUCUGUGAUCAAAUAAAAUUAUGGUCUGAGCUGAGGGCUUGUACUCUCACACUUGAGUACAGUCAUAUCAUAAUUAACAUCAAAGAUGAAUGUAUCCUGCUUUGGAUUCAGAAUAUUUUUCUUAAUACUUGUCGAUUUUGCUUCAUUGGUUAUUGCUUUUUCUAUCACCGAAAGGUAUAUCUUCAGUGGCCAUUCCUGGAAAAUGGAUUCAUGGUCUCUCUAGGGAAGCUUCUCUUAUUUUCUUUAGUUUAUUUUUCAGAUUGUUUUUAGAGUGUCUGGUUCUAUCUAUUUUGGAACCCAAAUUGUCCCUUUAACUGUUUGGGCAGCAAAGUUUUGCAAACCUUCGAGUAUAAUAUUCCACUAAUUGUAGUAUUUAUUUUUACUUUGAUUGAAGGCGAAUGCCUGAUUUUGAGAAUUUCUUUUAUGCUCUUUGAGACUUGUAUAGCUAACCUCGUCACUGCUGGCUCCGCUCGGUGCUCUCUUAGUCAAGUCAAUACGUUACAAAGUUGUAUUUUUUACUUUGGCGCAUUAACCCAAAAGGAAAUCUAAACACAAACAUGUAUACGACUCUUAGGAAUAUUAGGAAAGGGGUAAUCAAGCACUUGACUUAGGAUAUAUGCAUAACUGCGCUUAACCAUUUGAGCUACAAACUCUUAUUAACGAUUAUCUAAGACUACUAAUAACAAUAUUCUCUUUCAUAUUAGGAAAAUGAUGAUUUUGGUCUCUCUACUUUGAAUGUGAUUUUCUACUGAGUCUCAUAAUUAAUUAUAAAAAAAAUUCAACAAUGGAACUCUAUUGAAUAAUGUUUCCUCGUUUAUAUCAUUUAUUUUAUUGUGUAUUUUUUAUGCAUCACGUGACAUAAUAUCGUGUAGCAAAUACAUCAAAAUUAUACAGCAUGUGCUAUUAUCAACAUCUAAACCCUAAACAUUUUGAGUAGUACAUGUAUUAGAUACACCAUAUAAGCAUGUCCCAUGUAUAAAGAAUACACUAUAUUUCCUUUUUCAUUUUUGUCAUUCCAAUUAAAAUCUAUAUAGAUUAAAUUUAUGGGACACCAUCAACAGGUUUGCCUACAGAGGGUUCUUCCGGCUACAUGUAUAUGGCCUUGCUCUUAAUCCUGCCACGAUUGAACUCCUUUUUAUGUAACUUGAUUGCAUGCCAUUUGUCAGAUUCGAAAGCACAUUUUAGAAAAUUUGUAUACUGAAUUCUGCAACAAAGUAUUGUUUCUUAGUGUCAUCACAUGUUUUCCGUGAGAAACCUAAUAAUGAUAACAUAUAAGGCCUGAAACAUAACGUGAAGGAUGAUUUUGUUGCCAAAUUCAGGUGGCUUUGUUUGCUGUGAUCAUCGAGGACGUGGCUUCAUCGAUCAUGUCAAGCCAAACUAAUCUUAUAAACGUGUAAAUGUUUGUGCUCAUAUGAACAUCAUCUCUGUAAUAUUUUGUACCAAUGUCAACCACGUCAUCACACCUCCCCGAGAAACCACCCCAACCCAAAACGGCAAACCUCUUUAUAUAAAACCCUACACAAGCUCAAACACUACAUAACCCAAUCACCAAAAUGAGUCUUUUCAUCAAACACUACUUACCCAUCACUUUCUUCCUCGCCAUCCCUCUCUACUCCAUCUUGUCCCAUGCAGCCAGUUUCAACAUCCGAAACAACUGCCCCUACACUGUCUGGGCAGCAGCUGUGCCAGGCGGUGGCAGACAGCUCAACCGAGGCCAAACAUGGACGCUAAAUGUGAAGCCUGGAACUAAAAUGGCUCGAAUUUGGGCCCGAACCAAUUGUGCCUUCGACAACUCAGGUCGUGGCCGGUGCCAAACCGGCGACUGCGGAGGAUUCCUCCAAUGCCAAGCCUAUGGUUCACCCCCAAACACCCUAGCCGAGUAUGCCCUAAACCAAUUUGGAAACAAGGACUUUUUCGACAUUUCACUUGUAGACGGGUUCAAUGUUCCAAUGGAAUUUAGUCCCACGUCUAAUGGGUGCACCAGGGGGAUCAAAUGUGCUCAAGAUAUCAAAACGCAGUGCCCUAAUGAGUUGAAGGCCCCAGGUGGCUGCCACAACCCUUGCACUGUGUACAAAACUGACAAGUAUUGUUGCAAUUCGGGGAGAUGUGGGUCUACAAAUUUAUCCAAGUUUUUUAAGGAUCGGUGUAGGGAUGCUUAUAGUUACCCUAAAGAUGAUCUAACUAGCACUUUUACUUGUCCUGGUGGGACUAAUUACAAGGUUGUGUUCUGUCCUUGAAUCACGUUGUUUCUCCAAGUUAUGUUGUGUGGCGUUUGUAAGAUGUGUACUAAUAUGAAUCCUUAAUAAAUUGUGGCCACGACAAGAGUUUGAUUUUCAUAUCUCCUGUCUUCAAAUUUACAGAUUUAAUUGCGUGGUUGGAACAUUAAUUUUUUUUUUUUUUUGAAUUAUACAUAUGCAACACACUAAAAUGAGUAUAAAAAACUGUUAAUCAAUAUAUGCUGUCAGAAAAUAAUUCAGUUCUGGUGGUACCUUUUUAUUUUAUCUCUUUCAAUCUCAUCAAAGCUUAUGUUGAAUUCAUCAUCAGCCGUUGCAUGAUCCUUCAAAAUUUCACAUUAGAGAAAAGAGAGCAAACGAGAAUCGAGGACAACCUCCCAGAAAAAGGACAUACACCUUGAAAUUCUGGCAAGUCAUCGUCGGCUCAUUUCUACUCUCCACCUCUUCAUGCAAGACUCUUAGACAAAUGGAAUUAUUAAUGAUCUACCACUCCAUUUUAGGUUCUUUCACUAUUAUUCCAUUCAAACGUGUGACAUAAUUAGUAUAUUAUGGACCCAAGAAGAAUUAAGCAAAUGGGAUGCAUGGAUAAAAUCUUCACGACAUUUUGGGGUUGGUCUGGGGUUCAAAUCGAUCUCUAUCUUUUCUAGUUUAAUUCCGUCUUGUAGCUUUUUCGAGAAGCAAUCAUUUCGACCAUAUCCUUUUGGUCCAUCAACCAUAUAUAUAUGUUCAUUGGAUCCAACUUUGACAUUCAAUUUGCGCUUUAUUCUGUGCAAUCUUAUCAUUUUAUAUGCUCAAAACAUGCGUCGCAACAAUUUCUAUUUUUUAUAUUUUAUAAAAGCAACUUUUUUCCCGGUCUAGUUAAUAAUGCAAUAUUCUUGGUCCCUCUCCACAUGCAUUCGUUUGUGAAUCUAGUUUUUAUUUCCUUUAUAGUAAAAGUUCAUCUUCGUUUUUUACCCCUCAUUUUUCCUUUUAGAGAAUCAUAUAGGUUUCAUUUUCAGUCUCGACCAAAUGGGUAGACGUAGACUGCUACACUAAAAAAAGGAGAAAAUACAAAAACAUAAAAGAAAAUUGAAUCCAACUGAUUACUGAAAAGUUAAUACUUUUAAAGUUCUUUUUUUAAAAGUUACGGUCAAUGAUCGCUGUUUUUUCAAAGCAAGGAUAACCCAGCUUUUAAAAGCUGUUUUAAAAAAAUUGGUUUUAUUUAUUUAUUUAUAAUCACAAAUGAUAUACCUAUAUUUUAUUUAAAUAAAUAUUUAAAUUUAUAUUUUUCAUAAGUACAUUAUUGGAUAUGUAAUUUACACACACACAUAUAUAUAUAUAUAUUUUUCUGGUUUCCAAUUUGAGGGGCGAUAUGUUAGAGGGAAUGGCAACCUAAAGAAAUAGGGUGAUUGAUAUGCUACUAAUAGGGAGUAUUAAUUACAAUUAUGACAGUUAAUGAAAUGUUUGAAAUAAAUUAUAAAUAAAAUAUGAAGUCUUGUGGCAACGAUGUAAAAACACAGGAAUACUAUGACCUCUUAUAUCCUACUGGUCAUUUAAAUUUAAAAUUGAGUUUUACACAUAAAUUUAUAGAGUAAUGGAUAUAUGUUUAGAAAAUAAAAAAUGUAAGGACUUAUAUUGGACAAGCCCUGAAAUAUAUUAAUACUUACUAAUAUGUUAGUUUAAAAUAACUUUUAAUGGUUGUUGUCUUUCGUACAAAUAAUGCUCAGCAUCAACACAAAUAUUUCUCGAUUUAUAUAAGAUAUUGGAGUGAACUAAAUAUGGUUGGCAACUGAGAGAAUGCCAACCUAUCAAGCUUUUUGAUAAUCCACAGUUGAUAAUUGUUGGUAUCUCUCAAAUAGGGAAGACAAACGAUAAUUUACUAGAGCUUGCCAUGGCACUUUUCCUGUGAAGGUAAUUCAAAAGUUUUUGCUUCAUAGAAUAUUGAUUCAAUCUAUUUUCCACUGUUUGUGAUAAGGAACACAAGUCUCCUCGACAAAAUAUAGCCCACAAAAAUGAAGUUUGCUUUUUCUGAGAAAAUCCAAUUAGAGAUUGUGGUAUGCCAAGCAUCUUGCGCAUUUCAACAUUAUCAUACACUCGUUGACUGAUUCAACUAGUUAUCUGGAAAUUUAUUUGUAGUUAGAAUUCGAUCCAUGAGGAGCCUAUGAAAUUUUAACAUCUGUUUGGAAAUUUGUCUUUCUAAAGUCAUGAUGAGCAUAUUAUAUUUUAAGAUCUGGAAUAUGCCAACAUUGACUGGCACAUAGUGAGGAUCUAGAAAGGUCUAAAAUAUUGAUGAUAUCGGAAAUAUCGGUAGUUCAAAAAUAUGGAAAUUUCGAUGGAAAUAUCGGGAUAUUAUCGAUAUUGAUAAAAAUUGAAUAAAAACCAUGGAAAUUGUAAGAAAAACUUGGAAAUUUUUAUUAAAACUUUGGAGAAUGUCUAUUUAGUCAAUUAUCUAUGAGUUUAUCACAAAAAAUUAGAAGGAAAUGCAUUGCAUGAUGGAUUGAACUAAUAUAAGUUGAUUAUACAGCAAGCGGGCAAACACUAUGAGUGUAAAAAAUAUGUAAUAAUUAAUAAAAAAAGAUUCAAUACACCGUAAUCAUUCAUAUAUAAUGAUUUACUAUAAUAUUUUACACUUUAUACAUUGCAUGGUAAGAUACAUAAAUGACUUAGUACCACAUAGAGUUCCUACGAGGUUCAAAUUUUUCACUAUCUUCAUCAUCUCUAUGUGUAGAGUAAGUGUAUUGUGAAGAGUAGUCAUCAAAUGAUAAAUCCCCAAAAUAGUUUUGCAUGUAAUUGUUAACAUACCACCCAUAUAAAUAUAAAUAUUUUAGCAUAUUAUCACAAAAACAUAAGUGAUAUGGUGUUUAAGGUGUUGGAGGAGUAAAAUGGGAGGGGUUCAUAUCCCUUUUGUGCUUUUUUCUCCCCUUUUUCCCUUUUUUUUAAUUUUUUUAUUUUUAUUAAAACUUUUUUUUUCCUUCACAUCGAUAUUUUCGAUAUUUUAGCGAUAUUACACCGAUAUUUUGACAAAAUAUUGCUGAAAUGUGAGCGAAAUUAUUGACAUCGAUAUUUUCCGAUAUUAUCGUCGAUAUUGUCGAUAUUUAUACGAUAUGUACAUGGAUAUGUUCCGAAAUAUCCGUGAUUCAAAAAAAUCGAAAUAUCCUCAAUAUUUCUUCGAUAUUAUCGAUAUUUCAGACUAUGUCUGGAACGAACAACCACUCAAAAUUAAAAUGCUAAUUAGAUUUUUAUUUAUUGUUAUUACUAGAAAACUGACGUGUAGGGAAAUUAUUGUAAAAAGAAAACAAAAAUGUGAAGAUAAGGGUAAGCACGUGUUCCCAUUUGGGUUGCGAAACUUCCACACAAAAAACCAAUACCAUUUGGGACUCUUUGGGAUCUUUUUCCAAUGGCAUUAAUUAUAUAUAUAAUACACACACUUUGGGUCCUUUUCAACUAAACUAUAUCCGAUUGACAUAAUAUUGGCCCUAUUUCCAUGUGUGCAUGGAAGAAUGAGCUAAGAAACGGACGUCAUUUUUCAAAAUUAUGUACGUCAUACACUGCCCCUUGCCCAUUACCCCGCUCUAUAUAACCUUAAGACACCUUCUCACAGUUAUUAAAAAAAAACACCACCUCCAAAAUGAGUAUCCUCAGAAACCUCCUAGUCUUCUGCAUCCUAUGUGCCACUCUCUUCUUUGCAUCAACCAAUGCAGCUCAUUUCGAUAUCCGAAACAACUGCCCCUUCACCGUCUGGGCAGCCGCCACGCCAGGCGGCGGACGCCAACUUAAUAGAGGCGAAAAUUGGGGCAUAGACGUGGCUGCCGGAACCAAAGGGGGUCGCAUUUGGGCCCGGACCGGAUGUACCUUUGAUGGAGCUGGACGUGGGAGAUGCCAAACAGGUGAUUGUGGGGGUAUCCUUCAAUGCCAAGCCUAUGGCCAACCCCCAAACACCCUAGCUGAAUAUGCCCUUAACCAAUUUAGCAACUUGGAUUUCAUUGACAUUUCCCUUGUUGAUGGCUUUAAUGUUCCCAUGGAAUUUGGUUCCACGUCUAGUGGGUGCACUAGGGAUAUCAGAUGUACGGCUGAUAUUAAUGGGCAGUGUCCUGGCCAACUGAGGGCUCCAGGAGGCUGCAACAACCCUUGCACUGUGUUCAAGACUAAUCAAUAUUGCUGCAAUUCUGGGAGGUGUGAACCUACAGAUUUAUCUAGGUUUUUCAAGAUGCGGUGCCCGGAUGCUUAUACACUACUACAAAAAAGCAAAAAGACGACGGUAAAUCACCGUCGUGUAUUUGGUUUUUCAAUGGUCGUGGAAUCCACCGUCAUCUUUUCCCUCAUAAACCACGACGCUAAAUAACCGUCGUUGUUAAACAAUACAACGUCAUCAAAAAAUACAAAACGACGUCUUUGUACUGCAAAAGAUCUAAAAAAAGCAAUCGAUGAUGAUAAUAGACGACCAAUUCUCUAAAAAGACCGUCGUUAAAAAGGGAAAAUAUGACACAUAUUAAGAGAACAAGGCCGCAAGAUAGACAUACAACGACGACAAUAAAAAUACGCCGACGUUAAAUAUAAUUUUCACGACAAUAAAAAAUAUGACGUCUUUAAAUACAUUAGAAGACGACGUUAUUGAUACCUACUACGUCGCACAUAUAAACACAACCGUCGUACAAUUAAUUUUCCACUUCGAUUUUUUGAUAAAAGAUGACGUGGAAAUAGUUGUCAGUGUCAUUAUUUACGACGUAUGUGUUUCUAUAGUAGACGUUGAAAAACUAAACAACGUCAGUUACAAAUAUAUGAGAGUCGUAUUAAAAAAUUUAUACGUCCUAUUUUCAGAAACAAACAACGACCAUAAAUAUUAGACGUUGUUAAAUACAACAACGUCGGAAAACAAUAAAAACAGACGUGUUUAGUCUGCUAAAGUUCUACAACGUCUCUUAUUUACAAAAAACCGUCGUGAAAUAAAUUUUCCACUUCGAUUUUAUCUAAAAAAGAUGACGUGGAAAUAGUUGUCAGUGUCAUUAUUUACGACGUAUACAUUUAUAUAGUCGACGUUGUAUUUAUAUGUAUUCAUUACUCACGACGCACUUAAUAAUAUAGACGACGUUGAACGUCUAAACAACGUCGGUUCCAAAUAAAUGAGAGCCGUAUUACAGAACAUAUAGACGGCGUAGAUUAUGAUGGGAGCCGUAUUACAAAUAACGUCGUUUAAUUGUUAUUAGACGGCGGUUAUAAUGAAUUUCCGUCGGAAUUAAUUUCGUUCCUCUUCGUUUAUAAAAGAACUUGCGACGUGGAAAAUGUAUGAUGACGUCGUAUUUUUUAACGUUCAGAUUACAUAUCUCGUUUUUUAGACGUCGGUAUUAUGGGAUUGGAGUCGUGUUAUUUUGAAUUACAUGGCGGUUCUUUAUCCUUCACCGACGUGAUAUCCUGAAUAAUUGCUUCACAAUAGCGUCGUGGUUCUUCAUUGUUACGUUGCUUUAAGACGUCGGUAAAUAUGCUGAAUAACUGAUUCACAAUAACGUCGUGUUUUAUUUGAACGUAGAAAGUGAAGAAAUCACAUUACAAUAUAUUACAAAAUUAAUGUCAUACACUGCCAAUUACAUAAGCAUCAUUCAAUCCAUAUAUCUUCACACCCAUCUCGAAUAUUUUGACCGCCUAACUCACCUACCAGUUCAUCAAAUGUGUCAACAUUUGGCAUCCCUCUAGUAAAUGGCUCACACUCAAUUAUCACAUCACCUAAUACUUCAUCACCAAUAACAUCAUUAUAUUCUCUACUAGGCAUUGAUAACACUACCGACCAACCACGAUGCAUCGGGUCGUCAACAAAAAAUAUUUGUUUGACUUGAGAAGCCAAAACAAAUUGGUCAUUCCUAUGUCCAAUUUUACUCAAAUCUACAAGGGUAAAUCCAAGUUCGUCGACUACAAGACCAGAACUAUCUAUCCAAUCACACCUAAAGACUGGGAUUGUAAACUUUUGGUAGUCAAGGUCCCAAAUUUCUUGAAUGACACCAUAGAAACCCAUAUUUGAGAGAAUUGGGUUUUUAUCCUUGGCACUAGCAACUUGCAUGGUAUGUGCAAGUAAAUAAACUCCACUAUUUUGAGUUGUCCGCACAUCAUCUUGUGCCUUGAUAUUGAAUUUAAUACCUUUAAUAAGAUAGCUCCUAUAUAAUGGCACUGACAUGUUUGGACCAGCUGCUAGCCACCUUAAAUUUUCUGAUACGCCAUGAUUGUCUUCCUCAACUUCACUUUGAACCUGCAAAUUAAUCAUAUCUUAAUUCAUCCUAACAUAUAAAUAAGAAGAAAAUUAAAAGAGAAAUACGUUAUUCAACAACAUAUACCUUGAAGCGUAGCCAUUGAAUGAAAGUGCUAUUGUGCUUAUCCUGCAGCCACUUUGUUCUCUUUCUAAAUUUUGGAUAAGCAGUCUUGAUGUGGAUCAUAUGUUGCCUACAUGACACGAAAAAUUCAAGCAUUACGGUCCCAAAUAUAUAAGAUAAACAUAAGAAAUAAUUUUAAAUGGAAACUUAAAGAAUAAAACUCAUACGUACUCGAUAUAACUUCACUAAUGCCGAUAACUUCGUGUACUUUCUACAACCAGGGUACACUGGUUGAUCUCCAUCCCCAAUCACAUUGGCAAACUCAUACGGAUCCGAACCAAAAUCACCAAAAUCAUUAUCAUCCAUAUCAAUUUCUUCAGACACAAAACUGUACCUACUAUGGCCAUCAUCUUCUUCAACAUUUCUGCUAGCAUUAGUAGUUGCUUCCCAAGGUUCUCCGUGAAAUGUCCAAUUCUUAUAGCUUUGGUCAAUUCCAUUAAAGUAUAAGUGAUCCCUUAUAAUUCCAACCCCAAACAACUUCAAAUUAACACAUUUAACACAUGGACAACGGAUAUGUGUUGUAGUUAGAAGAUUUUCUACAGCAAAGUUCAAAAAUGCUUCCACCCCAAACUCAUAUGCCUUCGAUCUUCUAUCCGAGUGCAUCCAUGACUUAUCCAUCUCCGACACUAUAACCUAUUAUCUAUAAUAAAGUGAAAAUACAGGCAAUGACCAUCACUAUAGCAGAUUAUACAAUGAUCUAAUCGCAAGUAAUAAACAACAGAGACGACGGGUUUUAAUCAAAAACAGACGUAUUUGGCAUAUAUAGACGACGGAUUUUCAACAGACGUCGUCUAUUAUACGUAAUACAAACGACGGUUUAUGAAAAAACCGUCGUGUAUAAGUAAUACAACGACGGUAGUUUAAAAACACCGUCGUGUAAUCGUCGUCGUACGCCUUAAAAUUCGUCGUGUCUCAGUUUAUUUUCAAGAACACAAAACCCAUUAAGAACACAACAUAUAUAUGAAACCAAGCAAGAAACCAACANNNNNNNNNNNNNNNNNNNNNNNNNNNNNNNNNNNNNNNNNNNNNNNNNNNNNNNNNNNNNNNNNNNNNNNNNNNNNNNNNNNNNNNNNNNNNNNNNNNNNNNNNNNNNNNNNNNNNNNNNNNNNNNNNNNNNNNNNNNNNNNNNNNNNNNNNNNNNNNNNNNNNNNNNNNNNNNNNNNNNNNNNNNNNNNNNNNNNNNNNNNNNNNNNNNNNNNNNNNNNNNNNNNNNNNNNNNNNNNNNNNNNNNNNNNNNNNNNNNNNNNNNNNNNNNNNNNNNNNNNNNNNNNNNNNNNNNNNNNNNNNNNNNNNNNNNNNNNNNNNNNNNNNNNNNNNNNNNNNNNNNNNNNNNNNNNNNNNNNNNNNNNNNNNNNNNNNNNNNNNNNNNNNNNNNNNNNNNNNNNNNNNNNNNNNNNNNNNNNNNNNNNNNNNNNNNNNNNNNNNNNNNNNNNNNNNNNNNNNNNNNNNNNNNNNNNNNNNNNNNNNNNNNNNNNNNNNNNNNNNNNNNNNNNNNNNNNNNNNNNNNNNNNNNNNNNNNNNNNNNNNNNNNNNNNNNNNNNNNNNNNNNNNNNNNNNNNNNNNNNNNNNNNNNNNNNNNNNNNNNNNNNNNNNNNNNNNNNNNNNNNNNNNNNNNNNNNNNNNNNNNNNNNNNNNNNNNNNNNNNNNNNNNNNNNNNNNNNNNNNNNNNNNNNNNNNNNNNNNNNNNNNNNNNNNNNNNNNNNNNNNNNNNNNNNNNNNNNNNNNNNNNNNNNNNNNNNNNNNNNNNNNNNNNNNNNNNNNNNNNNNNNNNNNNNNNNNNNNNNNNNNNNNNNNNNNNNNNNNNNNNNNNNNNNNNNNNNNNNNNNNNNNNNNNNNNNNNNNNNNNNNNNNNNNNNNNNNNNNNNNNNNNNNNNNNNNNNNNNNNNNNNNNNNNNNNNNNNNNNNNNNNNNNNNNNNNNNNNNNNNNNNNNNNNNNNNNNNNNNNNNNNNNNNNNNNNNNNNNNNNNNNNNNNNNNNNNNNNNNNNNNNNNNNNNNNNNNNNNNNNNNNNNNNNNNNNNNNNNNNNNNNNNNNNNNNNNNNNNNNNNNNNNNNNNNNNNNNNNNNNNNNNNNNNNNNNNNNNNNNNNNNNNNNNNNNNNNNNNNNNNNNNNNNNNNNNNNNNNNNNNNNNNNNNNNNNNNNNNNNNNNNNNNNNNNNNNNNNNNNNNNNNNNNNNNNNNNNNNNNNNNNNNNNNNNNNNNNNNNNNNNNNNNNNNNNNNNNNNNNNNNNNNNNNNNNNNNNNNNNNNNNNNNNNNNNNNNNNNNNNNNNNNNNNNNNNNNNNNNNNNNNNNNNNNNNNNNNNNNNNNNNNNNNNNNNNNNNNNNNNNNNNNNNNNNNNNNNNNNNNAAGUGAUUUUAUGACUCAUCAAAACAAUUUGUUUGGAUGGUCAUUUUAAAUUUUGUAUUCAAAAUGAAUUUUCAAGGUUUAUGUGGAAGAAAAUAUAUCAAUGACUUCAUAGGAGUUGACUUUUCAAUUUUCUGAUUUAUUUUAAAUUUAUUUUGAAUAUUUUGAUAUAAAAAUAAUAAAAUAUUCUUACCACAACAACAAACCACGUCGGUGUUAAUAAAUUGUAGACGUUGUAAAUUGUAAUAGACUACUAAGUCGUUAAAAUGACGUCGUUAAAAUGAGAAACCAUGGCGGCUAUUUAACUAUACGACGUAAAAUAUAUAUAUCAACGACUUAACCGCUGUCGUUACAUAAACGUCGUCGAUGAUACCCUGAACCCUUAAGAAAUUGAAGAUGUUGUAAACCAUAAACGACUCAAUUGUUCAAAGAACGUCGUCUAACUAUAUUUUUACGUCGUAAUUGUUUAAAACACGAAACAACAAAAUACGACGGUUUGUGACUUUAUUAGGUCGUUGGAAAAGUAUUACACGUCGGUUAAGCAAUUUGUAUGUUUGUUUUUUUUUUAAUUUAAGAAAACCUCAACAAAUUUUUACAUUACAUAUUAUAGAGAAAAUUUGUACAUUAUACAUAAAUAUCAAGUGUUCAAUAAUUGCCCUGUUUAAUAAUUUGGAAAACAAACUCUGCCCAUUCAUUCCGGACUUCAUCAAUGGCUUCUUGGGGGUAUGAAGCUUCCUGGUUUCCCUUGGCAUACUGCAUAAACAAUGACUAUUAGGGUUUAUAAAUAAAAAGAAAUUCAAUCACAGACGACGAUAUUUUUCAUAACCGACGUAGUAUAUCCAUUCAACGACGUUAAUUUUACAUGACCGUCGUUGAUAAUACAAAAAACGACGUGAAAUGUAUGAAGGUAAUUUCUUCUUACCUUAUUCUCAAACCCCAAGGAAGGAUCCAUGAUGAUGUCCCUCAUGAAGCGCAUCACAUAAUACCCGCAUUCGACAUUGCUGGGUUGCUUUGGUGUGCCUGAGAGAGUUUUCCAAAUUACAUUUUUACGUCCUGCUCGGCCUAUGUGGGUAUUAUAUAUUUUUAAAGCACUGUUCACGAUGUUUUUCGCCUCUUCGUCGACCACACGAUGACCUGGCAGAGGAUCCAGAAAAUAGACGGUCUCCUUCUUUGCUCUUACAAUCAGCAGGAUCCAAUGACGGCUGCACAAAAUUAAUAUAAAAACGACGGUUAUUUACAAAAACGACGUAUUAUAGUAUUUCACACGACGAAAUAAAGUAGAUAACGACGACAUUAUAUAUUUAUCACGACGACAAAUAAAUACCGACGUGGUUAGUAGUUUCAAACGACUAAAUAAAAUAAAACACCGACGUGGUUAGUUUAUAAGCUGUCAUUUAUUGAAAAUCAUAAAAACAAAAUCCUAAGGAGACUAACCCUGGAUUGUAAGGCAUCAUGAAAAGCUGUUCACCGUCUGUCUUCUGAAGUCGAGCUGCUACCAGUCGUGAUCUUUCAGUUAUUGUGCCAGAGUUGGCACUAACUGUAGCAGGGUCAAUAAAGCCAACCAUGCUGCACAUAUUGGCUUGUUUCAAAACAUCGUGUAAGUACCUAAAUACAUAAAAUAAUAUAAACAAGUCAGCACAAACAAACACGACGGUUAUGUAUAAAAAAACGACGUAUUAUAAUAUUUCACACGACGUACUGAAAUAGAUGAGGACGUUAUAAUAUAUUUAUCACGACGGUAGUUAGUUAAGACGACGUGGUUAGUUAGUUAAGACGACGCAAUAUAUAAACCAACGAGGUAUUAUUUUAGAAGUACAAACCUCAUAUAUACAGCCAAUACAGUAGCUCCAAUUUCUUCCAUGCCUGCAAAUUGUGUAAUAUCUUCAGGCAGGAGGAAGGUAUCGCGCUCACCACCAAACACCUCCUUAUCAAUUGUAAAUUGGAGUGUCUUAUCCUCAGGCAGGAGUGUCGUUUCCACAAAACGACAAAGGGUUUUUAAAGAAGAUGGCGCCUCCAUAUUUGAAUAAGCACCAACUUCAAUAACCUGUUUAAAGAAAUAAAAAAAAUGACGUGGUAAUUCAAUAAAGACGACGGUUUAAGUAAUAAAACGUCGUCUUAAAAGUAUUUAAACGACGGUGAAAAAACUGUCGUGGUAAUUCAAUAAAGACGACGGUUUUAUGAAUAAAGCGUCGUCUGAAACCAUUUAAACGACGGUGCAAAAACCGUCGUUUAAAUAUUUUAUUACGUCUUAAAAAAAUUCCGCCGUCUAAGUUUUAAACAAACGACGGAUUAAAUAAAAAUAUCGACGUCUGAAAUUUUGAAAAACAAAUAAAAAAGGCAAAGUUAUGUGAACAUACCUUGUCGUCAUGCUUUUCUUCAUCUUCUUUCUCCUUUUCUUCUUCCUUCUCUUCAUCUCUUUUUUCUUCUUCCUUCUCUUCAUCUGGCUGAUGUUUCCCCAUUUUGGCAGUAUCAUCCUCCAAAUGUAGGGAUCUCACAUAACCUCCAGAGCAGCUAGCUUUGUCAGACAUUGGAUUUUUGGGGCUUUGGCUAAUUCUUGGUUUAAGCAUGCUUGGAUCAAAAUUGGGAAUUAAUUGGGAAAGCUGACUCAGGAAAUGCUCCCUCUCAGCCUCUACCAAUUGUUUUGUCCUAGCCUCCAUCCUUAAGGCCUCUUCCCUUGCCUUAGCCUCCAUCUUUUUAGUCUCUUCUUGAAGGAGAACUCUUAAACUGUCCUUCAAACGGUCGUCAAAGCUCACCCUCUGUGGUUUGGGCAAAUUGAAAUAUUGCCUUGGGGAAACACCAGCACCAACUCCCCUCAGUCUGCCUGGAUGCUCGGGGCCCAAAGCCAUGGUCAGCACAUCAUUGCUGCCAUCUACUCUGACUUUGCCUUCCGAGACUUGUUUCUGCAAUUCAUCCUAAAAAAAGAUAAACAAAAAAACACACGACGGUUAUUUAUGUACAAACGACGUAUUAUAUAAUUUCACACGACGCAAUAACGUAUAAACCGACGUUAUUAUAACUUAUCACGACGGUAGUUAUACCGACGUGGUUAUUUAUUUAAAACGACGAAAUGAAUAAACAACCGACGUCUUAUGCUAUAAUUAAAGAUAACAGAGUAGUGAUUCCUAUUUAGACCGUUAACGACGUUUUUAAAAAAUUUUCGACGUGGUAAUAUCAUUCACACGACGCGAAAAUGAACCACCGACGUCUUAUGCUGUAAUUACAGAAAACAUAGUAGUGAUUCCUAUUUAGACCUUUAACGACGUUUUUAAAAACUUUUCGACGUGGUAAUAUCAUUCACACGACGAAAAAUAUAACAUACGACGUAAUAAGAAUAAUUCACAGUUUAAUAAAAAUUUAAAACAGAGUGAUAGUAGGCUUACAAUUAAUUUUGCUUUCUCUGCCACCUUUGGAUCAGGGAUGUUACCAUGUUUGUCCUGUCUAGCUCUCUUCCAUAAGGUAGAUCGAUCAAUUUCUACCCCAGGCAUGGUUUCCUCCAAUUGAUCCUCCAAUCCAGCAUAUCCUUUUCGAGACAAUCGAUGAUUGUACUCGAGUUUCUCCCUAAUCUGUGCAUGUUGAGAAUGCACAGACUCAAAAUCUUUGGAUAGCCUUGAAGCUACAAAGGCAUCCCAUUGUGCUUUCUCUAUGAAUUUAUAUGUUUCAGGGGGUUGGCUUAAUUUCUCCCUGUCAUUGGUGUAUGGAAGGAUAUAAUGCCUCGUUAGUGUAGACUUGAAAUCCUUCCAUUUCUUGGAAGCAGAAGCUAAAACAGAGGUCUUGCCCCCUUGGCCUACGACAAAAGCCAUGUCAACUGCUUCCCAAAUCUGCUCCUUUAUAUCCUUGGGGAUUUGGGACCAUUUCUUGUCCACAAGUGGGAUCCUGGAGCGUGCCAACACACCAAUAUACGACUGCAUCUCAAUAUGUGCUUGGCCAACACCUUUCCCCCUUUUAUUGUACUCAACAAUUGGCCUCAGUUUCUGAAGCUUUCUCUUCACAACACGAGGCAUUGUGCUCAUACCUCGACCAGUCUUUGAAUCAUCUGAGAUUGUUGUCUGGCUGGUUUGUUCUGUCUCAGCAGAUGAUGAAGCAAACUUCAUCUUCUUCGAAGACUUCAUCUCCUUCGAAGACUUAUCUUGAGGAGCUACCAUUCCAAGCUUCUUGGAGCCAGAAUCCUUAGUUUGUUGUUGAGAAACCAUUUUAACAGACAAAACUGCAAGUGAAAAUAUUUCAGGAAAACAUUAAGAACACAAACGACGGUAUUAAAAAAAUACGACGUAUGAUAUGAUUUUAGACGACGCAAUGAAAUAAUCUCAGACGUAAUAAAUGUUUAAAACCAUUAUUUAUAUAACGUCGUGGUAUAUAUGUUCACACGACGUCAAUAGUAAUACACCGUCGUGGUAAACUAUUAUUUAUAUUUUAUCGUCUAUAUUAGAUACCAACCCUAGUUUCUUUUUCUUUAUAUUUUAUCAAAUAAGGGAAAAACAAAAACCAUUGUUCAGCGAAAUCAAACCUGCAAUUAAACAAGCAUAUAAAAAAAGACUAUUAUUUUAAAAACAACUUUGUCAAUUUUCAGACGACGCUAGAACAACUGACGAACCGUCGUGGUCUACCGUCGUCUUAUUUAGUUGAUGUAGUUGUCUUCAAAGUUGGAAACUUUCUCUCUUUGUCUGUAUAUUUUAUCAAACUUGGAAAGAAGUAAAAUGAUUUUGGCCAGAAAAAAGGUAAAAAGAUUUUUCAAACAAAAAACGUAUGAGCAUGCAAAACAGUAACCAAAAUAGUGAAAAUGAAAGCUUACCUUUUGCGUGCAAUGAAAGCAAGAGGAAGAUGAUCGAUGUUUAAGUUCAGAGACGACGAAGAAGACGAGAGGAAGACGAUGAGAAACUCUGACAAUGCUCUGACAAGGAAAAAAGACGAAAAGGUUUCUCUGGGAGAUUGAAAUUUUUAAUCGGGUUUGGAAACAGUGCAUGUGUAAGUCGAAAAGUUGCUUACAUAUAAAACCAUUUCAAAAAAAUAAUACGGCGGUUACAUUUAACUACGUCGUUUUUAACUAAAACGACGCAAUAUUUUUCAUUCGACGUGGAAUCAUUUCAUUUAACGUCGUUAGGUUUAAUAUAACCGACGUGGAUUUUAAUUUUUAAAUUAUGAAUAGAAUUUUUUUUCCCGUGACCUUUCAGUUUAUUUUUCAAUUACAGUGCGUUAUAAAUAGAGUUUUUUUUCCGGAGGAAAUUUAAAACGAAGGAAAUUAAUAUUCUGCAAUAUGUAAAGUUUCUUUUUUGGAUGACAGAUUUAAAUAAAAUAAAAAUAUAAAAACAACAAAUGUGUAAGUCAAGUAGACGAAAAGUUGCUUACAUAUAAAACCAUUUCAAAAAAAUAAUAUGGCGGUUACAUAUAACUACGACGUAUAAAUUACAAAAUACGACGGUACAUUUAACUUCGGACGUGGUAAAUAAAUACGACAGUAGUUUGUAGGUACCGUCGUAGUAAACUCAAAAAUUAAAGUACAUAAGUAAUAACUCGCGUCAUGGUAUAUUAUUUAACACGUCGUUUUUAUUAAUUUACCGACGUGGAUUUCUGUAAUAUACGUCGAUCAUACCGACGUUGAUUUUACAAUUUAAACGGCGGUUUGUUUGUAAGGACCGCCGUUGGUUUUAAAAAUUUAUUCUAUAAAUUUGUCGCUUUCAUUCAUUUUCGGUUUACAUUUAAGGUUCCAAGUUCUUCCUCUCUCAGUCUCUCAUGUCUCAAAGAUAAUAAUUUGGAUGUUUUCUCAAAGAGAAAUUGAGCUUACUCGCAUCAAAUAUAUGUCCACAAGAAGAAGCUUGUCAACUAGCCUUCUCACUUCCUUGAUCAAGCCUGAUAGGACACUUAGUGCUUCUGAAUACUCCUUGCUUUCCAUCAAAAGAGAUGCAAGCCUGGCCUCCACUCGCUGUCGAAGGAAAGUUCGCUUCUCAGGGAAAUCUGAAGAUCAGAUGUGCCUGAUCCUCUGCUUGAUUUUCUUGCCUAAGAAGAUCCGUCGGAUUUAUUGUGAUAGCCUCUUCCUUUAUCCGUAGAGCUUCAGAAGAAGAAGAUGGGUUUCAAGAAUGCGAUAAAGAAUAGAAAUGGCUUCAGAUGGCCUCUAAAGCAUGAGCAAUUGAAUCAGUAGUUUCUGGGAGAUAUGAUGAAGACAUUGUCAAUGCUUUGAACUACACAAGUCCUGCAGAAAGAUAUGUUAAAGAAACUGAAACAACGGCGGUUUUCUGUUCUACCGUCGUCUUUUCUCGUCGUCUAUAUUAAGUUACGAUGGCGGUAGAUUUAUAAUUACCGACGUAGAUUAUUUUGUUAAACGUCGUUAAGUGUACUACAACCGACGUGGAUUUUAAUUUUAAAUUAUAAAUGGAGUUUUUUUUCCCGUAUUCUUUCAGUUUUAGUUUUCAAUUCCAAAGCGUGAUAAAUAGAUUUUUCUUUCCCGAGGAAAUUUAAAAUGAGGGAAAUUAAUGUUCUAGAAUUUGUAAACUAACACGACGCAAUAUUUGCAAAUCUGUGUCAUCUGUUAAGAUUAUGAUGUGGAACAGAGUUCCAUCUGGUAAGAUUUCGUAACCCUUGGGAUCUCAGACAAAACUGAUUAUGUCGGCGGUGUUCUAUAUAAACCGUCGUGGUUAUUUCAAUUCUUGUCAUUAAGUAGAUCUACCGACGUAGGAUAAGAAAAUCAAAGAAAAAAAUUGUUAACAAAAAUUCUUAUUAAGACGACCGUUAAAAUUAAAGGUACGACGUAUAAAAUGAAUAAAUACGACGAUAAAUUUUAUUGUACGAUUUAAAGAUAACGUAGUAGAACUAUACGAGAAUGACGUCGAUAUAUUUAUAUUUUCCGUCGUUGUAAAUUAAUUUAAUACGGCGAUAUUUUGUAUUUUAAAGCCGUGGAUUUGUUUGUAAUUAUACGGCGUCUUAUACGAAAACCUCGUCGUGUUAUUUUAUGAGUAAAAACGGCAGUUUUUAUUGAAAUCGUCGUCUUUACUUUCUACGUCGGUCGAUUCAUAACUUCUGCCGUUCUUUGUUGGCAUUGAUUUUACACUGAGGAAAUCUGUUUCAAAUAGACGUCGGUUGUUUAAUUAUGUACGUCGUUGUUUUUGAACAGCCAUUUGAAACUCCAUUUUUUAGUUGUCUAAGGUUGUAUUACACGACGGUGUUUUUAGAACCGUCGUCUUUUUAUAAACCACGACGGUUUUCACUUAGACCGUCGUUGUUUUCUGGUCGUCUUUUUCACUUUUUGUAGUAGUGAUAGCUACCCUCAGGAUGACAAAACAAGCUUAUUUACAUGCCCUGGCGGGACGAACUAUAAGGUUGUGUUCUGCCCAUGAAGAAGCAGAUACAUCUUCUAGUUUAUAAUAUCUAUGAAUAAGUCUGAUGCAAUAAAAUUAGUUUGAGGGCUUUGUCAUCAGCACAUGUAAUGGUGUGCAUUAUGUAAAACAAAGUACCUGUACUCUCUCACUCGGUUCAGACAUCAUAACGAAAUGAAAGUCUCAGUUUUUCAUUUUCUAUUGAGUAGCACCAUCUUUAAUUUCGAUCUAUUCCAUGAAAAAUGACUGAAAAAUAAAGUGAAACUCUUACGAUCAUCAGUCAUGCUUUAUUUUUCUUAAUGCUGGGGGAUUUUGCUUCAUAUAUUACCUAAUGAAUGUGAAAAUUUGGUUACCUACAUUCGAAACUAAUGUUGAAGCUCAAUGGUUUAUUAAAAAAAGGCAUAUCUUCAGUGGCCAUUCCUAGUAAAAGUAUUCAUAUAUGAAAAAGAGACCUAUAAAUGGAAAACAAUUCAGGGUGUCAGAUGCUUGAGAUCUUUAGGGAAGUUUCCUUUAGGGCCGUUUGAUAUAAUUAUUUCAAUUUUACUUUUUAGUUUUAUUUUUUGUGCUAGAGUAGUGAGGGGAAAAGAGGGAGAAUGGAAGUGAGAAUGAGAAUGAAGAUGGGAUUGAGAGGGAAGAUGAGAGGGGAGGAUGGAGGGGAAGAGUAACAAAAGUGAAAACAAAAAUUAAAAACUGAAAAUCUAUUUGGAAUUGUUUUCACUUCCAAGUUUUUGUUUUCACUUUUGUUACUCUUCCCUCCCAUCCUCCGCUCUCAUUCUCUCUCCCAAUCUCAUUCUUACUCUCACUUUUCUCUAUACUCUACCACUAAAAAAAAAAACUAAAAACUAAAAUUGAAAUAGUCAUCAUACGAGCCCUUAUUUUCUUUGGUUUAUUUUUCAGAUUUUAGAGUGUUUUGGUUCUAUCUCUUUUGGAACGCAAUUGUCCCUUCACCGUUUGGGCAGCAAAGUAUUGCAAACUUUGACUAUAAUAUUCCAUUAAUUGUAAUAAUAAUAAUAAUAAUAAAUAAGGCACAAGUCUGAUUCCUAGAAAUUCUCUUAUGGUCUUCGAGAUUUCUAUAGCAAAUUGGAUAAACCCCAUCACUGCUGGCUGUGCUCUGUGCUCUCUUAGUCAAGUCCAUACUUUUUUUUUGUUUGCAGUAUUGACAAAUUUGUAUGUUUACUUUUGCGCAUCAAGCCAAAAACAAAUCUGAACAUAAAUUAUGUAUACAACUCUAUCGAUCUAUUGUAGAAUUGUUCUGCGGACCCAAACUGCAAAAAAAUAUUGGUUCUGUUAAUGAUGAAACUAUAGUCUUCAAUUUUUUAGAAUUAGAAGAAAAACUAAUAGAUCAAUUAUCAUCUCGAUAUAUUGUUAAUAUCGACAUCAUCAAUAGUAUUCCAUUAUAUUAAUAGUAAAUAAUUUUAGUCUUCAUAUCACAUAAGUAUUGAUAAUAAUAAUCCUAUUUGAGAACGAUGUAUGAAACUAAAUACAUCUUAGUAAAAAGUAAGGAUUUUUAAGGCCCUUAAUAUUCCUAGUCCAAAAGAUGCCUAAGGCUAAGGGAGGGGGAGGAAGCAAGUCAAAUUCGAUUUUCUUAGUCUUCUUGUUGACUGGUCAAAAGGAAAAACUUGGUCAUAGCAAUGUAGCUUGUUGUAUACAAUGACAAUUAAUUGAAGGUGGAAAAUAAUGUAUAUGCCAAAAUAUCCAGUCUCCUUGAGAAGCUGUGGACAGAAAGCGUAUUACUAUUUCUCCCGCGUGGACUGGCCACAGAUCCCACCCAUGAGUCUUUCAUGUAUUUUGGCCGCCUGCUACUAAAUUAAUUGGACCAGUCUUUGUGAAAAGGUAUGUCUACCGACAAAAUAUCAAUGCUUACUUAGUAGGAAGUUGAAAUCUUAAAUCUUUAACCAAACAGACCCUAAAUGUGUAUGAAGCUUUUUUAAGAAUUAACAUAAUUAACUGAUGUUUCAGACUCGGAUAAAUUCAAUAUAAUUUCCUUUUUUUUUAGACACAUAUUAUAUUUUGUAUUUUUUGUAUGAUAUAAUAGGGCCAAAAGAGACACAUUCAUGCUUGAUGUCUUAUUGGAUAGGGAUGAUUAGCAACUCCAUACAAAUGUAGCUAAACUUGUCUAAUUGAUUUAAUUUCGUAGAAUAAAAUUACACAUCAUUGAUUUAAUUUGCUUGCUUUUUUUUUUUUCUUCCUUGUGGAAAAAAGGGAAAGUGAAGAAGAAAUUUCUCUUUCCUUUCCAUGUGCAGUAGUGGACAUAGACUAGAAAAUAAAGAAAAUGACCUAAGAAAGGGAUGCCAUUUAAUUUCGUGAUACAGUUCUUCUUUGGUCUAUACAAUUAACCUCAUGAAUAUAGCAUCUUUACAAUUCAAUUCCAAAAUGAGCCUGCUGCUCAUCAGAAAAAACCUCUCAUCAGUUUUCCCCAUCCUAUUGAUCAUCAUCACCCUUUUCGUUGCAACCGUUCAUGCAACACGUUUCGAAGUCCGAAACCAAUGCCACUUCACCGUGUGGGCAGCCUCCAGACCCGGCGGUGGGAAGCAGCUUCUUCCAGGCCAAACUUGGUCCUUCGACGUGAACACGGGUACUUUCCCUGCCCAAAUUUGGGGACGGACUGGGUGCAGCUUCAACGAAGCUGGACGCGGCAAAUGUUUAACAGGUGAUUGUGGAGGUCACCUCAAAUGCCAAGAUUUUGGUCAACCGCCAUACACCAUGGCUGAAUAUCACCCCCAACAAUUUGACUUAGAUUUUUUGGAUAUUUCUCUGGUUGAUGGGUUUAAUCUUCCUAUGGAAUUUAGUCCCACGGGUGGUGGUGAUUGCAAGGGGAUUCGAUGCGCGGCUGAUAUAAACGGGGAGUGCCCUCUUGAUUUGAGGGCACCCGGUGGGUGCAACAACCCCUGCAAUGUCUUCAAUACUGAUCAAUAUUGUUGCAAUUCCACCAGAUGUGGCCCUACGAGCUACUCCAGGUUUUUUAAGGCUCGGUGCCCUGAGGCUUACACUUACCCUCUCGACAGUGACGCCACGUUUACAUGCCCUGCUGGCACUAACUAUAUGGUUCUCUUCUGCCCAUGAUUUAUUGAAUUAACGACAGGUCUUGAAUUUUUGAAGGCCGGAGCAGCGAAGUGUACUAAUUUUGUUUUUGUCUUUUCAGGAUAAUCCAUUGUCUUGUUAGUAUAUUUUUUGUUUUCAAGAACCCCUUGAUGUGGAUAUGUGCCUUACUAUCCGUGAGGCACACAUCCAUUAAUAAAAGUUCCACCCUAUUAUAGUUUUCAUAAUCCUAACUUUCACUUUAUAUCUUAUUAUUUGUGUUUUUUUAUGCAGUAAAUUUUAUAUUUAUUUCUGUUAAUGUAGAAUCUUUAUUUUCAAUGAAUAUAGCAUUUAAACCCUAAUUUUUCAACAAUGUCGGCCUCAAAUCCCUUCGCAAUUAAAGGUGAAACUGGAGAAAAAACGACCCACACCACAAAUAGAGGGCAGAAAUAUUGCAUGCAAUUAAGGGUGGAAGAAUAUUCCAAAAUAUCAUAUGUCUCCUUGCGAAUAUAGGGGAGGACUUUUUUUCAGUGUGGACUGACCAUCGAUAUCGACCCAUGAUAUAUAAUAUAUCACAACAAUUUAUAGGGUUGACCCAUAUAUUGUGCCAGCCUGCUGCUAAAUUUAACUGGACCGGCGUUUCUCAAAGCUCAAUAUAAAUCUGUGUGCAUUAUCUUGUCAACCUAUGAAUCAAAACGACAUAUUUACACAACAAUUAGCAUAUAAUUGGAAAUUAGAAAUAUUUAACAACCCAAGUAUUUGGUAAAAAGAGGCAGCUUAAUUUAGAAAUAUUUAACAGUUUGUGAGUCAUGAACCUCAAAGUACGUAUCUUCCACGAUUUCGGUUUUGGCGAAAAGUCUUGGUCUUCUGGAAAGAAUGGACAAUAAGAAACUGUCCAGCAAUUUCAAUGUGUGAAACGAAGACUUCUUCUUUGCCUACAUAUUCCGUGCCCAUUUGAUUAAAUUUGCGCAAGUCCGAUACGAGCUAGAAUUUUUCUUAUCUUUGUUGAGACUUUUGUUAAUGUUGAUCAGUGGAUAUUUACAAUUGGACAGUGGAUGGGAGCCGAAAUUAUAAACGCUUUAUCACCAAACUAAAGUUUCCAACACAAAAAACCAACACCAUUGGCCUUUUCCCUUUUUCCAAUGGCAUUACUAAACUUGGUUAUAGACCUAUAGCAAACUAAUGAUGAUAGAGUAGAAUUGUAUGUGAUCGUAAGGGCAAGCGAUAAAACAAUAUACUUGAAUAUCUUCCUUGCACAAAAAAGAAAAAUUUACAAACAUCCGUUUCAUGAAACGACUCUCUUACAUAUAACUUUAUGUGCCGCUCACAUAAUACACAUGCGAGAAAGUCGUUUUAUAAACGGCCAUAAGUGCAAGUCUAAUGGCAAGAAGUUUCUUGGCUCUUUAUUGAAACUUGCUAUUGUUAGUUGGAUAAUUCUCAUCGAUACUGCCUGCUUAGUGCUCCUUAAUUUAGUCUGGUCAAUUAAUUAACAACUGGCCUAUCCCUUAAUUACGUUCAUAUCCAGCCAAACUCUAAAACUCAGCUCACCAAACUAAUUAAUGGGGUGGGUGAUCCUAAAUGCUGGCCGACUAACUUCAUCAACUUUUACAAGUCGAAGUAAACCACACCAUGUCGAAACUUGGUCAAUUUUCACCUUUUUUCUUUUUCUAAAUCAAUUGUGACAUUUAAAGAAGAUUUAAACUUAUAAAAUCUAACUUGUCUUUGGUGAGGUUUUUAUUUUUAUUUUUUAUAAUUAAUUAUUAUUAUUAUUAUUUUUUGGAGACAUGCGAUAUUGUAUUCAAGGAGAGGAAAUCGAACCUAGGAUCUCGAUGCAAAGGUAAUGCAUUUAACUACUUAAGUUACAAACCCUUUACACCUCCUUUUUGGUGGUUAAUGAAUAGCUAUGUUAACAAUCUUGAACUAUAUUUUCCGUUUAUAAAUAAAGAGGAAUUCAAAUUUAGAAUAUGUUCUAAUAUUGUAUUUAAUGGUGUUUUUCGUUACACAAUUUUUGCUUAAUCAUAUCUUGUCUCAUAACUGACUUAAUUUGUAAAAUAAAAUUACAUGUGCGACAUUACCUACUCCCCGUGGAAAAAGUCUCUCCUCAUUUUUUCUGAUCUUGUGAAAAAAAGAAGAAGAAGAAAUAUUGGUCCUAUUUCCAUGCGUGGAACAAUGAGCUAAGAAAAGUGACGUCCUUUUCAUAUUUAUAAUAUGUCACAUAUGUCGCCAUGCCCUGCUCUAUAUAAGCUUUAGAAACCUUAACAACAAAUGCAUAAAAAAACAAAUUGCAUUAUGAGCAUCCUCAAGACUCUCCCAGCCUUCUGCAUCCUAUGUGCCACUCUCUUCUUUGCAUCAACCAACGCAGCUCGAUUCAAUAUCCGAAACAACUGCCCCUUCACAGUCUGGGCAGCAGCCACGCCAGGCGGCGGACUCCAACUUAAUAGAGGCCAAAGUUGGGCCCUAGAUGUGCAUGCCGGAACCCAAAGGGCUCGCAUUUAAAUUUGGGCCCGAACCGGAUGAAGCUUUGAUGGAGCCGGAUGUGGGAGAUGUCAAACAGGUGAUUGUGGGGGUGUCCUCCAAUGCCAACGCUACUACAUUUUACACUUUGCGCGACGAAUUUUAACGCGACAGAAACUUCGUCGCGCAAAGAUUGUGAAGAAAGACUUUGCGCAACGAAAAAAUAUUGGUCGUGCAAAGUAACUUUGCGCGACGAAAAAAUAUUGGUCGCACAAAACUUAGCGCGACGAAACACAUUGGUCGGGCAAAGGUUUGCGCGACGAAACACAUUGGUUGCGCAAAGGUUUGCGCGACGAAACACAUUGGUCACGCAAAGGUUUGAGCGACGAAAAAUAUUUGUCGCGCAAAGUCUCAAAAAAAUUUAUAAAAAAAUAAAAAAUUCCCGCUUCCCAUUUUUGGUACCCGCCUACAUUUUUAGAGUUUUGCGCGAUGAAUACUAACGUCGCGCAAAUAUUUGCGCGACUAAAUAUUUUUUGUGUUUUAAAUUUUUUUAAUUAAAAUAAACUAAUUUAAUAGUUUGCUCUACAAAAUAUUUUGUCGCGCAAGGUUUUUGACUUUUUGUUUUAUUAUUUUUUUAAUAUUAAUUUAUUUAUAUUAGUUUAUUCAAAUUUUUACUUUUUAAAUUUAAUUUAAUUGUAUGAUUUUUUUUAAAUCACUUUAAUUUAAGUUGAUAUUAAUUUUUUCGAAUUUUUACUUUUUAAAUUUAAUUUAAUUGUAAGAUUUUUCUUAAUUACUUUAAUUUAAAUUGACAUAUUCAAAAUAAAAUUACAUAUUAAAAAUAGUGAUCAAAUUAUCCAAUAAAUAUAUAUAUAAUAUUCAAAAUGUACACAUAAAUUAACAAAGUACAAUAAUAAAAUCCUAAUACAAGAGUAUUGUGGUGGUAGUGGCGGAUGAUAUGUUUUGAUAGCUUCCUAAUCCUCAACUUUAGCCAUCAAAGUCUUGAUGAUUACCUACAAAAAAAACAAAUAUGGUCAAAUAACAACAAAAAACAAGAAAAAAGAAUGCAUAAUCUCCCCUAAAAUUGUUAUACCAAAAAUCCAACCCAAACUCCAAUCUCUCCCCUUUACUCAACCCCAAACCCCACACAAACUCAAAACUAACUCCAAAAACACAUAUUAAUGAAAAAAAUUUAAAAUUUGGAGAGAAUAUACCUUUUGGCAAGAUUGAGAGUGAGUGAGAAUGAGAGGGAGAAGUGAGUGUGAGAGAAGUAGAUAAGAUAGUGAUAGAGAGAUGAGAGAGUGAGAGAUAGUGAAAAGAUAGAUGAGAGAGUGAGUGAGAGUGAGAGAUAGUGAAGAGAGAUAUGAGGGAAAGAGAGAGGAGAGGUAAGAGUAGAGAAAGACAUUGAGAAAAUGGUGGAGGAGUUAUUUUGGUUUUAAAAAUCGUAUCACUUUGCGGGACGAAAAAUAUUGCUGGUCACGCAAAGUUUUGCUCGACGAAUAUAGGAAUAUUGGUCGCGCAAAGUCUAAAAAAAUUAUUUUUUUUUUAAAAAUUUCCCGCAUCCCACUUUUGGUUCCCGCCAAAAUUUAACUUUGCGCGACGAAAAAUACAUAUUGGUCGCGCAAAGUCUAAAAAAAUUAUUUUAAAAAAAAAAAAUUUCCCGCAUCCCAUUUUUGGUACCGCCAAAAUUUAACUUUGCGCGACGAAUAUAGGAAUAUUGGUUGCGCAAAGUCUAAAAAAAAUUAUUUUUUUUAAAAAAAAAUUCCCGCAUCCCAUUUUUGGUACCCGCCAAAAUUUUUAAAUUUUUGCGCGACGAAAAGUACAUAUUGGUCGCGCAAAGUCUAAAACAAUUAUAUAAAAAAAGUCCCGCGUCCCAUUUUUGGUACCGGCCAAAUUUUUGCGCGACGAAAAAUAUAUAUUGGUCGCGCAAAGUUUUGAGGGACAAAAAAUAUUGGUCGUGCAAAGUCUAAAGUUUUUUUUUAUUUUAAAAACCCGCGUCCCAUUUUUGUUACUCGCACAAAUUUUUUGAGUUUUGCACGACGAACUGUUGGUCGCGCAAACUUUUGAGAGACAAAAAAUUGGUUCGUAGCACAAUAUUUAUAAAAAUAAUUGUUUUGAAUAAGAAAAAAUAAAAAAAAUUAUUUUAUGAUUUAAAAUAUAAUUAAGGUGAAAGCUACUUAAUAAAUGUAUAUACUAUUCAAUUUCUUAAGUGUUAUACGUACAAAAUAAAUAAAUUUAAAACUACUUAAUAAAUAUAUAUAUAUAUACACACACACACCAUUCAACGAUCCAACCGUAAGACUUGUUUGUAUAUACUUCAAGAUCGUAUACCCCAAAAAUUGCAAAAAAUAAAUAUUCAGAGAUCUAGUAACGGGACAAAACUUUUCGAUAGUUAUAAAUGAAAAAUCACGAUUUAACGGUUAUUUUGACUCCGAUUUUGAUGAUUUUUUUACAGGUACACUCCUUGACCCUAUAUGAAUACAAUGACUGAAUUUGAUCUUCAAUUUAAAACAUUUGCACUAGUGGAUACCACAAAAUCUUAUGUUAUAUUUAACGAAAGUAUAAAUAAUUAAUUGUUAGUGAAUAUAUUGUUUUGAUGGUAUAUGCAUUCUAGAAACUAGUUUCAACGAUCCAACCGUCAAACUUGUUUUUUUAUACUUCGAGAUCAUAUACGCCAAAAAUCGGAAAAAAUAAACAUUCAUAGAUCAAGUAAUGGACAAAACUUUUCGACGGUUAUAAAUAAAAAAUCAUGAUUUAACGGUUAUUUUAACUCCGACUUUGAUGAUUUUUUAUAGCUACACUCCUUGACCCUAUAUGAAUACAAUGACUGAAUUUGAUCUUCAAUUUAAAAUAUUUACACUAGUGGAUACCACAAAAUCUUAUGUUAUAUUUAACGAAACUAUAAAUAAACUCUUAAUUGUUAGUGAAUAUAUUAUUUUGAUGGCAUACACAUUCUACGAAAUUAGUUUUAACGAUCCAACCGUCAAACUUGUUUGUUUAUACUUCGAGAUCAUGUAUGCCAAAAAUCGGAAAAAAUAAGCAUUCAUAGAUCAAGUAACGGGACAAAAAUUUUCGACGGUUAUAAAUGAAAAAUCAUGAUUUAAUGGCUAUUUUAACUCCGAUUUUGAUGAUUUUUUACAGCUACACUCCUUGACCCUAUAUGAAUACAAUGACUGAAUUUGAUCUUCAAUUUAAAAUAUUUACACUAGUGGAUACCACAAAAUCUUAUGUUAUAUUUAACGAAAGUAUAAAUAAACUCUUAAUUGUUAGUGAAUAUAUUGUUUUGAUGGCAUAUGCAUACAAAAAAACUAGUUUCAACGAUCCAACCGUCAAACUAGUUUGUUUAUACUUCGAGAUCAUAUACGCUAAAAAUCGGAAAAAAUAAACAUUCAGAGAUCAAGUAAUGGGACAAAACUCUUCGACGGUUAUAAUGAAAAAUCACGAUUUAACUGUUAUUUUAACUCCGAUUUUGAUGAUUUUUUAAAGCUACACUCCUUGACCCUAUAUGAAUACAAUGAACUAAUUCGAUCGUCAAUUUAAAAUAUAUAUUUUCUAACAAAAACCCAAUCCGAACAAUAAUAAUAUAUUUUUCUAACAAAAAUCCGAUCCGAUCUAAAAUAAUAAAUUUAAAGCUACUUAAUAAAUAUAUAUACCGUUUAAUUUCUUAAGUGUUAUGCAUACAAAAUAAAAAACAAAAAUAAAUUGGUUUAGGUGACAAAAUGUUUGGAUUACGUCAUGCAAAGAUUUUAAAAAAUAAUUUUUUAAUUUUAUUUAUUUUUAUAAGGACUUUGCGCGACGAAGUUUACUUUUCGUCGCGCAAAGUCACUUUGAGCGACGAAGUUUACUUUUCGUCGCGCAAAGUCACUUUGAGCGACGAAUUAUUUUUCGUCGCGCAAAAUUGGUCGCGCAAGACUUUGAGCGACGAUGUAUUGUCGUCGCGCAAAAGUUUGUCGGGCGAAGUGACUUUGCGCGACGAAUUAUUUUUCGUCGCACAAAAUUUGAUCGCCCAAGACUUUGAGUGACGAAGUUUCAAGUUUCGUCGCGCAAAGUGACUUUGAGCGACGAAUAGUUUUUCGUCGCGCAAAAUUUGGUCGCGCAAGGGGUUUUUUUUACUAGUGACAAGCCUAUGGCCAACCCCAAAACACCCUAGCUGAGUAUGCCCUUAACCAGUACAACAACUUGGAUUUCUUUGACAUUUCCCUUGUUGAUGGCUUCAACGUCCCUAUGGACUUUAGCCCCACGUCUAAUGGGUGCACCAAGGGCAUCAGACGUACCGCGCUGAUAUUAAUGGGCAGUGUCCUAACCAACUGAGGGCUCAAGGAGGCUGCAACAACCCUUGCACUGUGUUCAGGACUGAUAAAUAUUGCUGCAAUUCUGGGAGCUGUGGCCCAACAGACUUGUCUAGGUUUUUUAAGGAUCGGUGCCCGAGUGCUUAUAGCUACCCGAU